rnacentral:lncRNA from 1 species
ACGUACAAGGUGAAGCUGGUGACGCCCGAGGGCGAGGUGGAGCUGGAGGUCCCCGACGACGUCUACAUCCUCGACCAGGCCGAGGAGGAGGGGAUCGACCUGCCCUACUCUUGCCGCGCCGGCUCCUGCUCCUCCUGCGCCGGCAAGUUGGUGUCCGGCGAGAUCGACCAGUCCGACCAGAGCUUCCUCGACGACGACCAGAUGGAGGCAGGGUGGGUGCUCACCUGCCACGCCUACCCCAAGUCCGACAUCGUCAUCGAGACCCACAAGGAGGAGGAGCUCACCGCAUAAGCUGCCAUACCUAUCUCUCUUUGCAAGAGGAUCGAGCUGAUAUCAUAUUAUCUCCUACAGUAUCAUGCAUGCAUGGACAUCGCCAGAUCGAUACACCGAUUGUUUUGUGCUCGAAUGAAUUGCUCGAUGCAUGGUUUGCUCAAGUAAUAUUGUCUUCGAAUUACUACCUUUUUGUACCGUAAGAUAUACGUACUACUGUCGUAAUACUAGCGUGUACCUUGUACGUAACUCGACGUACUGAAAUGAAUCCUGAUGGCUGAGGCGUCUCUCUGAUUAAUAGUAAUAUCUUCUUUUUAAUUGAGAGACGGCUGAAUUACUUGAUGAACAUCUUACCUGGGACUUUCUUCUAUCCACAUAAUAGGUGCAUGCUACGACUUGUUUCAAUAUGAGUUGCACAAUUUCCUCAUAAUUUUGUUUACCGACAAGGAGACCCCUUCUCCCCACUCAUUUUUGUCCUCACUGCUGAUUUGCUCCAAUCCAUUUUUAAUGAAGCUUUGGACAACAAUUUAAUAGCUUUGCCCAUUAUCACUGAAACAACAGAGAUUUCCCCUAUAAUCCAAUAUGCAUGUGAUACUAUUAUUAUCUUGCCUGCAUGUCCCUUGCAAAUUCAACAAGUUCAGAACCUAUUGAUGCAUUUGGGGUUUACACAGGUCUCAGGGUCAACUACAACAAAUCCAUGAUGGUUCCCAUUAAUGCACCUGCUCAUAAAAUCCAGCAACUCUCAGCUAUUUUAGGCUCCGCCGAGGGUAAUUUCCCCUUUACUUACCUUGGACUUCCUCUUGGCAUUUCUAAACCCAAGAUUGAAAAUUUUGCUCCUCUAAUGAAAAGGAUUGGAUCUAGACUUGCUGGUUCCUCCACAAUGCUUUCCUAUGGAGAGAAACUCAUUCUUGUGAAGUCUAUUUUCACUAGCCUACCUACUUUCUUCAUGGGCAGUUUAGACCUUCCCACAGGAGUUGUUGACCAAAUUAAUAAAUACUUGAGACAUUGCUUUUGGAGGAAAUAUGGGAUGGAAGGAAGAGGUACUGCUCUUAUUCCCCGAGACAAAAUUCUUGAUGUGCAAACUCAGAACAAAGCUUUGUUGAUGAAAGAUCCGCAUAAUUUUUUCAAUAGUUAUGACCUCCCUUGGGUGGACCUUAUAUGGAGCUCCUACUAUACUUCUACCCCUCCUCGUGUCAGACCUGUUCGUUCCUUCUGGUGGAAGUCUGUUCUCAAAUUAAUCUCUGAUUUUUAAAGCCAUCUCUUCCUGCAGCAUAGGGCAAGGGAACUAUGUUCUUCUGUGGUAUACAACUGGGAUGGUAACAGAUUCAUUGAUAGAUUCCCUGAGCUUCAUUCUUUUGCUGUGAAUGACCAACUCUCAAUUGAGCAAGCACUGCACAUCAACCCUCCAAAGGAUAUAUUCCAUAGGCCACUCUCCACCCAAGCUUUUUAGCAGUUCCAGGGUGUCCAAAACUUUUAUUGAGCCGAGACCGUAGAACAAUAGUUCUACGAUAUUUUCAAUGUAUUAAUAAAAUAUUUACAAUCAUUACAAAAGAGGUCAGACAGGCAAUUAGCCCACACCAGUUUUGGGGAAAAAUACAUUAUCAAAUUAAAGAUGUUGUUCUAUCCAACUACCAAUCUGUGUUGUCCUAGUCUGUUUGGCUCUUAGCUGCACUACACGUAGUCCUUCUUUUAGGUAGAAUUUCCAAGUGUUCAAAUGUGGAGCAGCUGACCUGAAGAUCUUAUCAUUCCUUACUGACCAUAUACCCCAGCAGGGCAUGAUCACAAUGUCUAGAGCAAUAUUGGAAGGCAUGUGUUCAAUAGUCAACAAGAUCUCAUCAUAAGCUGAAAUGCCUCUCUGUUUAGCCGGUAUAAUAUGGUCCCAGCAGAGGAGCGCAAACGGGCAGUCUCAGAAGAGGUGGACAAGGGUUUCUUCAGUUCCUUCCGAGCAAAGGGCAUGAUAUGUCUCCAACGUAUCUAUAAUUUUUGAUUGUUCCACGCUAUUAUAUUAUCUGUUUUGGAUGUUUAAUGGGCUUUAAUAUGCACUUUUAUAUUAUUUUUGAGACUAACCUAUUAACCGAAGGCCUAGUGCAAAUUGUUGUUUUUUGUCUAUUUCAGUGUUUCACGGAAAAGGAAUAUCAAACGGAAUCCAAACGGAAUGAAACCUUCGCGAGGAUCUUUUUUAGAAUAAACACAAUCCAGGAGACUUGCAGUGGAGGUCAAGGAACCAACGAGGUGGCCACGAGGUAGGGCGGCGCGCCCAAGGGGGGCAGGCGCACCCCCACCCUCGUGGGCCCCUCGUGGCUCCACCGACCUAUUUCUUUCGCCUAUAUAUACUUUUAUACCCUGAAAACAUCCGGGGGAGACACAAAACCACUUUUCCACCGCCGCAACCUUCUGUACCCGUGAGAUCCCAUCUAGGGACCUUUUUCGGCGAUCUGCCAGAGGGGGAUUCGAUCACGGAGGGCUUGUACAUCAACACCAUAGCCUCUCCGAUGAUGUGUGAGUAGUUUACCAUAGACCUUCGGGUCCAUAGUUAUUAGCUAGAUGGCUUCUUCUCUCUCUUUGGAUCUCAACACAAAGUUCUCCUUGAUGUUCUUGGAGAUCGAUUCGAUGUAAUUCUUUUUGCGGUGUGUUUGCCGAGAUCCGAUUAAUUGUGGGUUUAUGAUUAAGAUUAUCUAUGAACAAUAUUUGAUUCUUCUCUGAAUUCUUAUAUGCAUGAUUUGAUAUCUUUGCAAGUCUCUUCGAAUUAUCAGUUUGGUUUGGCCUACUAGAUUGAUAUUUCUUGCAAUGGGAGAAGUGCUUAGCUUUGGGUUCAAUCUUGCGGUGUCCUUUCCCAGUGACAACAGGGGCAGCAAGGCACGUAUUGUAUUGUUGCCAUCGAGGAUAAAAAGAUGGGGUUUAUAUCAUAUUGCUUGAGUCUAUCCCUCUACAUCAUGUCAUCUUGCCUAAUGUGUUACUCUGUUCUUAUGAACUUAAUAUUCUAGAUGCAUGCUGGAUAGUGGUCGAUGUGUGGAGUAAUAGUAGUAGAUGCAGAAUCGUUUCGGUCUACUUGAAACGGACGUGAUGCCUAUGUUCAUGAUCAUGCCUAGAUAUCAUCAUAACUAUGCACUUUUCUAUCAAUUGCUCGACAGUAAUUUGUUCACCCGCCGUAAUAUAUGCUAUCUUGAGAGAAGCCACUAGUGAAACCUAUGGCCCCCGGGUCUACUUUACAUCAUAUUAUUUUCCCGUCAAUUAGCUAUUUCUGUCGCCGUUUAUUUUGCAAUCUUUACUUUCAAUCUAUACAACAAAAAUACCAAAAAUAUUUAUCUUAUUAUCUCUAUCAGAUCUCACUUUCGUAAGUGACUGUGAAGGGAUUGACAACCCCUUUAUGGCAUUGGUUGCGAGGUUUUUGUUUGUUUGUGCAGGUACUAUGCGACUUGCAUGUAGUCUCUGUAACACCCCGAUGCGACUAUAGCUCCCACGUGUCGAGGCACGACUUAGAGACAUAAUCGCAUUGAAGGCAUAUGUCGCAAGUUAGGCAAUCUUCACAAACAUCCCAUGUAAUAUGAAUAAUAAAAGGGAGAUAACAUAGUUGGCUUACACUCGCCACGUCAAUCAAGUACAUAAAUAACAUCACAUCAACCAACACUCAUGGCCCGACUACGGCGCCAAAAUAAAAGAGAACCCAACAUGCGACACGGUCCCAAUCACCCCCAACUAGGCACCACUACUGAUCAUCGGGAAAGGAAACGUAGUAUCGUUGAGAGUCUUCGUCGAACUCCCACUUGAGCUCAUACGCGUCUCCUGGAGCGGAAUCAUCAGGCCCUGCAUCUGGUGUAAUAGUAAUCUGUGAGCCACGGGGACUUAGCAAUCUCGCACCCUCGCGAUCAAGACUAUUCAAGCUUAUAGGUAAGGCAAGGGUAAAUAUAAGUGGAGCUGCAGCAAGCGACUAGCAAGUAUGGUGGCUAACUUAUUCGCAAAAGAGAGCGAGAAGAGGAGGCAAAGCACGAGCGAGAAGCUAGAGAACAACCUGCGCAAACAUUACUCCAACACCGUGUCCACUUUCCGGACUCCGCCGAGAAGAGGCCAUCACGGUAACACACUCAGUUGAUUCAUUUUAAUUAAUUAAGGUUCAAGUUAUCUACAACCGGACAUUAACAAAUUCCCAUCUGCCCAUAACCGCGGGCACGACUUUCGAAAGUUCAAUCCCUGUAGGGGAGUCCCAACUUAGCCCAUGACAACACGGUCAACGAAGGAAUAAACCUCCUCCCAAGACGUUCCGACCAGACUCGGUAUCUCGGUUACUCAAGACACUUCGACAAGUUAAAACAAGACCAGCAACACCGCCCGAAUGUGCCGACAAAUCCCGAUAGGAGCUGCACAUAUCUCUUUCUCAGGGCACACUCAGAUGAGACAUCCUAUGAGUAAAACCAACCCUCAAGUUGCCCCGAGGUGGCCCCGCAGUCUACUCGGUCGGACCAACACUCAGANNNNNNNNNNNNNNNNNNNNNNNNNNNNNNNNNNNNNNNNNNNNNNNNNNNNNNNNNNNNNNNNNNNNNNNNNNNNNNNNNNNNNNNNNNNNNNNNNNNNNNNNNNNNNNNNNNNNNNNNNNNNNNNNNNNNNNNNNNNNNNNNNNNNNNNNNNNNNNNNNNNNNNNNNNNNNNNNNNNNNNNNNNNNNNNNNNNNNNNNNNNNNNAAGAUGACCCGCGGGCUUCGGAAACCCGAGGGAAAAGAGGCUAGGUGGCAAAUGGUAAGACCAAGGUUGGGCAUUGCUGAAAAAGCUUUAAUCAAGGUGAACUAUCAAGGGGUUCCCAUAAUAAGCCAACCGCGUAAGGAACGCAAAAUCCGGGAACAUAACACCGAUAUGACGGAAACUAGGGCGGCAAGAGUGGAACAAAACACUAGGCGAGAGGCCGAGCCUUCCACCCUUUACCAAGUAUAUAGAUGCAUUAAGAUAACAUGGCAAUAUAAUAAUAUCCCAACAAGUAAAUAAAAGAUGUUCCAACAAGGAACGGCCUCCAAUCUUCACCUGCAACUAGCAACGCUAUAAGAGGGGCUGAGCAAAGCGGUAACAUAGCCAAUCAAUGGUUUGCUAGGACAAUGGUGGGUUAGAGGUUUGACAUGGCAAUUUGGGAGGCUUGCAAGCAAGUGGUAGGCAUCGUAGCAAUGGCAUAGCAAAAGAGUGAGCAAACUAGCAUAGCAAAGAUAGUAGUGAUUUCGAGGGUGUGAUCAUCUUGCCUGCACAGUUGUCAGAGUUGACUGGAUCCUCAAGAGCAAACCCAACGGGCUCCUCGUUAGCGAACUCGUCUCCCGGCUCUACCCAAACAAGACAAACAACAACAAGGAUACAAUCAACCGCGUGCAAACUCAAGCAACACGAUGCAAAGAUGAUAUGCUAUGCGGGAUGUGAUGCGGGAUGCAAAAUGCAAGAUAUGACAGGAAAUGCAUGAACCUGGCCUCAACUUGGAAUUUAAAGGGUGCGACUGGAAAGAUGAGAUGAAAUCGCUUGAAAACGAUAUAAAGAACGCCGGAAUCGGAGUUACGGUUUGGAAAUGGCAAGCGAUUCAAAUAUGACACCGGUCUGCGAUUUACAUCAAGUAGGCAUCUAAAUGCAAUGAAAUGAACAUGCUACAGCCACCAAACAAGACAACAAAAUACAUGUCAGGGAAGCAUUCAAGAUGCUUAACAAAAGACUAGCACUGAGCCACGGCCAAUUCAUCCAUUAUGAGGUUCAAACAAGCAUGGCAAAAACGCAAAUGCAAAACAGAUUUCAGACUUAGUGAAAUUAACACUUGUCUGAAAUUUCAGAUCAUGAAGCCCUCUUCGGAGCAGCAAAACAACAUGCUACAGGACCUAAUUAUGACAAAGAAGAACAUGGCAUGGAGCUACUCAACAAGCUUAACAAAAGUCCCUAAGUGACCUGGGGCCAAAAGGGAUCACAAAAUAUACUAACAAGCACACGAACAUAGCUAAAACACAAUCAGUUUUCAGACUUAGUGAAAACUGAGACAUGCUGAAAUAUAACUCACAAAGGCAUGUAAACGAGCUCGAUGCACUCACUAUGGUGCAAGUCAUGGCAAGGCAAGCAUACAUCCAUUAAGAAGGCACAAAAAGCUAGCUAGACAUGGCAAGAACAAAGGCAUACCAGGCACGGAUCAACUACAAUAGCAUCGGCAAAAUCGCAAACAAGUUGACGACCUGCCCAGAUUCACAACGAAGCAAAAGUAGAGCUCGAUUGACUCAAGCUAGGGUGCUCCAUAAUUGCAAACAAAGACAUGGAUGGAUAGAGCGUCACAAGAUUAACAAAACUCCUUUACUGAUCAUCCUCAAAAGAGGCACGGAUCACUAGGAAAUAGCAUGAACAUAUGGCAUCAUGAACUAAAUAAUCCCAGACUUAGUGAAAACUACUAAGUCCCUGAAAACAGAUUUACCGGGUGCCUCACUUUGCAAGCUUGCACAAGUCACCACACACAUCACAAAAAUGCAUGGGUUGCACCUCUGGAAAGAUAACAAAAUCCUUAACAAAACAUAUGAAGGACUCACAGGCAUAUCAUGCACACAAUAAUCAUGGCAAAAAUGACAAAAGUCUAGGAUGAACUAGCAGAUCUGACAAUUAACUCACGAAGCCUCCUUCUAACAGCAUUUCGGGCAUCCAGAUGAGCUCAAAUGAUAAUGAUGCAAUGGAAUGAAAUGAUGUACUCAUCGAGGCUAACAUUUCGAUAUAAUAUAUGUCCAAAUCGGAGCUAAGGAUGCGGAGAUAUCACCGGUCAAAGUAUGCACAAAAAUUAGGGUUUCGGGAGGAGAAAGUCAACCGAUCCUAAAUAUCUCAGAUCUGCACGGAAAACGAGGCACGGCUGGAUCCGAGCUCGCCGGAGCUGUAGACGGCCGGAGUUGGAGGGGGCGGCCAGAUCCGGGCUCCGGUCGCCGAAGAGGAGCGGGCGGCGGGGCGGCGACNNNNNNNNNNNNNNNNNNNNNNNNNNNNNNNNNNNNNNNNNNNNNNNNNNNNNNNNNNNNNNNNNNNNNNNNNNNNNNNNNNNNNNNNNNNNNNNNNNNNNNNNNNNNNNNNNNNNNNNNNNNNNNNNNNNNNNNNNNNNNNNNNNNNNNNNNNNNNNNNNNNNNNNNNNNNNNNNNNNNNNNNNNNNNNNNNNNNNNNNNNNNNNNNNNNNNNNNNNNNNNNNNNNNNNNNNNNNNNNNNNNNNNNNNNNNNNNNNNNNNNNNNNNNNNNNNNNNNNNNNNNNNNNNNNNNNNNNNNNNNNNNNNNNNNNNNNNNNNNNNNNNNNNNNNNNNNNNNNNNNNNNNNNNNNNNNNNNNNNNNNNNNNNNNNNNNNNNNNNNNNNNNNNNNNNNNNNNNNNNNNNNNNNNNNNNNNNNNNNNNNNNNNNNNNNNNNNNNNNNNNNNNNNNNNNNNNNNNNNNNGCGCGGCCCGCGGUGGCGGCGUCGGGGGCCGGCCUUGGGCCUUCGGGCCCGUGGCGGUGGGAGGUGGCCGGUUGUCACGUGGCGGCGGCGGAUAGGGCGAGGGGGGCGGCGGCGGACGUGUCCGGUGCCGGGCGGACGUGUCCGACGCGCGGAGAUGAAAUUAGGGUUUCGGGGAGAGGGAGAGAUCCGAAAUUCGGGGGGGGGGGGUCUAUUUAUAGGCAUAAGUGGAGCUAGGAGAGUCCAAAUGAGGUGCGGUUUUCGGCCACGCGAUCGUGAUCGAACACUCUAGAUGAUGGAGCAGAGUUUGGUGGGUUUUAGGCCAAAUUGGAGGGGUGUUGGGCUGCACACGCACGAGGCCUUUUCGGUCCCUCGGUUAACCGUUGGAGUAUCAAACAAAGUCCAAAUGACACGAAACUUGACAGGCGGUCUACCGGUAGUAAACCAAGGCCGCAUGACAAGUCUCGGUCCAAUCCGGAAAUGUUUAAUCCCCACACACGAAAGAAAGUUAGAAAUGGCCACCGGAGGAGAACGAAGCACCGGAAUGCAAAACUGACAACGGAGAAAAUGCUCGAAUGCAUGAGAUGAACACGUAUGCAAAUGCAACGCACAUGAUGACAUGAUAUGAGAUGCAUGACAACGAAAACAACACACGGAGACAAAAACCCAAACCCGAGAAAAUAAAAUAACUUAACGCCGGAAACGGCAAGAGUUGGAGUACAAAUUGGGAAAGUUACAUCCGGGGUGUUACAACACUCCACCACUAUGAAAGGAUCUCGUCCCGAGAUCUAGGACUGAAAGAACGCCGGGUACUCAGAAUGGAGGUGAUCCUCGCGUUCCCAGGUAGCUUCACGGUCGGAAUGGUGUGACCACUUGACUUUGAGAAAUUUGAUUGACUUGAUGCGAGUCUUGCGUUCAGUCUCUUCAAGAAUAGCAACUGGGUGCUCAUGAUAAGAGAGAUCUUCUUGGAGCUCAAUGUCCUCGAAGUUGACGGUGCAGUCAGGAGUCUUGAAGCACUUUCGAAGCUGAGAGACAUGGAACACGUCAUGAACAUUUGCCAAGUUUGAAGGAAGCUCGAGUUGAUAGGCGAGGUCGCCUCUCUUGCUGACAAUCUUGAAAGGUCCCACGUAUCUAGGGGCAAGCUUCCCUUUGAUACCGGAGCGAUGAGUACCUUUCAUAGGAGAGACACGGGGGUAAACAUGAUCUCCGAUUUCGAAAGCCAAAUCACGGUGCUUACUAUCAUAGUAGCUCUUCUGGCGGGAUUGGGCUGCUUUGAGGUUAUCACGAAUGACUUUGCACAUUUCUUCUGCUUCUGUGAUUAAGUCAUUACCCAAAAGCUGACGUUCACCUGUUUCAGACCAGUUGAGAGGGGUACGACACUUCCUGCCAUACAGAAUUUCAAAUGGGGCCUUGCCCGAACUUGCUUGAAAACUAUUGUUGUAGGAGAAUUCAGCAUAAGGAAGACAAUCCUCCCACUUCAUGCCGAAGGAGAUCACACAAGCCCUGAGCAUAUCUUCAAGAAUCUGGUUGACACGCUCGACUUGACCGCUUGUUUGAGGAUGGAAAGCAGUGCUGAAGUGGAUGUUCGUGCCCAUGGCCUUCUGAAAAGAAUCCCAAAACUUCGAGGUAAAGAUGCUGCCACGGUCUGAAGAGAUCACUUGAGGAAUACCAUGCAGAGAGACAAUACGAGAGGUAUAGAGUUCCGCCAAUUGAGCUACAGAGAUCGACUCUUUGAUAGGCAGAAAAUGAGCCACUUUGGUGAGUUUGUCGAUGACAACGAAUAUAGCAUCAUUGCCACGCUUGGACUUAGGAAACCCAAUCACGAAGUCCAUCUCAAUGUGGUCAAACUUCCAUUCUGGAAUGGCAAGAGGUUGGAGGAGACCAGCUGGCCUUUGGUGUUCCGCCUUCACUCUUCUGCAGACAUCACAUUCAUUCACGAAUUGAGCGAUCUCGCGCUUCAUUCGAGUCCACCAAUAAGCUUGCUUGAGGUCCUGAUACAUCUUCGUGCUCCCAGGGUGGAUGGAGAGGAGAGAAUUGUGAGCCUCGUUCAUGAUCACUUUACGGAGGUCACCUUUGGGUACCACAAUUCGAUCCUCGAAGAAGAGAGUGUCCUUGUCAUCAAGGCGGUAGCACUUGUACUUGGACUGACUCUUGGCAAUCCCAAUCUUCACCUUUUUCACCAUAGCAUCAAGAAGCUGGGCUUGGCGAAUCUGGUCUUCCAAGGUAGGAGAAACUUGAAGGUUGGCGAGGAAACCUUGAGGAACGACUUGCAGGUUAAGUUUGCGGAAAGCUUCACAAAGCUCGGGUUGAUAAGGCUUAAGAAUCAGACUGUUGCAGUAAGCCUUCCUGCUCAAAGCGUCAACAAUCACAUUGGCCUUUCCUGGAGUAUACUCGAUACUCGAAUUAUACUCUUGAAUCAUUUCAACCCAACGAGUUUGCCUGAGGUUGAGAUUAGGCUAAGUGAAGAUGUACUUGAGACUCUUGUGAUCAGUGAAAAUGUCCACUUUUCUUCCCAAUAGAAGAUGUCUCCAAGUCAACAGAGCAUGCACAACUGCCGCCAACUCGAGAUCAUGAGUGGGGUAGUUCUUCUCAUUAGGCUUCAACUGGCGAGAUGUAUAAGCAACAACUUUCUUCUCUUGCAUCAAUACUGCGCCAAGACCUUGGAGAGAGGCAUCACAAAAGACCUCGUACGGCUUGGAUUCAUCAGGUGGAGUCAAAACUGGAGUAGUGAUCAACUUCUCUUUCAAAGUGUUGAAAGCAAUAUCACACUCCGGAGACCAAACGUACUUGACGUGCUUCUGAAGAAGAUUUGAGAGAGGCUUCGCAAUCUUAGAAAAGUUUUCAAUGAAUCUUCGACAAUAGCUUGCGAGACCGAGGAAACUGCAGAGUUGCUUCAUGUUCUGAGGAGGUUCCCAAUUCACAAUUGCAGACACCUUCUCAGGAUUCACGGCAAUGCCCUUGGCAAAGAUGAUAUGACCAAGAUAAAGAACCUCAUCGAGCCAAAAUUCACACUUGGAGAACUUGGCGUAGAACUGAUGUUCCCUGAGCUUAUCAAACAUCAAACGCAAGUGUUGGCAUGAUCUUCCUUGUUCUUGGAGAAAACCAGAAUGUCAUCGAGAUAGACCAAAACGAAGUCAUUGGUGUAGGCAUUGAAGAUGAAGUUCAUCAUGCGAGAGAACGUCGGAGGAGCGUUGGCGAGGCCAAAAGACAUGACAGUGUAUUCAUAUGAACCAAAGCUUGUUCUGAAUGCUGUCUUGGGAAUAUCUUCUUCACGAAUGCGAAUCUGGUGAUAACCCAUACGGAGAUCAAGCUUGGAGAAUACUUGGGCACCUUUGAGUUGUUCGAACAACUCAUUGAUGUUGGGAAGUGGGUAUUUGUUCUUGAUGGUCUUCUUGUUCAUUGGACGGUAAUCAACACAAAGUCGGUCCGUUCCAUCCUUCUUCUUCACAAAAAGAACACCACAACCCCACGGAGAAGAACUAGGCCGGAUGAGACCCAUUUUCUCUUGCAUAUCGAGUUGCUUCUUCAGCUCCUUCAACUCUUCAGGUCUGAGCUUGUAAGGACGUUUACACACAGGUUCCAUGCCAGGCUCAAGAUCAAUAACGAAUUCAACUGGCCGGUGCGGAGGCAUUCCUGGAAGCUCUUCUGGAAAGACGUCUUGAUAUUCACAAACGACUAGAAUUUGCGAGAUAGCGUCCAAUUCACCCUUCUCAUUGAGAGAAAAUAGACGAAUAGUAUCAUCACGAGCGGCAAAGACAAUUACAUCCUCAGACGAAUGACUCAAUUGAAUCUGCCUGGCUGCACAAUCAAGCUGAGCCUUGUGCUUCGAAAGCCAAUCCAUUCCGAGAAUAAGAUCAAUAUCCGAGUUACCAAUAACCACCGGGGAAGAGAGAAACUUGUAAUCACCCAAUGUGAUAGAGAUAUCGGGAGCAACCAAACUAGAAGUCAAAAGCUUGCCGGGAGAAACAACUUGCAUGACUUUGGGCAUAAUCUCGGUAUCAACAUUGUGCUUCGAUGAAAAAGGGCAUGACAAAAAGGAAUGCGAUGCACCAGUGUCAAAAAGAACUUUCACAGGAACAUCGUUAACAGGAAGGUUACCCAUGAUCACAUCUGACGAGUCCUCUGCCUGAGCUGCAUUCAUCAAAUUGACCUUGGCAUGCUUGGGGUUAUGCUUGACCACAGCUGUACUUGCCGAUCUCACAGGAGGAGGAGGAGGAAGACGCCUCUGGUUGAGACACUUGUUGGCAUAGUGACCCUUCUGUUGGCACUUGUUGCACGUGACCUCUGAAAGCGGACGGUGAUACGGAGCACUCGAUCUUGGAGCUUGAGACGAAGUCUUGUUCUGAAAGCCAGGGUUGGGUGGGUGGGAAGAACCACUGCCACCUUUGCUCUUCUGCUGAUACGGCUGACGGAAUGGAGGAGGAGGAAGCCAAAACUUCUGCUGCUUGGCCACUUGAGUAGAGGAAGAAGGAGUAACAUCUCUGACUCGCUUCUUGGAAGCAUCACACCUCAACUGAGCAGCCUCUUGCUUCAGUGCCAUGUUGUAGAACUCAUCGUAUCUCAAGGGCUCAAAGAGGACAAGAGCGAGCUGAAUUUCUUCUCUGAGACCACCCCUGAACUGAUAUAUCAUGCUCUUCUCAUCAGGGACAUCCUGCUUGGCAAAGCGGGCGAGCUUCUGGAACAACUUGUUGUAGUCAUAGACAGACAAAGAGCCUUGCUUUAGAUUGCGGAAUUCGUCACGCUUGCUUUCAACCACGCUCUGCGGAAUAUGAUGAGCUCGGAAAUCUCGACAGAAAUCAUCCCAAGUGAUAACACGUCCACCUCUGGAGUCCUUGUACUGCUGGAACCAUUCUGCAGCUUGAUCUUUGAGUUGGAAGGAAGCGAACUUAACAAAGUCCUCAGGCCUGACGUUACUACACUCGAAAUGCUUGCACAGAUCCACAAGCCAAUCGUCAGCAUCGGUUGCCUCAACACAAUUGCUGAAAGUCUUUGGCCCGUUAGCAAGGAACUGGUUCAGUGUAGCAAAGUGACUCUGAUUGCUGCCUUGAUUCCCUUGACUGCCUUGAUUGCGCUCUUGGAGAAUUUGUAUGAUCAGCUGUGUGUUCGCAUUGGUUGCGGCCAUCACAGCUUGCCAUGCCUCCGGAGGAGGUGGAGGCGGUGGCGGAUCAGGAUUCGGAGUCAUGCGUGUUGGAGGAGCCAUCCUGAAGAGGUUGACCACCAUUAGCACAUUGACAGAUAAAUUAUUGAAGCUGAAUCCAACGAAAUGAAAAUUGCAACAUAUAGUCUUCACAUCCGAACAAAAUGAACGAAUGCAUUCCUCUUGAAAUGGUCACAUAUCCAUAAAUUGAGAAGCCACGUAGAGUUAAGGUAGAGAAAUAAAUCAACAAGGUACGGAUCAAGAACGAACAAUCGGUAAGAAAUCCCAAUCUCAAACCAAUAUCCGUGGAAGAAGAACUAGAGCUACUAGAAUUCCCACCUAUGAAACUCCCGAACCUUUCUGGUUAUGCAAUCAGGUGUUGGGGAUACAGUGGAAGCAUAAUAUCUCACCCAAACUAGCAAAUCCUACAUCCAGCUGUAUCCAUCCUUCAACACAUAACCAAGAAACCUUCGGAAACCAUCUACCUCAACCUUCGAAAAGCAUCCGUUAUACAAGUUAUGGCGAUACUCCCGAACUCCCGCCCCAGUACUAGGUGGCGUCGAGGUUAUCUCACCAACGAACUGCAUAAAAGAGAUUUUCGAUGUCGGCGUACUAAACUCAGGUAUUCCAGAACUGCAACGAUAAAAUUAUGAUGACAACACCUCAGAGCUCAACUCCCCGGGACACUUCCACUAAACCCCUGACAGGAGGCACCAAGAUAAUGUUCUCAUCAUAAAACCAUCGGAAUGAUUCCAAGAUACCCGCAUGAUCCUAAAUUUUUUUAGUGAAAUUUGAGAAGAGAAGAGUCAAAACUCUACGUCAGGAAGCCUUACCAGAGCGAUAAGGAGACUGGGAAGUAAAAAGAAUUCCUAAUCUCUCCGAUAUAUAAUUCCUAAAAGACUCAAAACAUUUUUCUAGACACAACUCGGCCGCUAAAAACGAUCAAGCAAUGGGGCUCCUAAGGUCGGGGAAGGCUCUGAUUACCAACUUGUAACACCCCCGAUGCGACUAUAGCUCCCACGUGUCGAGGCACGGCUUAGAGACAUAAUCGCAUUGAAGGCAUAUGUCGCAAGUUAGGCAAUCUUCACAAACAUCCCAUGUAAUAUGAAUAAUAAAAGGGAGAUAACAUAGUUGGCUUACACUCGCCACGUCAAUCAAGUACAUAAAUAACAUUACAUCAACCAACACUCAUGGCCCAACUACGGCGCCAAAAUAAAAGAGAACCCAACAUGCGACACGGUCCCAAUCACCCCAACUGGGCACCACUACUGAUCAUCGGGAAAGGAAACAUAGUAUCGUUGAGAGUCUUCGUCGAACUCCCACUUGAGCUCAUACGCGUCUCCUGGAGCGGAAUCAUCAGGCCCUGGAUCUGGUGUAAUAGUAAUCUGUGAGCCAUGGGGACUCAGCAAUCUCGCACCCUCGCGAUCAAGACUAUUCAAGCUUAUAGGUAAGGCAAGGGUAAAUAUAAGUGGAGCUGCAGCAAGCGACUAGCAAGUAUGGUGGCUAACUUAUUCGCAAAAGAGAGCGAGAAGAGGAGGCAAAGCACGAGCGAGAAGCUAGAGAACAACCUGCGCAAACAUUACUCCAACACCGUGUCCACUUCCCGGACUCCGCCGAGAAGAGGCCAUCACGGUAACACACUCAGUUGAUUCAUUUUAAUUAAUUAAGAUUCAAGUUAUCUACAACCGGACAUUAACAAAUUCCCAUCUGCCCAUAACCGCGGGCACGACUUUCGAAAGUUCAAUCCCUACAGGGGAGUCCCAGCUUAGCCCAUGACAAGCUCUCACGGUCAAUGAAGGAAUAAACCUCCUCCCAAGACGUUCCGAUCAGACUCGGUAUCUCGGUUACUCAAGACACUUCGACAGGUUAAAACAAGACCAGCAACACCGCCCGAAUGUGCCGACAAAUCCUGAUAGGAGCUGCACAUAUCUCUUUCUCAGGGCACACUCAGAUGAGACAUCCUACGAGUAAAACCAACCCUCAAGUUGCCCCGAGGUGGCCCCGCAGUCUACUCGGUCAGACCAACACAGAGAGNNNNNNNNNNNNNNNNNNNNNNNNNNNNNNNNNNNNNNNNNNNNNNNNNNNNNNNNNNNNNNNNNNNNNNNNNNNNNNNNNNNNNNNNNNNNNNNNNNNNNNNNNNNGUGGGCUCCGUAAACCCGAGGGAAAAGAGGCUAGGUGGCAAAUGGUAAGACCAAGGUUGUGCAUUGCUGGAAAAGCUUUAAUCAAGGCGAACUAUCAAGGGGUUCUCAUAAUAACCCAACCGCGUAAGGAACGCAAAAUCCGGGAACAUAACACCGAUAUGACGGAAACUAGGGCGGCAAGAGUGGAACAAAACACUAGGCGAGAGGCCGAGCCUUCCACCCUUUACCAAGUAUAUAGAUGCAUUAAGAUAACAUGGCAAUAUAAUAAUAUCCCAACAAGUAAAUAAAAGAUGUUCCAACAAGGAACGACCUCCAAUCUUCACCUGCAACUAGCAACGCUAUAAGAGGGGCUGAGCAAAGCAGUAACAUAGCCAAUCAACGGUUUGCUAGGACAAUGAUGGGUUAGAGGUUUGACAUGGAAAUUUGGGAGGCUUGCAAGCAAGUGGUAGGCAUCGUAGAAAUGGCAUAGCAAAAGAGUGAGCAAACUAGCAUAGCAAAGAUAGUAGUGAUUUCGAGGGUGUGAUCAUCUUGCCUGCACAGUUGUCAGAGUUGACUGGAUCCUCAAGAGCAAACCCAACGGGCUCCUCGUUAGCGAACUCGUCUCCCGGCUCUACCCAAACAAGACAAACAACAACAAGGAUACAAUCAACCGCGUGCAAACUCAAGCAACACGAUGCAAAGAUGAUAUGCUAUGCGGGAUGUGAUGCGGGAUGCAAAAUGCAAGAUAUGACAGGAAAUGCAUGAACCUGGCCUCAACUUGGAAUUUAAAGGGUGCGACUGGAAAGAUGAGAUGAAAUCGCUUGAAAACGAUAUAAAGAACGCCGGAAUCGGAGUUACGGUUUGGAAAUGGCAAGCGAUUCAAAUAUGACACCGGUCUGCGAUUUACAUCAAGUAGGCAUCUAAAUGCAAUGAAAUGAACAUGCUACAGCCACCAAACAAGACAACAAAAUACAUGUCAGGGAAGCAUUCAAGAUGCUUAACAAAAGACUAGCACUGAGCCACGGCCAAUUCAUCCAUUAUGAGGUUCAAACAAGCAUGGCAAAAACGCAAAUGCAAAACAGAUUUCAGACUUAGUGAAAUUAACACUUGUCUGAAAUUUCAGAUCAUGAAGCCCUCUUCGGAGCAGCAAAACAACAUGCUACAGGACCUAAUUAUGACAAAGAAGAACAUGGCAUGGAGCUACUCAACAAGCUUAACAAAAGUCCCUAAGUGACCUGGGGCCAAAAGGGAUCACAAAAUAUACUAACAAGCACACGAACAUAGCUAAAACACAAUCAGUUUUCAGACUUAGUGAAAACUGAGACAUGCUGAAAUAUAACUCACAAAGGCAUGUAAACGAGCUCGAUGCACUCACUACGGUGCAAGUCAUGGCAAGGCAAGCAUACAUCCAUUAAGAAGGCACAAAAAGCUAGCUAGACAUGGCAAGAACAAAGGCAUACCAGGCACGGAUCAACUACAAUAGCAUCGGCAAAAUCGCAAACAAGUUGACGACCUGCCCAGAUUCACAACGAAGCAAAAGUAGAGCUCGAUUGACUCAAGCUAGGGUGCUCCAUAAUUGCAAAUAAAGACAUGGAUGGAUAGAGCAUCACAAGAUUAACAAAACUCCUUUACUGAUCAUCCUCAAAAGAGGCACGGAUCACUAGGAAAUAGCAUGAACAUAUGGCAUCAUGAACUAAAUAAUCCCAGACUUAGUGAAAACUACUAAGUCCCUGAAAACAGAUUUACCGGGUGCCUCACUUUGCAAGCUUGCACAAGUCACCACACACAUCACAAAAAUGCAUGGGUUGCACCUCUGGAAAGAUAACAAAAUCCUUAACAAAACAUAUGAAGGACUCACAGGCAUAUCAUGCACACAAUAAUCAUGGCAAAAAUGACAAAAGUCUAGGAUGAACUAGCAGAUCUGACAAUUAACUCACGAAGCCUCCUUCUAACAGCAUUUCGGGCAUCCAGAUGAGCUCAAAUGAUAAUGAUGCAAUGGAAUGAAAUGAUGUACUCAUCGAGGCGAACAUUUCGAUAUACUAUAUGUCCAAAUCGGAGCUACGGAUGCGGAGAUAUCACCGGUCAAAGUAUGCACAAAAAUUAGGGUUUCGGGAGGAGAAAGUCAACCGAUCCAAACUAUCUCAGAUCUGCACGAAAAACGAGGCACGGCUGGAUCCGAGCUCGCCGGAGCUGUAGACGGCCGGAGUUGGAGGGGGCGGCCGGAUCCGAGCUCCNNNNNNNNNNNNNNNNNNNNNNNNNNNNNNNNNNNNNNNNNNNNNNNNNNNNNNNNNNNNNNNNNNNNNNNNNNNNNNNNNNNNNNNNNNNNNNNNNNNNNNNNNNNNNNNNNNNNNNNNNNNNNNNNNNNNNNNNNNNNNNNNNNNNNNNNNNNNNNNNNNNNNNNNNNNNNNNNNNNNNNNNNNNNNNNNNNNNNNNNNNNNNNNNNNNNNNNNNNNNNNNNNNNNNNNNNNNNNNNNNNNNNNNNNNNNNNNNNNNNNNNNNNNNNNNNNNNNNNNNNNNNNNNNNNNNNNNNNNNNNNNNNNNNNNNNNNNNNNNNNNNNNNNNNNNNNNNNNNNNNNNNNNNNNNNNNNNNNNNNNNNNNNNNNNNNNNNNNNNNNNNNNNNNNNNNNNNNNNNNNNNNNNNNNNNNNNNNNNNNNNNNNNNNNNNNNNNNNNNNNNNNNNNNNNNNNNNNNNNNNNNNNNNNNNNNNNNNNNNNNNNNNNNNNNNNNNNNNNNNNNNNNNNNNNNNNNNNNNNNNNNNNNNNNNNNNNNNNNNNNNNNNNNNNNNNNNNNNNNNNNNNNNNNNNNNNNNNNNNNNNNNNNNNNNNNNNNNNNNNNNNNNNNNGGGGCGCCGGGCGGAGUGUCCGGCGCGCGGAGAUGGAAUUAGGGUUUCGGGGAGAGGGAGAGAUCCGAAAUUCGGGGGGGGGGGUCUAUUUAUAGGCAUAAGUGGAGCUAGGAGAGUCCAAAUGAGGUGCGGUUUUCGGCCACGCGAUCGUGAUCGAACGCUCUAGAUGAUGGAGCAGAGUUUGGUGGGUUUUGGGCCAAAUUGGAGGGGUGUUGGGCUGCACACACACGAGGCCUUUUCGGUCCCUCGGUUAACCGUUGGAGUAUCAAACGAAGUCCAAAUGACACGAAACUUGACAGGCGGUCUACCGGUAGUAAACCAAGGCCGCAUGACAAGUGUCGGUCCAAUCCGGAAAUGUUUAAUCCCCACACACGAAAGAAAGCUAGAAAUGGCCACCGGAGGAGAACGAAGCGCCGGAAUGCAAAACGGACAACGGGGAAAAUGCUCGAAUGCAUGAGAUGAACACGUAUGCAAAUGCAACGCACAUGAUGACAUGAUAUGAGAUGCAUGGCAACGACAACAACACACGAAGACAAAAACCCGAACCCGAGAAAAUAAAAUAACUUAACCCGAAAACGGCAAGAGUUGGAGUACAAAUUGGGAAAGUUACAUCCGGGGUGUUACAGUCUUCUACUGGAUUGAUACCUUGGUUCUCAAAAACCGAGGGAAAUACUUAUACUACUUUGCUGCAUCACCCUUUCCUCUUCAAGGGAAAACCAACGCAUGCUCAAGAGGUAGCAAGAAGGAUUUCUGGCGCCGUUGCCGGGGAGAUCUACAAUCAAGUCAAGACAUACCAAGUACCCAUCACAAACUCUUAUCCCUCACAUUACAUUAUUUGCCAUUUGCCUCUCGUUUUCCUCUCCCCCACUUCACCCUUACCGUUUUAUUAACCCCAUUGUCGUUUUAUUCGCCCUUCUUCCGUUCGCCUUCUUUCGCUUGUCUCUUAUGCGUCCGUGUGUUAGAUCGUUUAUUUUGCCCUCAUGGCUAGUUCUCCUAUCAUUGUUAACAUUCCCGAUAAUGAAGUUCUUAAUUGUAAACUGAGGGAGGGAGAAAACUUAAAAGAUGCUUGCUAUAGAAUUUGCAAUGCUCAAAAUAGAUCUAUUAAAAAGCAAUCUACUUCCGUUCUUCUUCGCAAUUUUUACGUAGGCAUCUGAUGUCUACUACACAACCUUCUUCUUGUAGACGUUGUUGGGUCUGUAAGUGCACAGGUUUGUAGGACAGUAGCAAAUUUCUCUCAAGUGGAUGACCUAAGGUUUAUCAAUCCAUAGAAGGCGUAGGAUGAAGAUGGUCUCUCUCAAGCAACCCUGCAACCAAAUAACAAAGAGUCUCUUGUGUCCCCGACACACCCAAUACAAUGGUAAAUUGUAUAGGUGCACUAGUUCGGCGAAGAGAUGGUGAAACAAGUGGUAUAUGGAUAGUAGAUAAAGGUAUUUGUAAUCUGAAAAUAUAAAAACAGCAAGGUAGCAAGUGAUAAAAGUGAGCGUAAACGGUAUUGCAAUGUGUUGAAACAAGGCCUAGGGUUCAUACUUUCGCUAGUGUAAGUUCCCUCAACGAUACUAACAUAAUUGGAUCAUAAAACUAUCCCUCAACAUGCAACAAAGAGUCACUCCAAAGUCACUAAUAGCGGAGAACGAACGAAGAGAUUAUGGUAGGGUACGAAACCACCUCAAAGUUAUUCUUUCCAAUCAAUCCGUUGGGCUAUUCCUAUAAUUGUCACAAACAGCCCUAGAGUUCGUACUAGAAUAACACCUUAAGAUACAAAUCAACCAAAACCCUAAUUUCACCUAGAUACUCCAAUGUCACCUCAAGUAUCUGUGGGUAUGAUUAUACGAUAUGCAUCACACAAUCUCAGAUUCAUCUAUUCAACCAACACAAAGGACCUCAAAGAGUGGCCCAAAGUUCUACCGGAGAAUCAUGACGAAAACGUGUGCCAACCCCUAUGCAUAGGUUCCCAAUGUCAUGAAACACGCAAGUUAGUCACCUUAACAUACAUCAAGUGGCACGUGGUAUCCCAUUGUCACCACAGAUAUCCACGACAAGACAUACAUCAAGUGUUCUCAAGUCUUUAAAGACUCAAUCCGAUAAGAUUACUUCAAAGGGGAAACUCGAUUCAUUACAAGAGAGAAGAGGGGGGAAGAAACAUCAUAGGAUCCAAAUAUAAUAGCAAAGCUCGCGAUACAUCAAGAUCGUAUCAUCUCAAGAACACGAGAGAGAGAGAGAUCAAACACAUAGCUACUGGUACAUACCCUCAGCCCCGAGGGAGAACUACUCCCUCCUCGUCAUGGAGAGCACCGGGAUGAUGAAGAUGGCCACCGGAGAGGGAUUUCCCCCUCCGGCAGGGUGCCGGAACAGGUCUAGAUUGGUUUUCGGUGGCUACGGAGGCUUUUGGCGGCGGAACUCCUGAUCUAUGUUGCGUUCUGGAAGUUUUAGGUCACGUAGGUAUAUAUGGGUGCAGGAGGUAUGUCAGGGGAGCCACGGGGGCCCCACGAGGCAGGGGGUGCGCCCUAGGGGGGUGGGCGCGCCCCCCACCCUCGUGGGCAGCUCCCGUAUCUUCUGACGUGGGGUCCAAGUCCAUCAGGUGUGUUUCCUUCCAAAAAUAACUUCUCCAAUUGAUUUCGUUCCGUUUCGACUCCAUCUGAUAUUCCUUUUCUUCAAAACACUGAAAUAGGCAUAAAACAACAAAUCUGGGCUGGGCCUCCGGUUAAUAGGUUAGUCCCAAAAAUAAUAUAAAAGUGGAAAAUAAAGCCCAAUAUUGCCCAAAAGAGUAGAUAAUAUAGCAUGGAGCAAUCAAAAAUUAUAGAUACGUUGGAGACAUAUCAAGCAUCCCCAAGCUUAAUUCCUACUCGUCCUCGAGUAGGUAAAUGGUAAAAAGAUAAUUUUUGAUGUGGAAGUUUAGUUGGCAUAAUUUCAAUGUAAUUCUUCUUAAUUGUGGCAUGAAUAUUCAGAUCCAUAAGAUUCAAGACAAAAGUUCAUAUUGACAUAGAAAAUAAUAAUACUUCAAGCAUACUAACAAAGCAAUUAUGUCUUCUCAAAAUAACAUGGCCAAAGAGAGCUAUCCCUACAAAAUCAUAUAGUAUGGCUAUGAUCCAUCUUCACCACACAAAAUAUUUAAAUCAUGCACAACCCCGAUGACAAGCUAAGCAAUUGUUUCAUACUUUAACCUUUUCAAAACUUUUUCAAUCUUCACGCAAUACAUGAGCGUGAGCCAUGGAUAUAGCACUAUAGGCGGAAUAGAAUGGUGAUUGUGGAGAAGACAAAAAGGAGGGGAAGAUAGUCUCACAUCAACUAGGCGUAUCAAUGGGCUAUGGAGAUGCCCAUCAAUAGAUAUCAAUGUGAGUGAGUAGGGAUUGCCAUGCAACAGAUGCACUAGAGCUAUAAAUGGAUGAAAGCUCAACAAAAGAAACUAGUGGGUGUGCAUCCAACUUGCUUGCUCACGAAGAUCUAGAGAAAUUUGAGGAAGCCCAUUAUCGGAAUAUACAAGCCAAGUUCUAUAAUGUAAAAUUCUCACUAGUAUAUGAAAGUGACAACAUAUGAGACUCUUUAUAUGAAGAACAUGGUGCUACUUUGAAGCACAAUAUACGAGACUCGCUAUAUCAUGGUGCUACUUUGAAGCACAAGUGUGGAAAAAGGGAUAGUAGCAUUGCCCCUUUUUAUUUAUUUUAUUUUUUUGGGCCUUUUUUUUCUUUGGCCUUUCUCUUUUUUUGGGACAAUGCUCUAUUGAAUGAUGAUCAUCGCACUUUUAUUUAUUUACAACUCUAUGAUUACAACUCGAUUCUAAAACAAAGUAUGACUCUAUAUGGAUGCCUCCGGCGGUGUACCGGGAUAUGCAAUGAAUCAAGAGUGACAAGUAUGAAUAAAUUAUGAACUGUGGCUUUGCCACAAAUACUUAUGUCAACUACAUGAUCAUGCUAAGCAAUAUGACAAUGAUGAAUGUGUCAUGAUGAACUAUAUGGUGGAAAGUUGCAUGGAAAUAUAUCUCGGAAUGGCUAUGGAAAUGCCAUAAUAGGUAGGUAUGGUGGCUGUUUUGAGGAAGGUAUAUGGUAGGUGUAUGAUACCGGUGAAAAGUGCGCGGUAUUAGAGAGGCUAGCAAAGGUGGAAUGGUGAGAGUGCGUAUAAUCCAUGGACUCAACAUUAGUCAUAAAGAACUCAUAUACUUAUUGCAAAAAUCUAGAAAUCAAAGCAAAGUAUUGUGCAUGCUCCUAGGGGGAUAGAUUGGUAGGAAAAGACCAUCGCUCGUCCCCGACCGCCACUCAUAAGGAAGACAAUCAAUAAACAAAUCAUGCUCCAACUUUGUUACAUAACGGUUCACCAUACGUGCAUGCUACGGGAAUCACAAACUUCAACACAAGUAUCUCUCAAAUUCACAACUACUCAACUAGCAUGACUCUAAUAUCACCAUCUCCAUAUGUGAAAACAAUUAUCAAGUAUCAAACUUCUCAUAGUAUUCAACACACUCAUAAGAGAAUUUUAUUAUUCUUGAAUACCUAGCAUAUUAGGAUUUUAAGCAAAUUACCAUGCUAUUUAAGACUCUCAAAAUAAUCUAAGUGAAGCAUGAGAGUUCAUCUAUUUCUUCAAAAUAAAACUACCACCAUGCUCUAAAAGAUAUAAGUGAAGCACUAGAGCAAAUGACAAACUACUCCGAAAGAUAUAAGUGAAGAUCAAUGAGUAGUUGAAUAAUUAUGCAACUAUGUGAAGACUCUCUAACAUUUAAUAAUUUCAGAUCUUGGUACUUUAUUCAAACAGCAAGCAAAGCAAAAUAAAAUGACAUCUAAGAAUAGCAAACAUCAUGUGAAGAAGCAAAAAACUUAGGAUCAACUGAAACUAACCGAUAAUUGUUGAAGAAGAAAGGUGGGAUGCCAACCGGGGCAUCCCCAAGCUUAGAUGCUUGAGACUUCUUGAGAUAUUAUCUUGGGAUGCCUUGGGAAUCCCCAAGCUUGAUCUUUUGUGUCUCCUUAAUUCCUCUCAUAUCACGGUCUCCCUAAAUCUCAAAAGCUUCAUCCACACAAAACUCAACAAGGACUCGUGAGAUAAGUUAGUAUAAACCAUUGCCAAAACCUUAUCAUACUCUACUGUAGCAAAUCACUAAAAUUAUUAUUCAACAUUGAAUACUAAAUGUCUCUGCAUAUUCAAUAGUCCUAUCCUCAAAUAGAAUCAUUAAAGAAGCAAACAUAUGCAAACAAUGCAAACAUAACAGCAAUCUGCCUAAACAGGAUAGUCUGUAAAGAAUGCUGCAACAUCCAUACUUCCCUAGCUCCAAAAAAUAUGAAAUAAAAUUCCCACUGUAGUAAAUUUAUCAGAGCUUAAUAUGCAAAAGGUUUCAACAUUUUAUCACAUUCUGACUUUUCUAGGGAAUUAUUGCAACAGCGGUAAACUUUCUGUUUUCAAACAGCAACAUGUGUACUUCUAAAAUAGGCAUAGAAAAGGCUAUCAAUGCCACUUUUAUUGAAAUAAAAGAUGCAAAACAUUGUUCUAAAUAACAGCAAGCAAAUCCUAACAAAAUAAAUUGACACUCCAAGCAAAACACAUAUCAUGUGGCGAAUAAAAAUAUUGCUCCAAGUAAAGUUACCGAUGAACGAAGACGAAAGAGGGGAUGCCUUCCGGGGCAUCCCCAAGCUUAGGCUCUUGGUUGUUGAGGGAGUCCUGGAUUAGGGGGUCUCCGGACAGCUGGACUAUCUCCAUUGGCCGGACUGUUAGACUAUGAAGAUACAAGAUUGAAGACUUCGUCUCGUGUCCGGAUGGGACUCUACUUGGCGUGGAAGGCAAGCUAGGCAAUACGUAUAUGGAUAUUUCCUACUUUGUAACCGACCUUGUGUAACCCUAACCCUCUCCGGUGUUUAUAUAAACCGAAGGGUUUUAGUCCGUAGGACAACAAUCACAACAUACAAUCAUACCAUAGGCUAGCUUCUAGGGUUUAGCCUCUCUGAUCUCGUGGUAGAUCUACUCUUGUACUACCCAUAUCAUCAAUAUUAAUCAAGCAGGACGUAGGGUUUUACCUCCAUCAAGAGAUCCCGAACCUGGGUAAAACAUCGUGUCCCUUGCCUCCUGUUACCAUCUGACCUAGACGCACAGUUCGGGACCCCCUACCCGAGAUCCACCGGUUUUGACACCGACAUUGGUGCUUUCAUUGAGAUUUCCUCUGUGUCAUCGCCGUUAGGCUUGAUGGCUCCUACUAUCAUCGAUAGCGAUGUGGUCCAGGGUGAGACUUUUCUCCCCGGACAGAUCUUCGUAUUCGGCGGCUUUGCACUGCGGGCUAAUUCGCUUGGCCAUCUGGAACAGAUCGAAAGCUACGCCCCUAGCCAUCAGGUCAGAUUUGGAAGUUUGAACUACAUGGUCGACAUCCGCGGAGACUUGAUCUUCGACGGAUUCGAGCCACAGCCGGGCGCGUCGCACUGUCGCGAUGGGUAUGACCUAGCUCUGCCGCCGAACAGUACCCCAGAGGCUGCGCCCGCAUCAGCUCUGACCCUUAGCUCGGAGCCAACUGCGCCAAUUAAGGACGGGUGGUUAGACACCGCCUCAGGGGCUGCAGUCUCAACGGCGAUCGAGCCGAACACCAGCAUAAUCCUCUACGCAGCCUGUGACUCCAAGGUGCCGGACUCGUUUUCUGACUUCGAACCGCCCGCGCCCCUGCUAAUCGAAUCUGAUUGGGCGUCGAUCAUGGAAUUCACCAUCGCAGACAUCUUUCAGCACUCGCCCUUCGGCGACAUUCUGAAUUCGCUAAGGUCUCUCUCUUUGUCAGGAGAGCCCUGGCCGGAUUAUGGCCAACAGGAUUGGGAUGCGGACGACGAAGAAAUUCAACGCCCACCCACCACCCACUUCAUAGCCACUGUCGACGAUUUAACCGACAUGCUCGACUUCGACUCCGAAGACAUCGAUGGUAUGGACGACGAUGUAGGAGACGAACAUGAACCAGCACCUAUAGGGCACUGGAAAGCCACCUCAUCAUAUGACAUAUACAUGGUGGAUACACCCAAAGAAGGCAAUGGCGACGGGAUAGCGGAGGAUGACCCCUCCAAGAAGCAACCCAAAUGCCGAUGUCAGCGGCGCCGCUCUAAGUCUUGCCAAAGCAAAAGUGAUGAUACGGGCACAGGAGAUAAUAACACUCCGGAUAGUGCUGAAGAAAACAACAAACCCCUCCAGCAAGAUUUAGAGCAGGAAGAUGGAGGAGAUAGCUCUCUUGAGAGAGCGGCAGACGGAGAGGAGGAGGAUGACAAUUACAUCCCCCCCUCCGAAGACGAGGCAAGCCUCGGCGAUGAUGAAUUCGCCCUCCCAGAGGAUCCCGUCGAACAAGAGCGCUUCAAGCGCCGGCUUAUGACCACGGCAAAUAGCCUGAAGAAAAAGCAGCAGCAGCUUGAAGCUGAUCAAGAUCUGCUAGCUGACAAAUGGACUGAAGUCCUCGCGGCCGAGGAAUAUGAACUCGAGUGCCCCUCCAAGAGUUACCCAAGGCACAAGUUACUACCCCGACUGGAGGAAGAAGCGUAUGGUACGGCUGAUCGGCCACCUCGUGGCCGCGAUAGAGAGGCAUUCCAGCCAAAAGCUCAACCUCCACCCCAACGCCAUUCAAAUAAAAAGGCAUGGGGAGAUACACCAGACCUGCGAGACAUAUUGGAGGACAAGGCAAAGCAUUCAAGAUCGAUCUACGGAUCACGAGGGCGCACCACUCUGUGAGACGACAAACGUCACGGCGGGUAUACAAGCAAAUCCGGCUGGGCCGAACACAGCGGGCAAGACCCAUUCAAGCUGCAUCGAGAUAUAGCCCAAUACAGAGGCGCCGCACACCCCUUAUGCUUCACAGACGAAGUAAUGGAACAUCAAUUCCCAGAAGGUUUCAAACCUGUAAACAUUGAAUCAUACGACGGCACAACAGAUCCUGCAGUAUGGAUUGAGGACUUCCUCCUCCACAUCCACAUGGCCCGCGGCGAUGACCUACACGCCAUCAAAUACCUCCCACUAAAGCUCAAAGGACCAACGCGGCAUUGGCUCAACAGCCUGCCAGCGGACUCCAUUAGCUGUUGUGAAGAUCUGGAAGCCGCAUUCCUCGACAACUUUCAGGGCACUUAUGUGCGACCACCAGACGCCGAUGAUUUAAGCCACAUAAUUCAGCAACCAGAAGAGUCGGCCAGGCAAUUCUGGACUCGGUUCCUUACAAAGAAAAAUCAAAUCGUCGACUAUCCGGAUGCUGAGGCCUUAGCGGCUUUCAAGCACAACAUCCAAGACGAGUGGCUAGCCUGGCACCUUAGUCAGGAAAAGCCGAAAUUUAUGGCAGCUCUCACGAAGCUCAUGACCCGCUUUUGUGAGGGAGAAGAUAGCUGGCUGGCUCGCAGUAAUAACAUAUCAAAGAACCAUGGUACCUCAGAUACCAAGGACGGCAAUAGCAGGUCACGUCGCAACAAGCAUAAGCGCCGCAUUAACAGCAAAAAUACUGAGGAUACGACAAUUAAUGCCAGAUUCAAAGGCUCUAAACCCGGUCAGUGGAAAAAACCAUUCAAACAAAGUAUGCCGGGUCCGUCCAGCUUGGACCGUAUACUCGAUCGCUCGUGUCAAAUACAUGGCACCCCAGACAAGCUAGCCAAUCACACCAACAGGGACUGUUGGGUGUUCAAGCAGGCCGGCAAGUUAAUUGCCGAAAACAAGGACAAGGGGCCGCAUAGCGAUGACGAGGAGGAACCCCGGCAGCCGCACACUGGAGGACAGAAGAGGUUUCCCCCGCAAGUGCGGACGGUGAACAUGAUAUACGCAACCCACAUCCCCAAGAGGGAGCGGAAGUGUGCACUCAGGGACGUAUAUGCGUUGGAGCCAGUCGCCCCAAAGUUCAACCCUUGGUCCUCCUGCCCGAUCACCUUCGAUCGCAGGGACCACCCCAUUAGUAUCUGUCAUGGCGGAUUUGCCGCACUGGUCCUAGACCCAAUCAUCGACGGAUUUCACCUCACUCGAGUCCUUAUGGACGGCGGCAACAGCCUGAACCUGCUUUAUCAGGACACAGUGUGCAAAAUGGGUAUAGACCCCUCAAGGAUCAAACCCACAAAAAUGACCUUUAAGGGCGUCAUUCCAGGCGUAGAGGCCCAUUGCACAGGCUCAAUUACAUUGGAAGUGGUCUUCGGAUCCCCGGAUAACUUCCGAAGCGAAGAGUUAAUCUUCGAUAUAGUCCCGUUCCGCAGUGGUUAUCACGCGCUGCUCGGGCGAACCUCAUUUGCUAGAUUCAAUGCGGUACCGCAUUAUGCAUACCUCAAGCUCAAGAUGCCAGGACCUCGCGGAGUCAUUUCAGUCAAUGGAAACACAGAGCGCUCUCUCCGAACAGAGGAGCACACCGCGACCCUCGCAGCAGAAGCGCAAAGCAGCCUCUCAACGCAAUCAACCAGUUCGGCGCUUGAAAGCCCGGACACCUUCAAGCGCGCUCGGGGCAAUCAGCAAAUAGACCGCCUGGCGCGAUCUGAGCUCGCGUAGCAAUACGACGGCCACCCCAACCCCAGCCCAACGGCGAUAUUCGUGCCGCGCGUACAUAAUUAUGCACUAAAAAUAUCAUGGGCACAGGUGGGGAGGGGGACAGAACGGCGGCACGCCCCAAAACACGGCCUAAACCGCACUAGGGGCUUCCCGUUUGGUUAUUUUUCUUUUUCUUUCAGGACCUUAAUCUCUGGAAACACUAUCCGGCAGCACUAUUGCCGAACACAUGAUGCAUCAACCAAGGAGGCAGACAACUACGUUAUACAACGGAGUACCCAGGUUGAUUACAGAUUUCAUAUCAUUCCUCAGCUCGCCCUUGGAAGGGACAUAGUCCUACUCUUUGCUUAUCGCACUAUGUGUAUCAUUCUGCUUUAACGCAAUUUUUCAAUAAACAAUGCAUGACAUUACGACUAUAAUUGCAUUCUUGUUAUAUAUAUAUAUAUAUAUAUAUAUGUGUGUGUGUGUGUGUGUGUGUGUGUGUGUGUGUGUGUGUGUGUGUGUGUUCAUUAAUGACGCCUUGCAACCGUACACUCUGGUACGGCCAAUACACCAGGGGCUUAUGUACCCCACAAUGCGGUGUGAAAAGUCCGAACACUUUCAUAAGUGUGACACCCCGAACUUAUAGCACUAUAUGCAUCAGCUCCGAAUCAUGUCUUUGGUCAAAUGUUGGGUUUGCCCGGCUCCUAUGUUUUGGUACCUUACGUUCCUCUCUAUCGGCUAAGGUAGCGCUAGGAGAACUACUGCGAUUGUGCCCCGGUUCUACUGGGCUGAGCACCUCAGUAGAGAAAGCUAAAACUGACUGUCAUGAUAAGGCGAGAGACUAGUCGUUGUUCGGUGAGGUUUUUCGAGUCCCUAAAGACUUAUGCCGCUUAGGGCGAGGGGCCGGCCCUGUCCGGCUUACAUGUGUGUAUCGCGCCCCGAAUUUGGCCUUCCGAAUACCAGGGGCUUCGCUGAAAUUUAAAAUUAUAGAAUUCUAUGGCUAAGUGAGAGUGAUAAAGCAUUAUUAGUCUGGUUGCCUUGUUCGUUGUGCUGAGCACCUGCCUAGAAGGACCCAAACAUGGGAACAAGAGUGCUCAGGUUUAUCCCGAACACCCCAGCACUCAUGGCAUGGGGGUAGAAGCCGAGGACUAGCCAUCUCUCAGAUUGGAUAAAUAGCCAAACAGAAGGUAAUAUUUUAAAUUCCAACAAGCGUUGCAUAGCGCAUAUGAAACAAGUUUUCAUACAUACAGGAUAAAAUGAGCAAGUCUCAUUCAAAUAUUACAUAUUUUGAACACUCAUCCGCGAUAAGACGGGCACCCGGCAGAACACCCUCGUAGUACAUAUCAGGGUGGCGGUGCUCCUUGCCCUCCGGCGGCCCCUCCUUGAUCAGCUUCACGGUGUCUAGCUUGACCCACUGCAUUUUUACAUGGGCGAAAUCCCGGUGUGCACCUUCAAUGCAGACGGAUCACUUGACGACCUCCAGCCGUGGGCAGGCAUCCACAAGCCGCCUCACCAGACCAAAGAAGCUGUUCAGAAGGGCGUCGCCAGGCCACAGCCGGACUAUAAAGCCCUUCAUGGCCUGAUCGGCCGCCUUAUGUAGCUCGACCAUCUACUUCAGCUGGUCGCUCAUCGGCACCUGAUGUUCGGCCUCAGCAUACUGAGACCAGAACAGCUUCUCCGUCGAGCUUCCGUCCUCGGCCUGGUAAAGUUGUGCGGCAUCGGACACACUGCGGGGCAAAUCUGCGAAUGCUCCUAAAGAGCUCCGGAUCCGAGUAAGUAAUCGGUAAUUUACUUUUACAUGCUUGCUUUGCAUAUAGAAAGCCUUGCCCGCCGAUAUCUUCUUCAUCAUGUCGAUCUCCUGAAGGGCCUUCCGGGCCUCGGCCUUGGCACUCUUUGCGCUCUCACGGGCCACGGCAAGCUCAGACUCUCGCGUCUUCAAGUCAAGCUCCAACGCCUCGUGCUUCGUCACGAGAGCCUGGAGCUCUUGCUGCACCUCGCCCACCCGAGCCUCGUGCUUCUCUCGCUCGGUGCGCUCCUUGGCCGCUGUAUCUUCGGCCUUGGUCAGCGCUUGCUUCAGGGUUGCCACCUCAGUCGUGGCCCCUGGCAAACAUACAGUGAUCCUGUCAUUUUGCAAUCGCGUCCUUUUUUAUAUGCAUAUCUAUAGACGGGGUAUUACUUACCCUUGUUCUCCUCGAGCUGCCUCUUGGCAAGGCCGAGCUCCUUCUUGGACCCCUCGCGGUCCUGCUUCAGCAUGGCGACCUCCGCAGUCAGUGCGGCGGAUGCCAGCAGCGAAGCCUGCAUACGCAUAUCGACAUACUUAUGUUAGACUCCUGCGAUAUUAUUUGAUCCUCUAUUCGGCUUUUCUUUUUGAACACCGAACAAAGCAUCAGGGGCUACUGUCUAUGCGGUAAUAUUUCUACUACAUUUUAAAACACUUACCUCGAAGCCUGUUAGAAGGCUGGCACAGGCUUCAGUCAAUCUGCUCUUGGCGGACUGAACCUUCUGGAUGACUGCACUCAUGAUAGUGCGGUGCUCCUCGUCGAUAGAAGCGCUGCGAAGCGCUUCCAGCAGAUUGUCCGGCGCCUCUGGAUGGAUAGAGGUCACCGGCACUGGCGUCUUGCUCCUCUUAGAAGGAGGCCGCCUGCCCGAGCCCGGAAGCGCUGGAGGGUCCGGCACGGUGUUCGGCUGAGGGCCGAACUCGGAGCUCUCGGGGGGCCCGUCCCCUCGGCUCUCGGAGUCCGGAAGGUCGCCUUGAGGCACCUCCUGGACUGUCUCCCCUCGACCCGGUGCCUCUUGAGACAACAUCUCGGCGUCGUCGGCAGGAUGAGGGGAGGUGGCGGUCGGGACUGGAUCGCUAUCCAUGUCCGACGAGCCUAGGGAGCCAUCCGAUGAUACCUCGAUAUUGGCUCGGGGCGGCCUGCAUAAUUAUAUUCGGCGAUUAGGGAAAGCAGUGCAACAAAGGAAUCCUAUGAGUUACUCUGGUAUCCGAAUACUUAUGAUCUCCCCGGGGGCUUGACCCUGGGCAGCCACUCGUCUUCGCCUUCGUCGACGGCGGUGGAACUGUCCGGAAGGAGAGUCCUUCCCUUCUUGGACCCUCCGGCCUCCCCGGUUGGGGUGGCCUUCCUUUUCUUGUCUUCCCCAGUCGGUGGGGGAGCAUCUUCUUCUUCUUCCUCGUCUUUGGGGGAAGAGUGCGCCGCAGAGUCAUCGGACGGUGAGUACGACGACGCCUGGCGUCGGGAACUCUUUCGAGCUCCCUUGGCCUUCUUGGUCUUCUCUGGCACCUUAUAAGGGGCCGGAGUCAACAUCUUCGCCAGAAGAGCGCCAGCGGGGCCUUCGGGCAAAGGAGCCGGACAGUCGAUCUGUCUGGCCAUCUUCUGCCAAUCCUGUCAAACGUACGGGAGUUUAGAUCCCGCAUAGAGUCAAUCUAUAUAAAAAAUGAUUAUCCUAUGAAAGGUAAAGCAGCUUACCGCACUGGCUUGGCGCUUCGCGCUGAAUCUGCGAUCCUCAGUAAUAGGGGGACCUCGACACUUUUGAACAGCACCCUCCAGGCGUCUUCAUGAGUUGUGUCGAAGAGCCUGUUCAGAGUUCAGUGCUGCGCCAGAUUGAACUCCCACAAGUUGAACUCCCGUUGUUGGCACGGGAGUAUCCGGCGGAUGAGCAUGACUUGGACUAUGUUGACAAGCUUGAGCUUCUUGUCCAACAUGUUUUGAAUACAUGUUUGGAGUCCGGUCAGCUCCUUCGAACUACCCUAGGACAGGCCCUUCUCUUUCCAGGAGGUGAGCCGUGUGGGGAUGCCAGAUCGGAACUCGGAGGCCACUGCCCAUGCAGGGUCGCGCGGCUCAGUGAUAUAGAACCACCCUGAUUGCCACCCCUUUAUGGUUUCCACAAAGGAGCCCUCGAGCCAUGUUAUGUUGGGCAUCUUGCCCACCAUGGCGCCUCCGCACUCCGCCUGGCGGCCGCCCACCACCUUCGGCUUGACAUUGAAGGUCUUCAGCCAUAAGCCAAAGUGGGGCUUGACGCGGAGGAAGGCCUCGCACAAGACGAUAAACGCCGAGAUGUUGAGGACGAAGUUCGGGGCCAGAUCGUGGAAAUCCAGGCCGUAAUAAAACAUGAGCCCCCAGACGAAGGGAUGGAGAGGGAAUCCCUGUCCAUGGAGGAAAUGGGUGAGGAAUACCACCCUCUCAUGGGGCCUGGGGGUGGGGAUGAGCUGCCCCUCAUCUGGGAGCCGGUGCGCGAUGUCGUCGGGCAGGUAUCCGGCUCUCCUCAGUUUCUUGAUGUCUCCCUCCGUGACGGAGGAGACCAUCCACUUGCCUCCCGCUCCGGAUAUGGUUGGAGAAGGUUGAGGUGGAAGUGAGGACUUGGGUGCUAGAGCUCGAGUGUGCAGAAACGGAUGAGCAAAGGAGGAAGAAGGCGUGGAUAGAAAGGUGAAUCCUUAUCCCCUUAUAUGGGCGGACGAAACUAAGCGUCCCCACUUGCCUGGUAAAACUCGCUUAUCCCCCAAGCACUACAAUUGAUGGCGUGGUUGGGUUACCCACGCCCGUAUUGAUGAGAAUCCCGUAAUAAGGGGACACGACUGCUUUGACAAGACGUGUCGAAAAAACCGCCUCGCGUUAUGCGCAGGGAUGGUUAAAAGAAAACGGUUUGAAUAAUCACCGGGCCAUGACGUAACAUCAUAUUGCCAAAACAAGCCAGCAAAUUAGAUCUGCAAAAAUAUUAUUCUCUCUAUGGUGGGAUGUGGAACUUAUUUUGCAGGGUCGGACACUAUCCUCAUAUUCAAAUUCUUCUGAUGUAUUCGGAGAAAGAACCUGUAACACCCCGGAUAUGAUUUACCCAAUAUGUACUCCAAAUCUUGCCGUUUCUGGCGUUAAGUUAUUUUAUUUUCUCGGGUUCAGGUUUUGUCUCCGUGUGUUGUUAUCGUUGUCAUGCAUCUCAUAUCAUGUCAUCAUGUGCAUUGCAUUUGCAUACGUGUUCAUCUCAUGCAUUCGAGCAUUUUCCCCGUUGUCCGUUUUGCAUUCCGGCGCAUCGUUCUCCUCCGGUGGUCAUUUCUAACUUUCUUUCGUGUGUGGGGAUUAAACAUUUUCGGAUUGGACCGAAACUUGCCAAGCGGCCUUGGUUUACUACCGGUAGACCGCCUGUCAAGUUUCGUACCAUUUGGACUUCGUUUGAUGCUCCAACGGUUAACCGAGGGACCGAAAAGGCCUCGUGUGUGUUGCAGCCCAACACCCCUCCAUUUUGGCCCAAAACCCACCAAAACCUUCUCCAUCAUCUAGAGCGUUCGAUCAUGAUCGCGUGGCCGAAAACCGCACCUCGUUUGGACACUCCUAGCUCCCUCUAUGUCUAUAUAUAUCUCCCCCAUUCGAAAUCACGGGUGAAACCCUAGUCCCCCUCCUCCUCCAGCCGCAGGACAAAAAUCUGGAUGGCUGGACAUUGUUCGCCGCCGCCGCCGACCUACCACUCGCCGCCACGUGUCCCCGGGCGGGUGCCCACUUCGUCGCCGCCACAAGGGCCCGCGAAGGCCCGAGGCCGGCCCUCCCCGGCGCCGACCGGGCCCGGACGCCCCGACCGCGCCGCCUCCCUUCUUCCCCGCACAUGGCGCCCUUCCUCCCGGCCGGCCGCCGCGGCGCCAUUGCCGCCCGCCGCCCUCGUCGCCUCAUCGCCUCAUCUCUGACGCCGGCCACCACCGCGGCGCUCCUCGCCGGCCCCGGCAACCCCGGCGAGCUCCCUCCUCCCCGGCCGCCUCGUCCUUCUCCGGAGUCUACAGUAGCUCCGGCCGCCGCCUCGGUUCACGCGCCCGAUCUAGUUCCAGAUCUGAGAUUCGGUUGAACUUUGACCUAAUUUUCAGUAAUAUUUUGCCAUGUUCAUUGCAUCGUAACUUUGCAUCCGUAGUUCCGUUUUGGGCAUAUAGCAUAUCAAAAUGUUCGUCUCAGAGAGUACAUCAUUUCAUCUCAUUGCAUCAUUUUCAUUUGAGUUCAUCUUGAUGCCCGAAAUGCUGUUAGAAGAAGGCUAUUUGAGAUAAUUUUCAGAUCUGCUACUCCAAUUAGAUAUUUGUCAUUUUUGCCAUGAUUAUUGUGUGCAUGAUAUGCCCCUGAGCUCUUCAUGAGUAUUGUUAUAUGUUUUGCCAUCUAUCCAAAGGUGCAACCCAUGUAUUUUUGUGAUGUGUUUGGUGACUAGCACAAGCUUGCAAAGUGGAGCAUUCGUUAAUGCUGAUUUCAGGGACUUAGCAUUUCCACUAAGUCCUUGGCCUGUUUAUCUCAUAUGGCCAUAUGUUCAUGUUGUUUCCUAGUGAUCCGUGCCUCUUUUGAGGAUGAUCAGUAAGGAUGUUUUGUUAAUAUUGUAGUGCUAUAUCCAUCCAUGUCUUUGUUUGAAAUUAUGGAGCACCCUAGCUUGAGUCAAUCGAGCUCUACUUUUGUCAUUUCGUGAAUCUGGGCAGAUUGUCUACUUGUUAGCAAUUUUGCCGAGAAUGUUGUAGUUGAUCCGUGCAUGCUAUGUUAUUGUUCUUGCCAUGUCUAGCUUGUAUUUUGUGUAUUCUUUAUGGGUACAUACUUAGAUUGUCAUUACUUGCUCUGUAGUGAGUGCAUCGAGCUCGUAAACAUGCCUACUUGAUAUCUGUUUCAGCAUGCUCCAGUUUUCACUAAGUUUGAGAACUGAUUAUGUUUUUGCCAUGUUCACAUGCUUGCAAAUGUAUUUUCUGAUCCCUUUUGGCUCAAGGUCACUAAGGGGCUUUUGUUAAGAUCUUUGAGUAGCUCCAUGCCAUGCUUUACUUUGCCAUGUUCAGGUCCUGUAGUAUAUUGUUUUCGUGCUCCAAAGAGUGCUAUCUGAUCUGAAAUUCCAGACAAGUGUUAAUUUCACUAAGUUUGAGAUCUGUUUACCAAAUGCAUUUUUGCCAUGCUUGUUUGAACCUGUUAAUGGAUGAAUUGGCCAUAGCUCAGUGCUAGACUUUUGUUAAGCAUCAUGUAUGUAUCCCUGCCAUGUAUUUUGUUGUCUUGUUUGGGUGCUGUAGCAUGUUCAUCUUGUUGCAUUUAGGUGGCUACUUGCUGUAAAUCGCAGUACGUGGUCAUAUUUGAAUCGUUCGUCAUUUCCAAACUGUAACUCCGAUUCCGGCGUUCUUUAUAUCGUUUUGUAGCGAUCUCAUCUCAUCUUUCCAGUGGCACACUUGGAUUUCCAAGUUGAGGCCAGGUUCAUGCAUUCCUUGUCAAAUCUUGCAUAUGCAUCACAUAUUGCAUCCCACAUAGCAUACCAUCUUUGCAUCAUGUUGUUUGAGUUUGCACGUGGUUGAUUGUGUCCUUGUUGCUUGUUUGUCUUGUUUGGGUAGAGCCGGGAGACGAGUUCGCUAAUGAGGAGCCCGUUGAGUUUGCUUUCGAGGAUCCAGUCAACUCUGACAAGUUUGCAGGCAAGAUGAUCAUACCCUCAAAAUCACUACUAUCUUUGCUUUGCUAGAUGCUCGCUCUUUUGCCAUGCCUAUGCUACGAUGCCUACCACUUGCUUAUCAUGCCUCCCAAAUUGCCAUGUCAAACCUCUAACCCACCAUGUCCUAGCAAACCGUUGAUUGGCUAUGUUACCGCUUUGCUCAGCCCCUCUUAUAGCGUUGCUAGUUGCAGGUGAAGAUUGGAGACCGUUCCUUGUUGGAACAUUAUUUACUUGUUGGGAUAUCAUUAUAUUGCCUUGUUAUAUUAAUGCAUCUAUAUACUUGGUAAAGGGUGGAAGGCUCGGCCUCUCGCCUAGUGUUUUGUUCCACUCUUGCCACCCUAGUUUCCGUCAUAUCGGUGUUAUGUUCCCGGAUUUUGCGUUCCUUACGCGGUUGGGUGAUAAUGGGAACCCCUUGAUAGUUCGCCUUGAUUAAAGCUUUUCCAGCAAUGCCCAACCUUGGUUUUACCAUUUGCCACCUAGCCUCUUUUCCCUUGGGUUUCCGGAGCCCGAGGGUCAUCUUAUUUUAAACCCCCCCGGGCCAGUGCUCCUCUAAGGUUUGGUCCCACCGAGCGAUGUCCGGGGCUACCAGGGGCAACUCUGGGCUGGCCUACCCGACGUCUGGCUCAUCUGAGUGUGCCCUGAGAACGAGAUAUGUGCAGCUCCUAUCGAGAUUUAUCGGCACAUUCGGGCGGUGUUGUUGGAUUUGUUUUAACUUGUCGAAGUGUCUUGUAGAACCGGGAUACCGAGUCUGAUUGGAAUGUCUCGGGAGAAGGUCUAUUCCUUCGUUGACCGUGAGAGCUUGUCAUGGGCUAAGUUGGGACUCCCCUGCAGGGAUUUGAACUUUCGAAAGCCGUGCCCGUGGUUAUGGGCAGAUGGGAAUUUGUUAAUGUCCGGUUGUAGACAAUUUGGACCUUAACUUAAUUAAAAUGAAUCAACCAUGUGAGUUACCGUGAUGGUCUCUUCUCGGCGGAGUCCGGGAAGUGAACACGGUGUUGGAGUAGUGCUUACCGCAGGAUGCCCUCUAGUUACUCGUUCGCGCUUUGCCUCCUCUUCUCGCUCUCUUUUGCGAAUAGGAUAGCCACCAUAUAUGCUAGUCGCUUGCUGCAGCUCCACAUAUUUUCCUUGCCUUACCUAUUAAGCUUAAAUAGUCUUGAUCGCGAGGGUGCGAGAUUGCUGAGUCCCUAUGGCUCACAGAUUACUUCCAAACCAGAUGCAGGGCCAGAUGACUCCGUUCCAGAUGACGCGCUUGAGCUCAAGUGGGAGUUCGACGAGGACUCACGCCGUUACUACGUGUCUUUCCCUGAUGAUCAGUAGUGGUGCCCAGUUGGGGUGAUCGGGACCGUGUCGCAUGUUGGGUUAUCUUUUAUUUUGGUGCCGUAGUCGGGCCAUGAGUGUUUGAAUUGUAAUGCUAUUUAUGUACUUUGAUUGACGUGGCGAGUGUAAGACAACUAUGUAUCUCCCCUUUUAAUAUCUAUAUUACAUGGGAUGUUGUGAUGAUUGCCUAACUUGCGACAUUGCUUUCAAUGCGGUUAUGUCUCUAAGUCGUGCCUCGACACGUGGGAGCUAUAGCCGCAUCGAGGGCGUUACAGAACCUGCCUUGCAAUGCCGAAGACAAUACUACGCACCAGACUCAUCGUCAUUGAAGCCUGGUUCAGGGGCUACCGAGGGAGUCCUGGAUUAGGGGGUCUCUGGACAGCCGGACUAUCUCCAUUGGCCGGACUGUUAGACUAUGAAGAUACAAGAUUGAAGACUUCGUCUCGUGUCCGGAUGGGACUCUACUUGGUGCGGAAGGCAAGCUAGGCAAUACAUAUAUGGAUAUUUCCUCCUUUGUAACCGACCUUGUGUAACCCUAACCCUCUCCGGUGUCUAUAUAAACCGAAGGGUUUUAGUCCGUAGGACAACAAACACAACAUACAAUCAUACCAUAGGCUAGCUUGUAGGGUUUAGCCUCUCUGAUCUCAUGGUAGAUCUACUCUUGUAUUACCCAUAUCAUCAAUAUUAAUCAAGCAGGACAUAGGGUUUUACCUCCAUCAAGAGGGCCCGAACCUGGGUAAAACAUCGUGUCCCCUGCCUCCUGUUACCAUCCGGCCUAGACGCACAGUUCGGGACCCCCUACCCGAGAUCCGCCGAUUUUGACUCCGACAGUUGUCCUUGAAUAUUACCUUGGGGUGCCUUGGGCAUCCCCAAGCUUAGGCUCUUACCACUCCUUAUUCCAUAGUCCAUCGAAUCCUUACCCAAAACUUGAAAACUUCACAACACAAAACUUAACAAAAAACUCGUAAGCUCCGUUAGUAUAAGAAAAUAAAUCACUACUUCAAGGUACUGUAAUGAACUCAUUCUUUAUUUAUAUUGGUGUUAAACCUACUGUAUUCCAACUUCUCUAUGGUUUAUAAACUAUUUUACUAGCCAUAGAUUCAUCAAAAUAAGUAAACAACACAAUGAAGACAGAAUCUGUCAAAAACAGAACAGUCUGUAGUAAUCUGGAUCAAACGUAUACUUAUGGAACUCAUAAAAUUAUCAAAUAAAUUGCUGGACCUGAGGAAUUUAUCUAUUAAUUAUAUGCAAAAAGAAUUAACUAAAUAUCACUCUCCAAAUAAAAAUGGCAGCAGUUCUCGUGAGCGCUAAAGUUUCUGUUUUUGACAGCAUGAUCAACAAGACUCUCCCCAAGUCUUCCUAAAGGUUCUACUUGGCACAAACACUAAUUAAAAGCAUAAAACCACAUCUAAGCAGAGGAUAGAUGAAUUAUUUAUUACUAAACAGGAACAAAAAUCAAGGGACAAAAAUAAAAUUGGGUUGCCUCCCAACAAGCUCUAUCGUUUAAUGCCCCUAGCUAGGCAUGAUGAUUUCAACGAUGCUCACGUAAAGGAUAAGAAUUGAAACAUAAAGAGAGCAUCAUGAAGAAUAUGACUAGCACAUUUAAGUCUAACAUGCUUCCAAUGCAUAGGGAUUUUGUGAGCAAACAACGUAUGAGAACAAUAAUCAACUUACAUAGGAAGGUAAAACAAGCAUAACUUCAAAACUUUAAGCACAUAGAGAGGAAACUUGAUAUUAUUGCAAUUCCUACAAGCAUACAUUCCUCCAUCAUAAUAAUUUUCAGUAGCAUCAUGAAUGAAUUCAACAAUAUAACUAUCACAUAAAGCAUUCUUUUCAUGAUCUACAAGCAUAGAAAAUUUACUACUCUCCACAUAAGCAAAAUUCUUCUGUUGAAUAGUAGUGGGAGCAAACUCAACAAAGUAACUAUCAUGGGAUUGAAAAUUUAAAUCAAGAUGACAAGUUUCAUUGUUAUCAUUAUUCUUUAAAGCAUACGUGUCAUCACAAUAAUCAUCAUAGGUAGGAGGCAUGCUUUCAUCAUAAUAAAUUUGCUCAUCAAAACUUGGGGGACAAAAAAUAUCAUCUUCAUCAAACAUAGCUUCCCCAAGCUUGUGGAUUUGCAUAUCAUUAGCAUCAUGGAUAUUCAAGGAAUUCAUACUAACAACAUCGCAAUAAUGCUCAUCAUUCAAAUAUUUAGUGCCAAACAUUUUAUAGAUUUCUUCUUCUAGCACUUGAGCACAAUUAUCCUUUCCAUCAUACUCACAAAAGAUAUUAAAAAGGUGAAGCGCAUGAGACAAACUCAAUUCCAUUUUUAUAGUUUUCUUUUAUAGAUUAAACUAGUGAUAAAACAAGAAACUAAAAGACUCGAUUGCAAGAUCUAAAGAUAUACCUUCAAGCGCUAACCUCCCCGGCAAUGACACCAGAAAAGAGCUUGAUGUCUACUACACAACCUUCUUCUUGUAGACGUUGUUGGGCCUGCAAGUGCACAGGUUUGUAGGACAGUAGCAAAUUUCCCUCAAGUGAAUGACCUAAGGUUUAUCAAUCCGUAGGAGGCGUAGGAUGAAGAUGGUCUCUCUCAAGCAACCCUGCAACCAAAUAACAAAGAGUCUCUUGUGUCCCCAACACACCCAAUACAAUGGUAAAUUGUAUAGGUGCACUAGUUCGGCGAAGAGAUGGUGAAACAAGUGGUAUAUGGAUAGUAGAUAAAGGUAUUUGUAAUCUGAAAAUAUAAAAAUAGCAAGGUAGCAAGUGAUAAAAGUGAGCGUAAAUGGUAUUGCAAUGUGUUGAAACAAGGCCUAGGGUUCAUACUUUCGCUAGUGUAAGUUCCCUCAAUGAUACUAACAUAAUUGGAUCAUAAAACUAUCCCUCAACAUGCAACAAAGAGUCACUCCAAAGUCACUAAUAGCGGAGAACGAAUGAAGAGAUUAUGGUAGGGUACGAAACCACCUCAAAGUUGUUCUUUCCAAUCAAUCCGUUGGGCUAUUCCUAUAAUUGUCACAAACAGCCCUAGAGUUCGUACUAGAAUAACACCUUAAGAUACAAAUCAACCAAAACCCUAAUGUCACCUAGAUACUCCAAUGUCACCUCAAGUAUCCGUGGGUAUGAUUAUACGAUAUGCAUCACACAAUCUCAGAUUCAUCUAUUCAACCAACACAAAGGACAUCAAAGAGUGCCCCAAAGUUCUACCGGAGAAUCACGACGAAAACGUGUGCCAACCCCUAUGCAUAGGUUCCCAAUGUCACGAAACCCGCAAGUUGGUCACCUUAACAUACAUCAAGUGGCACGUGGUAUCCCAUUGUCACCACAGAUAUCCAUGUCAAGACAUACAUCAAGUGUUCUCAAGUCUUUAAAGACUCAAUCCGAUAAGAUUACUUCAAAGGGGAAACUCGAUUCAUUACAAGAGAGAAGAGGGGGGAAGAAACAUCAUAGGAUCCAAAUAUAAUAGCAAAGCUCGCGAUACAUCAAGAUCGUAUCAUCUCAAGAACACGAGAGAGAGAGAGAUCAAACACAUAGCUACUGGUACAUACCCUCAGCCCCGAGGGAGAACUACUCCCUCCUCGUCAUGGAGAGUACCGGGAUGAUGAAGAUGGCCACCGGACAGGGAUUGCCCCCUCCGGUAGGGUGCCGGAAUGGGUCUAGAUUGGUUUUCGGUGUCUACGGAGGCUUCUGGCGGCGGAACUCCCGAUCUAUGUUGCAUUCUGGAAGUUUUAGGUCACGUAGGCAUAUAUGGGUGCAGGAGGUAUGUCAGGGGAGCCAUGGGGGCCCCACGAGGCAGGGGGCGCGCCCUAGGGGGAUGGGCGCCCCCCACCCUCGUGGGCAGCUCCCGUAUCUUCUGACGUGGGGUCCAAGUCCAUUAGGUGCGUUUCCUUCCAAAAAUAACUUCUCCAGUUGAUUUCGUUCCGUUUCGACUCCGUCUGAUAUUCCUUUUCUUCAAAACACUGAAAUAGGCAUAAAACAACAAAUCUGGGCUGGGCCUCCGGUUAAUAGGUUAGUCCCAAAAAUAAUAUAAAGUGGAAAAUAAUGCCCAAUAUUGCCCAAAACAAUAGAUAAUAUAGCAUGGAGCAAUCAAAAAUUAUAGAUACGUUGGAGACGUAUCAACAUCACUCCUUGGUAUAGAUAUGUUAGUGACACCAUCACUGGAGGGAAUUUCUUGGGAAGCCAUACUUUUGAUUCUUAUAAUGCCAUGAUAGAUUUGUUAAGCCCACCACCUCUUUUGGCCAAUGGAACUAUUUUAACUUUGGAACAUGUGAUGCAAAGGCUUGAUAUUAUUGAAAAUAAAAUUGCCACUGUAGUGCUAAUUGAAAAUUUGGAUAAAAAGAUCCACAAUCAAAUUACUCAAUAUGGAUCUAAGGUAGGAGUUACUCUGAAAAAUCUUAAGGAAAAGGAACCCAUAGUUACUGAAAAGAUAGAUCAAGAUUCCACUAGAAUUGAUAAACUCGAAGAGAUUAUUACCAACUUGGGGUCCGCUUUUUCUGCCAUUAAAAACACCUCAAAUCCUCCUCAUACCAAAGUUGCCAAAUUUAUCUAUGUUCCUAAAAAUAAGGGUGAAUCUUCUAGUAAGAAAAAUGAAGAUCUCAAAUCAAUAAGUGUUCACCCCAACUUUUUAGAUAUUGUUAAAGAACCUUUUGCUACAAAUGAAUUUCUUGAUUUCCUACCUAGGAGUUUGAUCAUUUGCAAAAAAUAAAGAACCUCCUAAGGGAUAUAAGUGUUCAAUUGAAGAAUUGCCUACCAAAGAGGACAAUACCUAGAUCUAUUCUUGUUUUUACGCCUAGCUAGGGGCGUUAAACGAUAGCGCCUGUUGGGAGGCAACCCAAUUUUAUUUUUGUUCCUGUUUAGUAAUAAUAAAUCAUCUAUCCUCUGUUAUGAUUGUGUUUUUUAUGUUUUAAUUAGUUUUUGUACCAAAUAAAGCCUUUAGGAUCUUCUUGGAUGAUUGUUAUUUGAUCUUGCUGGAAAAAAUCAGAAAGUAUGCGCUCACGAUAAUAAUUUUAAUUUUUUACCAGUGAGUGAUAAAAUACUGUUUCCAACUGCAGUAGAUCAAUAUACAAAUUAUUUAGGAUGUCCUAAUUUCUCAGGAUUUUUGGAGUUACAGAAGUAUUCGAAACCUAUAGAUUACUACAGACUGUUCUGUUUUUGACAGAUUCUGUUUUUCGUGUGUUGUUUGCUUAUUUUGAUGAAUAUAUAGUUAGUAUCAGGGGGUAUGAACCAUAGAGAAGUUGUAAUACAGUAGGUUUAACACCAAUAUAAAUAAAGAAUGAGUUUAUUACAGUACCUUAAAGUGGUGAUUUGUUUUCUUAUACUAACGGAGCUCAUGAGAUUUUCUGUUGAGUUUUGUGUUGUGAAGUUUUCAAGUUUUUGGGUAAAGAUUUGAUGGAUUUUGGAACAAGGAGUGGCAAGAGCCUAAGCUUGGGGAUUCCCAAGGCACCCCAAGGUAAAAUCCAAGGACAAACAAAAGCCUAAUCUUGGGGAUGCCCCGGAAGGCAUCCCCUAUUUCGUCUUCAUCUAUCGGUAACUUUACUUGAGGCUAUAUUUUUAUUCACCACAUGAUAUGUGUUUUGCUUGGAGCGUCUCGUAUUAUUUGAGUCUUUGCUUUUUAGUUUACCACAAUCAUCCUUGCUGUACACACCUUUUGGAGAGACACACAUGAAUCGGAAUUUAUUAGUAUACUGCUACACUUAUAUCUUUUGAGUUAGAUAAUUUUGCUCUAGUGCUUCACUUAUAUCUUUUUAGAGCACGGUGGUGGUUUUAUUUUAUAGAAAUUAUUGAUCUCUCAUGCUUCACUUACAUUAUUUUGAGAGUCUUUUAGAACAGCAUGGUAAUUUGCUUUGAUUAUGAAAUUAGUCCUAAUAGAUAGGCAUCCAAGAUGGGUAUAAUAAAAACUUUCAUAUAGAGUGCAUUAAAUACUAUGAGAAGUUUGAUUCUUGAUAGUUGUUUCGAGAUAUAAAGGUGGUAAUAUUAGAGUUGUGCUAGUUGAGUAAUUGUGGAAUUGAGAAAUACUUGUGUUGAAGUUGGCAAGUCCCGCAGCAUGCACAUAUGGUAAACAUUGUGUGACAAAUUUGAAGCACAGGAUGUUCUUUGAUUGCUUUCUUUAUGCGUGGCGGUCGGGGAUGAGCAAUGGUCUUUUCCUACCAAUCUAUCCACCUAGGAGCAUGUGCGUAGUGCUUGGUUUUGAUGACUUGUAGAUUUUUUCAAUAAUUAUGUGAGUUCUUUAUGAGUAAUGUUGAGUCCAUGGAUUAUACGCACUCUCACCCUUCCAUCAUUGCUAGCCUCUUCGGUACUGUGCAUUGCCCUUUCUCACCUUGAGAGUUGGUGCAAACUUCGCCGGUGCAUCCAAGCCCCGUGAUAUGAUUGAUACAUCUCCGACGUAUCUACUUUUCCAAACACUUUUGCCCUUGUUUUGGACUCUAACUUGCAUGAUUUGAAUGGAACUAACCUGGACUGACGCUAUUUUCAGCAAAAUUGCCAUGGUGUUAUUUUUGUGCAGAAAUAAAAGUUCUUGGAAUGACCUGAAAAUCAAUGGAGAAUAUUUUUGGAAUAUAUAAAAAAUAUUGGCGAAAGAAUCAAGGCCAGGGGGCCCACACCCUGUCCACGAGGGUGGGGGGUGCGCACCCCUGCCUCGUGGGCCCCCUGAAGCUCCACCGACCUCAACUCCAACUCCAUAUAUUCACGUUCGGGGAGAAAAAAAACAGAGAGAAGGAUUCAUCGCGUUUUACGAUACGGAGCCGCCGCUAAGCCCUAAUCUCUCUCGAGAGGGCUGAUCUGGAGUCCGUUCGGGGCUCCGAAAAGGGGAAUCCAUUGCCAUCGUCAUCACCAACCUUCCUCCAUCACCAAUUUCAUGAUGCUCACCGCCGUGCGUGAGUAAUUCCAUCGUAGGCUUGCUGGACGGUGAUGGGUUGGAUGAGAUUUAUCAUGUAAUCUAGUUAGUGUUGUUAGGGUUUGAUCUCUAGUAUCCAUUAUGUUCUCAGAUUGUUGUUGCUAUGACUUUGCUAUGCUUAAUGCUUGUCACUAGGGCCCGAGUGCCAUGAUUUCAGAUCUGAACCUAUUAUGUUUCCUUGAAUAUAUGUGAGUUGUUGAUCCUACCUUGCAAGUCUAUAGUCACCUAUUAUGUGUUAUGAUCCGCUAACCCCGAAGUGACAAUAAUCGGGAUACUUACCGGUGAUGACCGUAGUUUGAGGAGUUCAUGUAUUCACUAAGUGUUAAUGCUUUGGUCUAGUACUAUAUUAAAAGGAGGCCUUAAUAUCCCUUAGUUUCCAAUAGGACCCCGCUGCCACGGGAGGGUAGGACAAAAGAUGUCAUGCAAGUUCUUUUCCAUAAGCACGUAUGACUAUAUUCGGAAUACAUGCCUACCUUACAUUGACGAACUGGAGCUAGUUCUGUGUCACCCUAUGUUAUAACUAUUGCAUGAGGAAUCACAUCCGACAUAAUUAUCCAUCACUGAUCCAUUGCCUACAAGCUUUUCACAUAUUGUUCUUCGCUUAUUUACUUUUCUGUUGCUACUGUUACAAUCACUAUAAAACCAAAACUGCUACUGUUACUUUUGCCACCGUUACCACUACUAUCAUAUUACUUUGCUGCAGAUAUUAAGUUUCCAGGUGUGGUUGAAUUGACAACUCAGCUGCUAAUACUUGAGAAUAUUCUUUGGCUCCCCUUAUGUUGAAUCAAUAAAUUUGGGUUGAAUACUCUACCCUCGAAAACUGUUGCGAUCCCCUAUACUUGUGGGUUAUCAAGACUAUUUUCUGGCGCCGUUACCGGGGAGCAUAGCUCUAUUCUUUGAGUCACUUGGGAUUUAUAUCUAUUGAUCACUAUGAAGAACUUGAAAGAUCAAAGAACCAAAAAAAUUCCCUCAACUACGAGGGGAGGUAAGGAACUGCCAUCUAGCUCUACACUUGAUUCACCUUCUAUUUUGAGUAAGCUUGCGACACCUACUCCUGCUAUUCAUUCUGAUAUGUCGCAUGUUAUUGAUGAUGCCACUUCUUGUUUGCAUGAUUCUUAUGAUGAAACUACUUCUAUGCUUGAUAAUACUGUGCCACUAGGUGAAUUUCUUGAUGCACAACUUGCUAGGGUUAGAGAGAAUGAAAUUAUUGAAACUGAUAAUAUUGAUGAAAGUGAUGAUGAAGAUUCUCCCCCUAGAUAUUAAUUGCCUGUUGUGCCUGAGGUCUAUGUUAUGGAUGAAGAAAAUGCUAGAGACUUUCUUGCUUGCAAUGAUAGAUAUGAUCUUAAGAAAUUAUUAGCUAAGCAGAAAGAAAAAUCUUUGAAUGCUAGAAUGAAACAUGACCCUGCUUUUGCUACUUCACCUAUCUUUAUUACUGAUAAGGAUUAUGAUUUCUCUGUCGAUCCUGAGUUAAUUACCUUGGUCGAAUUUGAACCUUUUUAUGGCUAUGAAUCUGAAACUAUUGUGGCACAUCUUACUAAAUUAAAUGAUAUGGCCACCCUAUUCACUAAUGAUGAGAAAACUCGCUAUUACUUUAUCCUUAAGUUGUUUCCGUUCUCAUUAAAGGGUGAUGCUAAAACAUGGUUUAAUUCCCUUGAUCCUGGUUGUGUGCGUAGUCCCCAGGAUAUGAUUUAUUACUUCUCUGCUAAAUAUUUCCCUGCUCAUAAGAAACAAGCUGCCUUAAGGGAAAUAUAUAAUUUUGUGCAAAUUGAAGAAGAGAGUCUCCCACAAGCUUGGGGAGGCUUCUCCAAUUACUUAAUGCUUUGCCUGAUCAUCCUCUCAAGAAAAAUGAAAUACUUGAUAUCUUUUAUAAUGGACUAACCGAUGCUUCCAAAGACUACCUGGAUAGUUGUGCUGGUUGUGUUUUCAGGGAAAGAACUGUUGAUCAAGCUGAAUUGCUAUUGAAUAAUAUGUUGACUAAUGAAAAUAAUCGGACACUUCCUGAACCAACUCCUAAGCCAACUCCGAAGAAAAUGGGUAUUCUAUUUCUCUGUCCUGAAGAUAUGCAUGAGGCAAAGAAAUCUAUGAAAGAAAAAGGUAUUAAAGCUGAAGAUGUUAAGAAUUUAGCACCUAUUGAACAAAUACAUGGUCUUGAUAACCUGAUACAGGUAGUGAAGGUAAAUUCUCUCUACAGAUUUGAUGAAGGUGAUAUUCCUCGUUAUAAGUCUGCUAGCCAAUGCUUAGAUGAUUUUGAUAAUUUUAUUGUUAAACAAGAAAACUUCAAUGGUUAUGUUGGCAUACAAUUGAAACGCAAUACUUAUAUGAUUGAACACUUGAGUGAUUAUAUGUCUAGAGUUAAAGGUGAACUUUAACUUAUUAGUAAACAUGCUUCUAUGGUUACCACUCAAGUAGAACAAGUACUUAAGGCUCAGAAUGAUUUGCUCAAUGAAUUAAAUAAUAAGAAAAAUGAUAAUGAUGUUAGGGUUAUGACUAGAGGGGGUAAAAUAACUCAGGAACCUUUGUAUCCUGAGGGCCAUCCUAAGAGAAUUGAGCAAGAUUCUCAGAGAACUAAUGUUGAUGCACCUAGUUCUUCUAAGAAGAAGAAGAAGAAGAAAAAUGAUAGGACUUUGCAUGCUUCUAGUGAACCUGUUGUUGACACACCUGAGAAUCCCAAUGAUAUUUCUAUUUCUGAUGCUGAAACACAAUCUGGUAAUGAACAUGAACCUAGUGAUAAUGUUAAUGAUGAUGUUCAUGUUGAUGCUCAACCUAGCAAUAACAAUGAUGUAGAGAUUGAACCUGCUGUUGAUCUUGAUAACCCACAAUCAAAGAAUCAACGUUAUGAUAAGAGAGACUUUAUUGCUAGGAAGCACGGUAAAUAAAGAGAACCAUGGGUUCAGAAACCCAUUCCUUUUCCUCCUAAACCAUCCAAGAAAAAGGAUGAUGAGGAUUUUGAGCGCUUUGCUGAAAAGAUUAGACCUAUCUUUUUGCGUAUGCGUUUGACUGAUAUGCUUAAAAUGAACCCUUAUGCUAAGUACAUGAAGGAUAUUGUUACUAAUAAAAGAAAGAUACCGGAAGCUAAAAUUUCCACCAUGCUUGCUAAUUACACUUUUAAGGGUGGAAUACCAAAGAAACUUGGAGAUCCAGGAGUACCAACUAUACCAUGCUCCAUUAAAAGAAACUAUGUUAAAACUGCUUUAUGUGAUCUUGGAGCCGGUGUUAGUGUUAUGCCUCUCUCUUUAUAUCGUAGACUUGAUUUGAAUAAGUUGACAACUACUGAAAUAUAUUUGCAAAUGGCUGAUAAAUCAACUGCUAUACCUGUCGGUAUUUGUGAGGAUGUGCCUGUUGUGGUUGCAAACAUUACUAUUUUAACGGACUUUGUUAUUCUUGAUAUUCCCAAGGAUGAUAGUAUGUCGAUUAUCCUUGGUAAACCCUUUUUGAAUACUACAGGGGCUAUUAUUGAUUGCAACAAAGGCAAUGUCACUUUUCAUGUUAAUGGUUAUGAGCAUAUGGUACAUUUUUCGAGGAAACAACCUCAAGUCCAUAGUAUCAAUUCUAUUGGAAAAAUUUCAAUGAUUACUAUUGGAGGUUUUGAAUUUGCUCUUCGUGCUGCCAAGAAGAAAUAUGAUAUUCUUAUUGUUGGGGAUGUGCAUAUCCCAGUUGAGAAAAAGAUGACAAGAUUUUUGAGGGGCUCAUCAAGCCGAAGCUUGAAGGAUAAGCAAAGUGAAGAGAAUAAGAAGCCCAAGUAUAAUCUCCCUUGUACUGCGGAGGUUCGGCCGUCUGAAUGGCCUUGUGAUGAGUUCUUGAGAGAAGCCAUGAUUUAUGAAGAUUUUUAUUAUUUGGAUGAUAAUGCAAGCCUCACCGACUUCCUCCACGACCAGCGUGAACAGUAUCUCUUACUCACCAAUAUUUUUGUGCAAAAUUUUCAUUUCCAUGCUAGGAGAUCGCCACCUUCGGUGGAAUUUUAUUUAUAUGAUGAGCAUAAGAGACGCCACUUUAUGAUUUUUGCCAGGUUUGUAGGCCUUUGAGGGCAGCAUAGAGGAACCACAUCGUAAUGAUGUGGAGGGAUUUAUUGAUAUGAUUGCUGUAGGGGAAACAAGGAAAGUUUUCGAUGCAAGAAUCACUAGCAUACAUUUUCCUGUUCUACGUUACUUUGCAAUAUUUGCUAGUAGAUGCUUAAUUGGUCGCGGAAACUGUGGAAACCUUAGUGCCCCUGAUAUUGUUAUUUUGCGCCAUGCUUUGUUUCAUGAUACCACUUUCAGUUUAGGCGCUAUUGUUGCUAAAUGGUUAAAUCUGGACCAUACAAAGGGUCCCGUCUUAGGAGGCAUGUUCGCCUCACGCCUUGCUGCACACUUUAACAUACCUAUUAGGCAUUAUGAGAAAGAGGAAAAAUUGCUGCCUCAUAUUUUUCUAGAUUAUAAGAGCAUGGUAGCACAUGAUUUUAUUGUUAAGAAUAAGAAGAAGAUGCUUAACUAUAGACUGAUGUUUGCUAAGAAUCACUUUGAGACUAUUACCUUGCCUGCUCCCUCUUUGUUCAACAUAUUUUCAGACACGUACCUUGUUUUGCCGGAGGCCAUUCAGGCAUACCAGAGCCUGACAUCGGCUCCAGAGCCGGAGCCACUAUCUGAUCCUCACCGUUAGUCUGUUUAUCAGUGGGAUCCGGAGGAGAUCGCCAACCAGUGGCACCUCGAAGACCCUCCUCAGUACACCGGAGAGGGCAGUUUUGAUCCAUGGCCAUAGACCAACUUAGGCCAAAAGCCUAAGCUUGAGGGAGUACAUAUUUCUCACAGACAUUACAUUCAUGUUCACACACUCAUGCCGGUUGUCGGUGCUCAUACUUUUUCAUUGUAUCAUCCAUGCUAGUUUAUUUUCUUUUUAAGCUUUCUUCUUGUGUGUUUGAAAAACCUUAAGAAAAACCAAAAAAAAUUAGUUGUUGCUUUUAGCUAGUUUACUUUCCAUGCUUGUAGUAGUAGUAAUUAAAAAGAAAAACCAAAAAGAUUUCUCGUUCUUCUUUUGCUUGUUGGGAGCUUUCCCAUGUAAAUAGUUUUAUUUCCUUUCUUUUCUUUGGGGGUCGAGAGGAGAAGACCAUGAUGAAAAUGUUGAGUGGCUCUCAUAUGCAUUAUUGUUGAUCUAAGAAAGAGCCCAUAUUACCUUGUCUCCUCCCUUGAAUUGAAUGCUUACAGAUUCCAGCUUAGUCCAAUGCAUGUGCACUGUUAUUAUUACCCACACCGUUCGGUUGUGCAAGUGAAAGGCAAUAAUGAUGAUAUCUGAUGAACUAGUUGAGAUGAGAAAAGCUGGUAUGAACUCGACCUCCCUUGUUUUUGUAAAUAUGAUCAGUUCAUCAUUCCCGAUUUAGCCUAUUAUGAAUGAAACAUGUUUGCAAUGACAAUUAGAGAUUAUAGUUGCUCAUGCCAUGCUUAAUUUGCUAGGAGUUUAUAAUGGUUUACCUUGCGUGCCAACAUGCUAUUAAAAUGGUUGUGAUGUGGUAUGAUAGGGUGGUAUCCUCCUUUGAAGGAUUCGAGUGGCUUGACUUGGCACAUGUUCAUGCAUGUAGUUGAAACAAAAUAGACAUAGCCUCCACGAUAUUUAUGUUCAUGGUGAAUUAUAUCCUACUCAUGCUUGCACUCAGUGUUGAUUAAUUUCAAUGCAUGUUCAUGACUGUUGUCUCUCUCUAGCUGGUCGCUUCCCAGUCUCUUUCUAGCCUUCACUUGUACUAACUAGGAAUACUGCUUGUGCAUCCACUUCCGUAAAUUGAAUUGCUCGAGGACAAGCAAAGGUUUAAGCUUGGGGGAGUUGAUACGUCUCCAACGUAUCUACUUUUCCAAACACUUUUGCCCUUGUUUUGGACUCUAACUUGCAUGAUUUGAAUGGAACUAACCUAGACUAACGCUGUUUUCAGCAGAAUUGCCAUGGUAUUAUUUUUGUGUGCAGAAAUAAAAGUUCUUGGAACGACCUGAAAAUCAACGGAGAAUAUUUUUAGAAUAUAUAAAAAAUAUUGGCGAAAGAAUCAAGGCCAGGGGGCCCACACCCUGUCCACGAGGGUGGGGGGCGCGCCUACCCCCCUGGGCGCGCCCCCUGCCUCGUGGGCCCCCUGACACUCCACCGACCUCAACUCCAACUCCAUAUAUUUAUGUUUGGGGACAAAAAAAAAUCAGAGAGAAGGAUUCAUCGCGUUUUACAAUACAGAGCCGUCGUUAAGCCCUAAUCUCUCUUGGGAGGGCUGAUCUGGAGUCCGUUCAGGGCUCCGGAGAGGGGAAUUCAUCACCAUCGUCAUCAUCAACCUUCCUCCAUCACCAAUUUCAUGAUGCUCACCGCCGUGCGUGAGUAAUUCCAUCGUAGGCUUGCUGGAUGGUGAUGGGUUGGAUGAGAUUUAUCAUGUAAUCGAGUUAGUUUUGUUAGGGUUUGAUCCCUAGUAUCCAUUUUGUGUUGAGAUUGAUGUUGUUGUGACUUUGCUAUGCUUAAUGCUUGUCACUAGGGCCCGAGUGCCAUGAUUUCAGAUCUGAACCUAUUAUGUUUCCAUGAAUAUAUGUGAGUUCUUGAUCCUAUCUUGCAAGUCUAUAGUCACCUAUUAUGUUUUAUGAUCCGUUAACCCCGAAGUGACAAUAAUCGGGAUACUUACCGGUGAUGACCGUAGUUUGAGGAGUUCAUGUAUUCACUAUGUGUUAAUGCUUUGGUCCGGUACUCUAUGAAAAGGAGGCGUUAAUAUCCCUUAGUUUCCAAUAGAACCCCGCUGCCAUGGGAGGGUAGGACAAAAGAUGUCAUGCAAGUUCUUUUCCAUAAGCACGUAUGACUAUAUUCGGAAUGCAUGCCUACAUUACAUUGACGAACUGGAGCCAGUUCUGUGUCACCCUAUGUUAUAACUAUUGCAUGGGGAAUUGCAUCCAACAUAAUUAUCCAUCACUGAUCCAUUGCCUAUGAGCUUUUCACAUAUUGAUCUUCACUUAUUUACUUUUUCGUUGCCACUGUUACAAUCACUAUAAAACCAAAACUGCUACCGUUACUUUUGCCACCGUUACCACUACUAUCAUAUUGCUUUGCUACUAAAUACUUUGCUGCAGAUAUUAAGUUUCUAGGUGUGGUUGAAUUGACAACCCAACUGCUAAUACUUGAGAAUAUUCUUUGGCUCCCCUUGUGUCGAAUCAAUAAAUUUGGGUUGAAUACUCUACCCUCGAAAACUGUUGUGAUCCCCUAUACUUGUGGGUUAUCAAUGAUACGCUCUAUCACACAUAAGCCUCCUUAUAUCUUCCUCAAAACAGCCUCCAUACCUAUCUAUUAUGGUAUUUCUAUAGCCAUUCUGAGAUAUAUUGCCAUGCAACUUUCCACUGUUCCGUUUAUUAUGACACGCUCCAUCAUGGUCAUAUUGCUUUGCAUGAUCAUGUAGUUGACAUCGUAUUUGUGGCAAAGCCAUCUUCAUAAUUCUUUCAUACAUAUCACUCUUGAUUCAUUGCAUAUCCCGCUACACCACCGGAGGCAUUCACAUAGAGUCAUAUUUUGUUCUUAGUAUCGAGUUGUAAUUCUUGAGUUGUAAGUAAAUAAAAGUGUGACGAUUUUCAUUAUUAGAGCAUUGUCUCAUGUGAGGAAAGGAUGAUGGAGACUAUGAUUCCUUCACAAGUCGGGAUGAGAUUCUGGACGAAAAAAAGAAAAAAAGAGGCCAUAAAAAGAGAGAGAGAAAAGUCACAAAGAAAAAAAUGAGAGAAAAAGAGAGAAGGGGCAAUGUUACUAUCCUUUUUCCACACUUAUGCUUCAAAGUAGCACCAUGAUCUUCAUGAUAGAGAGUCUCCUAUUUUGUCACUUUCAUAUACUAGUGGGAAUUUUUCACUAUAGAACUUGGCUUGUAUAUUUCAAUGAUGGGCUUCCUCAAAAUGCCCUAGGUCUUCGUGAGCAAGCAAGUUGGAUGCACACCCACUUAGUUUCUUUUGUUGAGCUUUCAUAUAUUUAUAGCUCUAGUGCAUCCAUCGCAUGACAAUCCCUACUCCUUGCAUUGACAUCAAUUGAUGGGCAUCUCCAUAGCCCGUUGAUUAGCCGCGUCAAUGUGAGACUUUCUCCCUUUUUGUCUUCUCACACAACCUCCAUCAUCAUAUUCUAUUCCACCCAUAGUGCUACGUCCAUGGCUCGCGCUCAUAUAUUGCGUGAAAGUUGAAAGAGUUUGAAAAGGCUAAGUGAAACAAUUGCUUGGCUUGUUAUCGGGGUUGUGCAUGAUGGGAGCAUUUUGUGUGACGAAAAUGAAGCAUGGCCAAAUUAUAUGAUUUUGUAGGGAUAAAUUUUCUUUGGCUAUGUUAUUUUCAUAAGACAUAAUUGCUUGGUUAGCAUGCUUGAAGUAUUACUAUUUUUAUGUCAAUAUUAAACUUCUAUCUAUAAUCUUUUGGAUUGAAACAUUCAUGCCACAAUAAUGAAAAUUACAUUGAAAAUUAUGCUAGGUAGCAUUCCACAUCAAAAAUUCUGUUUUUGUCAUUUACCUACUCGAGGACGAGUAGGAAUUAAGCUUGGGGAUGCUUGAUACGUCGCCAACGUAUCUACAAUUUUUUAUUGUUCCUUGCUAUUAUAUUAUCUGUUUUGGAUGAUUAAUGGGCUUUAAUAUGUACUUUUAUAUUAUUUUUGGAACUAACCUAUUAAUCGAAGGCCUAGUGCAAGUUGCUAUUUUUUUGCCUAUUUCAGUGUUUCGAAGAAAAGGAAUAUCAAACAAAAUGAAACCUUCGCGAGGAUCUUUUUUGGAACAAACGCAAUCUAGGAGACUUGGAGUGGAGGUCAAGGAAGCAACGAGGCGACCACGAGGUAGGGCGGCACGCCCAGUGGGGCAGGCGCGUGUAACAUCCCAAAUUUUCAAUUUGGAAUGCUAUACACUAGAUCAUCAUUGCAUAUCAUAUUUUAUUGCAUUUGGUUGAUCCUAGAAAUUCUACGCGGCUCAAGGACCCUCGGAGAGAGUUGGGGAUUUCGUUAUUUUCAUAUUUGAGUUUUCUCAAAUUUUGAAAAUAGGGUCAUUUGAUUUUAUUUAUUUUAUCUUCAAUUAUUUCUAAUAUCAAAAUAUGAGAGAGGGAAUAAAAUGACUUUCCCAAAAUAAAGAAAUAUUGAGGAUUUAAUAAAAAAAUCAAAUAGGGUUUUAUUCUCGAGUUUUCGUGGUUUUAUUUGAAUUUAGGAAAAAUUGCACGUUUUCAAAAAUUGCAUUUAGGACAAAAAAUGUUCAUCCAGUUCUAAAUAUUUUAUUUAGACGGUGAAAAUUUGUUUUGGCAAUUUUAGAUUUUUAUUUAUUUUUCUAGAAUUUUUUUUAGUUUCAGCGAAAUUGUUUAAAAAAAACCCGCGCCCGACUGGGCCAAGGGCCCAGCCGCCGCCGCCGCCUCCCGCUCGAGUAGCCGUCGGACUCGGGAGGAGUCCUAGCCGGAGCCGCCUCGCUGCCGCCCAACCCCCUCCCCAAGUCAGCCCCCUCCUUCUCUUAAAUAGCCGCCCCGCCGCCGCCCUCUCCUCACCCCGCCGCCCCGCACCGCAGCCCGCCCCUGCCGCCUGCGCUGCUGCCGCCUCCCCGCCGCGCACUGCACGUUGCCUGCCGCUGCCGCGCCGCCCCGCCGGAGUUUCGCCGGAGCCCGAGCCGAGGUAGCCGCCCCGCCGCCCGGUUUUUUGAGAGAAACCGCUUUGGUUUUUCUAGAAAACCCUAGUUUUUGUUUUUUUAAAUAGAUCGUUUUUUUCCGGUUUAUUUUUUAGCGAGCGUUCGCUCGUUCGUUCAUUUUAACAUCGUUUAGUUCCAGAUAAUGAAUGUUCGUUCGUUAAUCUGUUCGUUGUUUUUCUUUUUCUCGGAUUAAAUCCACGAUUUUUCUGAUCGCGAUUCCUGAUCCGAUUCGUUUUAGUUUGACUUUUCGCUUGUUUAUCGGAAUCAGGCGAUUCAAGCGCCUGGAGUUUCGUCGCGAAACCCUCUUUCCGUUUAACCAACUCAAACAAGUUUUUUGCCUCUGUAAAACUUGACCUAGAUCCAAAAUAGUAAGCGAAGCUUGUUUGUUUUGCCGUUUGUCUUUCGUUGCUUCGUUCGAUUUGAUUCUUUUUGCAAACCGGAGUUCUUAAGUUGAACUAUCUGGUUAGUUCUCUUAUUUGAGGUUUACCUAUGCAUUAGUUGAGUACUUAUUGUAUGCUUGUCUGUUUGUGAUAGAGUAUCCGAAGUGCGCCGCUUGCUACUUCGAAUCACUAGGUUUUGCGGAUCAUCAGCAAAGCAAGUAACACUUUGAUCAUACUUCAUAUUACCCAGUUUUUAUUGCAUUAGAUCAAUCCUCACACAUUGCAUGAUUAGGAUCUAAUUAAAUUGUGGGUUUGGGAAGUACAUGAGGUAGUACCUAUCACCUGUUUUAUUAUCAAACCUUUGGGAGUUACUUCUACGUUUGCUUAUUAUGCCAUGCUAUGCUAGUAGACGUGGAUUGGGUGAGUGAAAUCCAUGACAGAUGUGAGUUUGUUAAAUUAAUGGUUUAUCUAAGGUGGCAACUUAAAUACACAUCUGGGUGGAUUGAGGCACCUGGGUAUUCCAGCGAUUGCCUUUUUUUCUUUUGGACUGCCACCCAGGCUCAAAGGGAUCAUGAGAUUAUUCAUACUAGAAACUUCCGUGUGCAGCCACAAGCUACUAUGGGCUCUAGCAUAGUUGACUAAGUCGUGUGAACUCUUACAGUGGUAGACUACCAGAUGUAGGGGAUGUAGGUUGGUACAGUCUACCCGUUCGUAAGGUGCUAGCGCUUCUGAAAGACUAUGUCUCGGUCAUCCAUUUCUCAAACACCAUGUAGUGCGAGAAUCCCAACGGAGGAGAUCGAGUCUUGUGGGGAAAAGUGCGCAAACCUCUGCAGAGUGUAUAAACUAAUCAUGGUUAGCCGUGUCCCCGGUUAUGGACAUCUUGAGUAUCUAGUACUUGGAUUAUCAUGUGAAUCUCAUCAUGUUACUCUAAAUAAUUUUGUUGGGUUUUAAUGAUGAUGUUUAAUUGGGAUCGAGAGCGUCUCUACACUCUCAAUGUUUAACAACUACCAUGAUAGUUAAAUAAAAUUUAUUUCCUUUGCAGUAGGGAAAAAUUGGCUUUACGCAAAACUGUAACCAUAGAGCUUUCCACCAGCCAAAUAUGCAUAUAGUAUAGUCUUAUUCUUUCAUUGCUCUCUAUGUGUUACCUUGCCAGCAUAUUUCAUGUGCUGACCCGUUUCGGGCUGCAACGUUCAUGUUGCAGACUUUUCAGACGACGAGUAAGGUGUCUUUUAGGUCGUGGAUCUAUACUCAGUGAUGCCGUUGGAGUUGAUGGACUCACUUAUCUUCCAAGCCUUCCAUUGUUAUCGUUAUUAGAUGGCCUUAAGCCAUAUUUAUUGUAAUAAGUUCUCUUUCGAGACACUCGAUGUAAUACGUGUGUGGUUGCUACUUUGUUAUAAAUCCUUCAAGUAUUGUGUGGUGUCAGCCCCUGUUCAAGAAUUCAUCCGAUUAACCAGUUAACUUGCCGAUUAAUCCCGACUCAUAGGGUCCCGAGUAGCCGAUUACCCGAUAAAUCGUCUGAUUAAUUGAUUAAAUGGCCGAUUAACUUGCCGAUUAGCCUAUUAAUCCCCUACUCACCAGCCGACCGAGCAGCUACCAGUUAACGAUUUCCUCAACAAUGGUGUCAGCAUUACUGAUCCAGGGAUGACACCUGAGCACAGAGAUUGGACCGUUUGAGGUCUGGUCGCUACAAGAUGGUAUCAGAGCACACGUUGACUGUAGGACACGACCACUAAGCUAAAGCCCUAGAUCACUGCUCACUCUUCUCAUUCUGACUUCUCAUCUUUUUUACUCUUUUAGGAUGGCGGAUGCAAGGAACAAGUUCACGCAACCGGAUGAAGAUACACCCUUUGGACGUCAUUGGAAGUAAGUCACUAGAUAUCUAAACAUAGGAGUACCAAGCUUCACCGGAACCUAGAACGCCACUUUACCUGAAGAAGAGCGUUGGAUGAUUGAAGUUCAAGUUCCAGGAAGGACGUUCAUGCCAGUCACCGAGCCCAUAGAGUUUUCCUUUGAUGCACCAACCUGGAGUCUAGGAAAGAGCAUGGCAGCCCACAUCGCCAUGGGACGCAUUGGAGAAGUUUACCGCAAUGACCUCAAGGAUACUAUCUACCAGAUUUGUGGGCGCCGAGAUGAGCACUGGGAGAUGAUCAGCACCAGGAAGGAUAGAUCAAUUGCAGCUUUUAUCCAGGAGUUAAACCAGCACAUUCGACGUCAGGAGAACCAGAUGUGCGCCGACAUGAUAGAUCUGAAGAAGGCAAGGACUAGAAUCAAGGAACUGGAGGAAGAACUCAAGGCUACACAUGAAUAUUAUGAAGAAGAAAUUGAAGUAUUAGUGGGGAAGAAUGACGAUCUGAUCAAGAAGAUUGGAAUAUUUAUGGGAGGCCCUAAGCCAGUAGAUGAAGACGAAGAACCCAAGGAGAUUCACCCGGAAGACUACAUCAUCAUCGAUGACAUCGACUUGGAUCCAGAUGAUAGCGAUGAUGACUAUGUUGAUGAAGCUGGAGCAGAUAUCAUGGAGUCUGCAACCGAAGAAUAUUUCUAGUAGACCACCUCAUCAGUAGUAGUAGUCCACCAUGUAAAUAUAGUAGUCCGAGCACUUUUGCGAUAGUUAGAUCAAUUGUAUGCCCUUGUUUGAUUGAAUGAAGUGAAUUGUUUUCUUUUGCCUCAUGUGCAUAUGGGUAGUAUUUUCUCUCUAGACCCCUCUCUAUUCUUAAAUCUCAUCUUUUCUAAACCCUCAGAUGCCUCCGAGACGUGACCCCGGAUUUACCUUCCCACCGGAGCUCACCCAGUUGAUCUAGCAACAGAACACAUUGAUGCAGUUGUUAGUCCAGAAUCAGAAUCAGGGGAACAACAACAACAAUCCACCACCACCUGUUGACCACUUAGCGUGUUUUCUUAGGCUGAAUCCGCCGGUGUUCUCCAGUAGCACCGAGUCGAUAGUAGCAGAUGAUUGGCUCCGCAAGACAUCAAGGGAGUUGACCACAGCAGGAUGCACAGAUGCAGAAAAGGUGAAGUUUGUCGCACAUCAGCUUGAAGGACCCGCAACAUCAUGGUGGGAGAAUUUCGCUGCCACUUUCCCUAUCGACACUGUCACAUGGGACCAGUUCCAACAGGUUUUCCGUACUGCCCAUAUUUCAGCAGGAGCUAUGGCCAUGAAGAAGCGAGAGUUUCGUAACUUGCACCAAGGAGGACAGACAGUUGGCCAGUAUGUGGAAGACUUUAGUAAGCUAGCACGUUAUGCCCCAAAUGACGUUGCUAUGGAUGCAGCUAAGCAGGAGAAGUUUCUGGAAGGACUAAAUGAUGAGUUGAGCAUGCAGUUGAUGGUAGCAACCUUCAACAACUACCAGGAGUUGGUAGAUCGUGCUCUUAUGAUUGAAGGGAAGCAACAGCAGAUUGAGAAUCAUAAGAGGAAGUAUGGACAAGGGAAGUAUAGUUCUGGAGCUCAGCAGAAACCACGUUUUACCCCUAGACCGGGAGGACAUUUUCAGCAUACCCAUGGAGGAGGUAGCUCGCAUAAUCAUAAUGGCACCAAGAAUGGUAAUGGGAAUGGAGGAAGCAAUGGCCAGAACCGUACCAACCCAUCAACCCCAGCCAAGAGAGACCUGAGCCAAGUCACUUGCUUUAAUUGCCAGAAGACCGGACAUUAUGCCAAUGAAUGUCCUGAAUCCCAGAAUGGAAAUGGCAAUGGAAGCUCUGGGAAGAAGCCGAACCCUUUCAAUAGGGGACAGGUGAACCACAAAAAUGUGGAGGAGGUUGAAGCCCAGCCCGAUGCAGUAAUAGGUAAGUUUUUAGUUAAGUCUUUUACUGCAAUCGUUCUUUUUGAUACUGGUGCAUCACAUUCAUACAUAUCAAGGGGAUUUGUGGAUAAGUAUAAGCUGCCAACCCAAGCCCUUAGGUCACCCAUGUUAGUAACCUCUCCUAGAGCAGAGUAUAUGGCUAGUCUAUGGUGUGAUUGGUUACCAUUAAGGAUUGGUAACUAUGUAUUUCCCUCGGACCUAAUAGUAUUGGAAUCUCAAGGAUUGGAUGUGAUAUUAGGCAUGGAUUGGUUGUCGAAGUAUGAAGGGAACAUUGAAUGUGCCAGUAAGUCAAUUUUGCUUACCACUCGAGAAGGGAGAAGGAUCAAGUAUGUAUCCCGGCAUGUGCCAAAAAGGACUCAAGUAAAUUGCUUAACAGGAGUUGUGCAGGAGGAAGUACCAGUAGUGAAGGAUUCCCCGGAUGUAUUUCCAGAGGAUUUGCCAGGCAUGCCACCAGAUAGAGACAUUGAGUUUUUGAUUGAGCUUUUGCCAGACAUAGGGCCAAUAUCUAAAAGACCAUACAGGAUGCCCGCAAAGGAUUUCGAAGAGAUUAAGAAGUAGAUUAAGUAUUUACUGGAUAAAGGUUAUAUUCGCCCAAGUUCUUCACCUUGGGGAUCGCCAGUACUUAUAGUAGAGAAGAAGGAUGGAUCGUUAAGGAUGGUUGUUGAUUAUCGAGGAUUGAAUGAAGUAACCAUCAAGAACAAGUACCCACUACCGAUGAUCAAUGAUCUGUUUGAUCGAUUGCAAGGAGCUAAGGUAUUUUCCAAGAUCGAUCUGCGAUCAGGGUACCAUCAGUUGAAGAUUCAAGAACAGGAUAUACCCUAAGACGGCUUUUACCACCAGGUAUGGGCUGUAUGAGUAUACCGUUAUGUCAUUUGGUCUGACUAACACACCUGCAUAUUUUGAACAUGAUGAACAAAGUGUUUAUGGAGUUUUUGGAUAAGUUUGUCGUAGUGUUCAUCGAUGAUAUCCUGGUUUACUCGAAGAAUGAAGAGGAGCAUAAGGAGCAUUUGCGUUUGGUACUUGGUAAACUCAGAGAACAUCAGUUAUAUGCCAAGUUUAGCAAAUGUGAGUUUUGGUUGAAGGAAGUUGGAUUCCUGAUGACCCACAAGUAUAGGGGAUCUAUCAUAGUCCUUUCGAUAAGUAAGAGUGUCGAACCCAAUGAGGAGCAGAAGGAAAUGAUAAGCGGUUUUCAGCAAGGUAUUCUCUGCAAGUACUGAAACAAGUGGUAACAGAUAGUUUUGUGAUAAGAUAGAUUGUAACGAGCAACAAGUAACAAAAGUAAAUAAAGUGCAGCAAGGUGGCCCAAUCCUUUUGUAGCAAAGGACAAGCCGGAACAAACUCUUAUAAUAGGAAAAGCGUUCCCGAGGACACAUGGGAAUAUCGUCAAGCUAGUUUUCAUCACGUUCAUAUGAUUCGCGUUCGAUACUUUGAUAAUUUGAUAUGUGGGUGGACCGGUGCUUGGGUGUUGUUCUUACUUGAACAAGCAUCCCACUUAUGAUUAACCUCUAUUGCAAGCAUACACAACUACAACAAAAGUAUUAAGGCAAACCUAACCAUAGCAUGAAACAUGUGGAUCCAAAUCAGCCCCUUACGAAGCAAUGCAUAAACUAGGGUUUAAGCUUCUGUCACUCUAGCAACCCAUCAUCUACUUAUUACUUCCCAAUGUCUUCCUCUAGGCCCAAAUAAUGGUGAAGUGUUACGUAGUCGAUGUUCACAUAACACCACUAGAGGCUCGACAACAUACAUCUUAUCAAAAUAUCAAACGAAUACCAAAUUCACAUGACUACUCAUAGCAAGACUUCUCCCUUGUCCUCAGGAACGCACGUAAUUACUCACAAAGCAUAUUCAUGUUCAUAAUCAGAGGGGUAAUAAUAUGAUAUAGGAUCUGAACAUAUGAUCUUCCACCAAUUAAACCAACUAGCAUCAACUACAAGGAGUAAUCAACACUACUAGCAACCUACUAACACCAAUCCCGGACUUUAAGACAAGAAUUGGAUACAAGAGAUGAACUAGGGUUUGGAGAUGAGAUGGUGCUGGUGAAGAUGUUGAUGGAGAUUGCCCUCUCCCGAUGAGAGGGGCAUUGGUGAUGAUGAUGGUGAUGAUUUCCCCCUCCCGGAGGGAAGUAUCCCCGGCAGAACAGCUCUGCCGGAGCUCUAGAUUGGAUCCGCCGAGGUUCCGCCUCGUGGCGGCGGAGUCUCGUCCCAAAAAGUUCCUUCUUAUUUUUUUUCUCAUCGAAAGGCUUCAUAUAGGAGAAGACGGACAUCGGAGAGCCACUAGGGGGCCCACGAGGUAGGGGGCGCGCCCUAGGGGGGGGGGCACCCUCAUGAGCAGGGUGUGGGCCCCCUGGCCUUCAUCUUUGGCGUGGAUUUUUCUUUAUUUAUUUUAAGAUGUUCCAUGGAGUUUCAUGACUUUUGGAGUUGCGCAGAAUAGGUCUCUAAUAUUUGCUCCUUUUCCAGCCCAGAAUUCCAGCUGCCGGCAUUCUCCCUCCUUAUGUAAACCUUGUAAAAUAAGAGAGAAUAGCCAUAAGUAUUGUGACAUAAAGUGAAAUAACAGUCCAUAAUGCAAUAAAUAUCGAUAUAAAAGCAUGAUGCAAGAUGGACGUAUCAACUCCCCCAAGCUUAGACCUUGCUUGUCCUCAAGCGAAAAGCCGAUAAAAAUAAAUAUGUCCUCAUGUUUAGAGGUAGAGGCGUCGAUAAAAAAUAAAAUACGGACAUAAAGGCAUCUUGAUUAUUCUCAUAACAGCAGCAUAUAUAUAUUUUGUCAUAUGAUUACUUAUGUUCAAGUGAUGAUCUAUUCACAAUGCAAAAGUAUAAAUCAUAAACCUUAUUGGGCUCCGACAAACUAUAAUCUCAGUCAAUGAAGCAAUUGCAAUUUAUCAUAACAUCGGAAAGAGUCUAUGUCAGAGCUAAAAAUCAAGUCCACAUACUCAACUAUCAUUUACUCGUCCAUAAUUGCUAACACUCACGCAAUACUUGUGGUUACAGAGUUUUAAUCGGACACAGAGAAAGAUAGGGGCUUGUAGUUUUGCCCCACAACCUUUUACCUCAAGGGUAAUGUCAACAAUAAUGGUUCAUGCUCCCCUACAUCCAAUUAGAUAUAUAUAUAUAUAUAUCAUGUUCUUUCCAACAUGCUGAGCUUGCCAAAGCAUAAAAUGAAAAAGAAAAGGUGAAGAUCACCAUGACUCUUGCAUAAGGUAGAAGAUAAUAAUAAAGGAUAGGCCCUUCGCAGAGGGAAGCAGAGGUUGACAUGUGCUUUUAUGGUUGGAUAUAUAAAAUCUCAAUGCAAAAGAACGUCACUUUAUAUUGCCCCUUGUGAUAUGAACCUUUAUUAUGCAGUUUGUUGCUUUUAUUACUUCCACAUCACAAGAUCGUAUAAAGCUUAUUUCUCCCACACCAAUCAAUCAUACAUAUUUAGAGCAUGUUUUAUUGCUUUGCACCGAUGACAACUUACUUGAAGGAUCUUACUCAAUCCAUAGGUAGAUAUGGUGGACUCUCGUGGCAAAACUGGUUUAAGGGUGUUUGGAAGCACAAGUAGUAUUUCUACUUGGUGCUGAGAAUUUUGCUAGAAUGAGGGGGAAUGGCAAGCUCAACAAGUUAGAGGAUCCAUGACAACAUACUUUACCUCAUAUAUAAGAAAGACAUAAAUCAUUACGUUGUCUUCCUUGUCCAACAUCAACUCUUUAGCAUGUCAUAUUUUAAUGAGUGCUCCCAAUCAUAAAAGAUGUCAAUGAUAAUAUAUCUAUAUGUGAAAACCUCUCUUUCCUUAUAACUUCCUAUUAAUUGCAGCAAUGACCAAAGCUAUGCUUGCCAACUCCCAACAACUUUUAAUCAUCAUACUCUUUCUAUGUGAAGUCAUUACUCUCAAUAAGAUCAAUAUGAACUUUUUGUUUCUUUUUAUUCUUUUCUUAUUUUCUUUUAUUCACCCAAGAUCAUGGCAAAAUAAUCAAGCCCUUGACUCAACACUAAUCUUUAUUAUAUAUAGCUCACAGACUCGAUUACAUAAAGAGAUCAUAAAGCAAAACUCAAAACUAGAUCAUGCCAUAAACUUUAUUCUACUAGAUCAAGAUACUACUAAUAGGAUCGAACUAAGAAAAACGGUAAAGAUAGGAGUUGUGAUGGUGAUACGAUACCGAGGCACCUCCCCCAAGCUUGGCAGUUGCCAAGGGGAGUGCCCAUACCCAUGUGAUUAUAUCUCCUUUGUCAGUGAAGAAGGUGGAGGUGACGGAUAAUCGCACAUCGAGCGUAAGAGGUCCUCCAGCUUGCGAAUAAUGCCCUUGAGUGCGACAAUAUGCUCCUUCAACAAAAUAUUUUCUUGUGUGAGAUACUUGUUUUGAACACGAGCUAACUCAAUCAUCUUGAAAGCUUUGAUCUCAGUUGGGGUAAGAAGGUUAUGAUCAAUUUGAAGGGUGUCUUCUGCUGCUGGAGCUUGAUCCUCCGUGGCCUUCUUGAUCCUUUCAUCCUUGUUGACCCUCGUCAGUUCUUCCCUCUUCAGAUCCAUCUUCAUUAGCCAAGCAUCGUUGUCACCAUUGUUGGAGGAGGGGGACGACAUGAUGCCUAGCCCGGAAAGCCCUAACAAAAAACAGCUCGAAACAAGAACAGAGGAGGUUUGCGUGAUACGGGAGUCAAAACCUCGGGAGAAUAUAUAAUGAAUUUUUACCGACCAAAAUACGUAUAGUGCAAGAAAACGGAGUCCGGAGGGCACACGAGGUGCUCACGAGGUAGGGGCGCGCGCCCAGGGGGGUAGGGCGCGCCCACCACCCUCGUGAGGCCCUCGUGUCCUUCCUGGACUGCUACUUAUUUUUCUAUUUUUCUAAAUAUUCCAAAAUGGAGAAAUAUUGCCUUAAAAAUUGUUUUGGAGUCGGUUUACUUACCGUACCACAUACCUAUUCCUUUUCGGAGUCUGAAACGUUCCGGAAAGUGUCUCUUAUGUAUUCCUCCGGGGUUACGGUUUCAAUAAUAUUGGUUUCAACAUUUAUGGGAUUACCUAAGAUAUAAUGUUUAAUUCUUUGACUGUUUACCACCUUCGGAUUUGUGCCCUCGAAGUUGUUGAUUUUUAUGGCACCGGAACGAUAGACCUCUUCGAUAACAUAGGGGCCUUCCCAUUUAGAGAGAAGUUUUCCUGCAAAAAAAUCUUAAACGAGAGUUGUAUAGCAAUACAUAAUCACCUACAUUAAAUUCACGCUUUUGUAUCCUUUUGUCAUGCCAUCUUUUAACUUUUUCUUUAAACAACUUGGCAUUUUCAUAAGUUUGGGUUCUCCAUUCAUCAAGUGAGCUAAUAUCAAAUAACCUCUUCUCACCGGCAAGUUUAAAAUCAUAGUUAAGCUCUUUAAUAGCCCAAUACGCCUUAUGUUCUAGUUCGAGAGGUAAGUGACAUGCUUUUCCAUAAACCAUUUUAUACGGAGACAUACCCAUAGGAUUUUGAUAUGCAGUUCUAUAAGCCCACAAUGCAUCAUCAAGUUUCUUGGACCAAUUCUUUCUAGACCUAUUAACAGUCUUUUGCAAAAUUAAUUUGAGCUCUCUAUUGCCCAACUCUACUUGACCACUAGACUGAGGGUGAUAAGGAGAUGCAAUUCUAUGAUUAACAUCAUAUUUAGCAAGCAUUUUAUGGAAAGCACCAUGAAUAAAGUGUGAACCACCAUCAGUCAUUAAAUAUCUAGGGACUCCAAACCUCGGGAAAAUAACUUCCUUAAGCAUUUUAAUAGAAGUGUUAUGAUCAGCACUACUAGUUGGAAUAGCUUCUACCAACUUAGUAACGUAAUCAACAACAACUAAAAUAUGUGUGUAUCCAUUAGAGGCAGGAAAAGGUCCCAUAUAAUCGAAGCCCCAAACAUCAAACGGUUCAGUAACAAGAGAAUAAUUCAUAGGCAUUUCUUGAUGUCUACUAAUAUUACCAAUUCUUUGACAUUCAUCACAACACAAGACAAACUUACGGGCAUCCUUGAAGAGAGUAGGCCAAUAAAAACCAGAUUGCAAUACCUUAUGUGCAGUUCUAUCUCCAGCGUGGUGUCCUCCAUAAGACUCGGAAUGACACUUGCGUAGGAUAUGUUCUUGUUCAUGCUCAGGUACACAACGUCUAAUAACACCAUCAACCCCUUCUUUAUAAAGAUGUGGGUCAUCCCAAAAGUAAUGUCUCAAAUCAUAGAAAAACCUUUUCUUUUGCUGGUAUGUGAAGCUAGGUGGUAUAAACUUAGCAACAGUAUAAUUAGCAUAAUCCGCAUACCAUGGAGUGCUACAAGAAGUACUUAUAACAUUUAAUUGUUCAUCAGGAAAGCUAUCAUUAAUAGGUAGUGGGUCAUCAAGAAUAUUUUCUAACCUAGACAAGUUGUCUACAACGGGGUUCUCAGCUCCCUUUCUCUCAACAAUAUGCAAAUCAAAUUCUUGUAGCAAGAGAACCCAUCUAAUAAGUCUAGGUUUAGCAUCUUUCUUUUCCAUAAGAUAUUUAAUAGCAGCAUGAUCAGUUUGAAUAGUUACUUUAGAAUCAACAAUAUAAGAUCUGAACUUAUCACAAGCAAAUACAAUUGCUAAAAGCUCUUUCUCAGUAGUAGCAUAAUUUCUUUGAGCAUUGUCUAGAGUCUUACUAGCAUAAUGAAUAACAUUUAAUUUCUUAUCAACUCUUUGCCCUAGAACAGCACCUACAGCAUAAUCACUAGCAUCACACAUAAUUUCAAAGGGUAGGUUCCAAUCAGGUGGCUGAACAACAGGUGCAGAGACUAAUGCUUUCUUAAGUAUUUCGAAUGCUUCUACACAAUCAUUAUCAAAGACAAAUGGUAUAUCUUUUUGCAAUAAAUUAGUCAGAGGCCGAGAAUUUUUCGACAAGUCCUUAAUGAACCUCCUAUAAAAUCCAGCGUGACCAAGGAAACUUCUUAUACCUUUGAUGUCCUUGGAACAUGGCAUCUUUUCAAUAGCAUCAACCUUGGCUUUAUCAACUUCAAUACCUCUUUCAGAAACUUUGUGCCCCAAGACAAUACCUUCAUUAACCAUAAAGUGGCACUUUUCCCAAUUCAAGACAAGAUUAGUUUCUUCGCAUCUCUGCAAAACUCGAUCAAGAUUGCUCAAGCAAUCAUCAAAAGAGGAACCAUAGGCGGAAAAGUCGUCCAUGAAAACCUCACAAAUCUUUUCACCAAAGUCAGAGAAUAUAGCCAUCAUGCAUCUUUGAAAGGUAGCAGGUGCAUUACAUAGACCAAAAGGCAUACGUCUAUAAGAAAAAGUACCAAAAGGGCAUGUAAAAGUAGUCUUUGAUUGAUCUCUAGCCGACACAGGUAUUUGAGAGAAACCAGAAUAACCAUCUAGAAAGCAAUAGUGUGUAUUUUUGCAUAAUCUUUCUAGCAUUUGAUCAAUAAAAGGUAACGGGUAAUGAUCUUUCUUAGUAGCUUUAUUUAAUUUGCGGACAUCAAUUACCAUCCUAUAACCUGUGAUAAUUCUUUGUGGAAUCAAUUCAUCUUUAUCAUUAGGAACAACAGUAAUACCUCCUUUCUUAGGGACACAAUGGACAGGACUUACCCACUCACUAUCAGCAACGGGAUAGAUUAUACCUGCCUCCAGAAGCUUUAGUAUUUCUUUUCUUACCACUUCUUUCAUUUUAGGAUUCAGACGUCGUUGAGGAUCACGAACUGGUUUGGCAUCUGCUUCCAAAUUUAUUUUAUGUUGACAUAGAGUGGGAUGCUUCUUCAUGCUCUGAAAGGUUAGCACUAAUAAUAACAUGAUAUAUCUUCUUUUCAUCAAGAUAAGCAUAUUUAAGAUUAUCAGGCAAAGGUUUAAGCUCAAACACGGGAUCACCCUUGGGUGGAGGAGGAUCCCCUAAGAUUUCAACAGGCAAGUUGUGAUGCAGAAUAGGUUCCUGUUUAAAGAAUACUUAAUCUAUUUCCCUUCUUUCAUUCAUGAACAUAUCAUUUUCAUGGUCUAGCAAAUAGUGUUCUAAAGGAUCACUAGGAGGUACGGCAAUAGAAGCAAGACCAAUAAUUUCAUCCUUACUAGGUAAUUCUUCCUCACGAUGUUGUUUACAUUUAGAGAAAUUAAACUCAUGAACCAUAUCAUCCAAGCCAAUAGUAACAACAUUCUUUGUGCAAUCUAUGGUAGCAUUGACAGUAUUUAAGAAGGGUCUACCAAAUAUAAUGGGACAAAAGCUAUCUUGUGGAGAAGUAAGAACAAGAAAAUCAGCAGGAUAUUUAGUUUUCCCACACAAGACUUCAACAUAUCUAACAAUUCCAAUUGGUGAAAUAGUAUCUCUAUUGGCAAGUUUAAUUGUGACAUUAAUACCUUCUAACUCAGCAGGUGCAAUUUCAUUCUUAAUUUCUUCGUAUAAAGUAUGUGGUAUAACACUAGCACUCGCACCCAUAUCACAUAAGCCAUGAUAACAAUGAUCUCCUAUUUUAACAGAAAUAACAGGCACGCCUACCAUAGGUCUAUGUUUAUCUUUAGCACAAGGUUUAGCAAUUCUAGCAGUUUCACCUUCGAACUGAAUAACAUGCCCAUCAAUAUUACCAGACAAGAGAUCUUUAACAAUAGCAAUAUUAGGUUCUACUUUAACUUGCUCAGGAGGUGUAUAAGUUCUAAUAUUGCUUUUACGAACAACAGUUGAAGCUUUAGCAUGAUCCUUUAUUCUAACAGGGAAAGGUGGUUUCUCAACAUAAGAAGUGGGAACAAUAGGAUUAUUAUAAGUGGCAGUCUUUGCUUCAACUUUAAUAGGUGCAGCUACUUUUACUUCUAUGGGAGGAUGAUAUUUAAGCCACUUCUCCUUAGGAAGAUCAACAUAAGUAGCAAAAGAUUCAUAGAAAGAAGCUACUAUCUCGGAGUCAAGUCCAUAUUUAGUGCUAAACUUACAAAAAAUAUCGGUAUCCAUAAAAGAUUUAACACAAUCAAACUUAGGUGUCAUACCUGACUCCUUACCUUCGUCGAGGUCCCAAUCUUCAGAGUUGCGUUUAAUUCUAUCCAAUAAAUUCCAUCUGAAUUCAAUAGUCUUCAUCAUAAAAGAGCCAGCACAAGAAGUAUCGAGCAUGGUGCGAUUGUUUUCAGAAAGCCAAGCAUAUAAAUUUUGAAUAAUCAUUUCUCUUGAGAGCUCAUGAUUGGGGCAUGAAUAUAACAUUGAUUUAAGCCUCCCCAAGCUUGAGCGAUGCUUUCUCCUUCGCGAGGCCAGAAAUUAUAUAUAUAAUUGCGAUCACGAUGAACAAGAUGCAUAGGGUAAUACUUUUGAUGAAAUUCCAACUUCAAUCUUUUAUAGUCCCAUGAUCUCAUAUCAUCACAUAGCCUAUACCAUAUCAAUGCGUCUCCCUUCAAAGAUAAAGGGAAGACCUUCUUAGCAACACCAUUGGGUAUACCUGCAAGCUUAAAUAAUCCACAAACUUCAUCCACAUAUAUUAAGUGCUCAUCAGGAUGCUUUGUUCCAUCUCCUGUAAAAGGGUUAACUAGCAGUUUUUCCAUCAUACCCGAAGGAAAUUCAAAAGGAGUUUAAUUUUCAAUAGGUUCAGUAGGUUGAGGAGCAACUCUUUGCUCUAUUGGACGGGGUGAAGAUACCCUGAACAAGCCCCUCAGAGAAUUACUUUCCAUAGUAACAAGUGACAGUAAAUUUCAGCACACUAUAUAAAUUUUUCCUUACCAAAUUCCACCUACCAAAGGCGCUACACUCCUCGGCAACGACACCAUAAAAGAGUCUUGAUGGCCCACAAGUAUAGGGGAUCCAUCGUAGUCCUUUCGAUAAGUAAGAGUGUCGAACCCAACGAGGAGCAGAAGGAAAUGAUAAGCGGUUUUCAGCAAGGUAUUCUCUGCAAGUACUGAAACAACUGGUAACAGAUAGUUUUGUGAUAAGAUAGACUAUAACGAGCAACAAGUAACAAAAGUAAAUAAAGUGCAGCAAGGUGGCCCAAUCCUUUUGUAGCAAAGGACAAGCCGGAACAAACUCUUAUAAUAGGAAAAGCGUUCCCGAGGACACAUGAGAAUAUCGUCAAGCUAGUUUUCAUGACGUUCAUAUGAUUCGCGUUCGAUACUUUGAUAAUUUGAUAUGUGGGUGGACCGGUGCUUGGGUGCUGGUCUUACUUGAACAAGCAUCCCACUUAUGAUUAACCUCUAUUGCAAGCAUCCACAACUACAACAAAAGUAUUAAGGCAAACCUAACCAUAGCAUGAAACAUGUGGAUCCAAAUCAGCCCCUUACGAAGCAACACAUAAACUAGGGUUUAAGCUUCUGUCACUCUAGCAACCCAUCAUGUACUUAUUACUUCCCAAUGUCUUCCUCUAGGCCCAAAUAAUGGUGAAGUGUUAUGUAGUCGACAUUCACAUAACACCACUAGAGGCUAGACAACAUACAUCUUAUCAAAAUAUGAAACGAAUACCAAAUUCACAUGACUACUCAUAGCAAGACUUCUCCCUUGUCCACAGGAACGAAUGUAAUUACUCACAAAGCAUACACAUGUUCAUAAUCAGAGGGGUAAUAAUAUGCAUAUAGGAUCUGAACAUAUGAUCUUCCACCAAUUAAACCAACUAGCAUCAACUACAAGGAGUAAUCAACACUACUAGCAACCUACUAGCACCAAUCCCGGACUUUAAGACAAGAUUUGGAUACAAGAGAUGAACUAGGGUUUGGAGAUGAGAUGGUGCUGGUGAAGAUGUUGAUGGAGAUUACCCUCUCCCGAUGAGAGGAGCGUUGCUGAUGACGAUGGUGAUGAUUUCCCCCUCCCGGAGGGAAGUAUCCCCGGCAGAACAGCUCUGCCGGAGCUCUAGAUAGGAUCCGCCAAGGUUCCGCCUCGUGGCGGCGGAGUCUCGUCCCGAAAAGUUCCUUCUUAUUUUUUUCUCAUCGAAAGACUUCAUAUAGGAGAAGAUGGACGUAGGAGAGCCACCAGGGGGCCCACGAGGUAGGGGGGCAUGCCCUAGGGGGGGGGUGCCCCCCACCCUCGUGAGUAGGGUGUGGGCCCCCUGGCCUUCAUAUUUGGCGUGGAUUUUUCUUUAUUUAUUUUAAGAUGUUCCGUGGAGUAUCAGGACUUUCUGAGUUGCAUAGAAUAGGUCUCUAAUAUUUGCUCCUUUUCCAGCCCAGAAUUCCAGCUGCCGGCAUUCUCCCUCCUUAUGUAAACCUUGUAAAAUAAGAGAGAAUAGCCAUAAGUAUUGUGACAUAAAGUGAAAUAACAGUCCAUAAUGCAAUAAAUAUCGAUAUAAAAGCAUGAUGCAAAAUGGACGUAUCAAUUCCUCGGACACGUUAUAUCUGGAGAAGGUAUAGAAGUAGAUCCCACCAAGGUUGAAACUGUGACAAACUGGGAAGCACCAACAAUAGUUGGAGAGAUCCGGAGUUUUCUUGGACUUGCAGGAUACUGCCGGAGAUUCAUUGAAAAUUUCUUGAAGAUUGUGAAGCCUAUGACGGAGUUGUUGAAGAAGCAUACCAAGUUCAAAUGGACCGAGGAAUGUGAGGCCAAUUUCCAGGAGUUGAAGAAACGUUUGGUUACAUCACCAGUGUUGAUUUUGCCAGAUCAGACCAAGCAUUAUGAGGUGUAUUGCGAUGCUUCACGUCGAGGACUUGGAGCCGUACUUAUGCAGGAUGGAAGAGUUGUUUCCUAUGCCUCACGACAGCUUAAUCCUCAUGAGUUGAAUUAUGCUACGCAUGAUUUGGAGUUAGCAGCCGUAGUGCAUGCAUUGAAGACUUGGAGUCAUUUUCUCAUUGGAAACCAUUGUGAGGUGUACACGGACCACAGUUUGAAGUAUAUUUUCACGCAGAAGGAGUUGAAUCUCAGACAAAGGAGAUGGUUGGGGCUCAUCAAGGAUUAUGAUAUGAGAUUGCAUUAUCACCCUGGAAAGGCUAACGUAGUAGCUGACGCGUUGAGCCGUAAAAGUCAUGUCAACACCUUAAUGACGGGAGAUUUACCAAGAGAGUUAGCCGAAAAUCUUCGUGAGCUAUGUUUGGACAUAGUUCCGAUAGGCUAUGUAGCAACAUUGGAGAUUCAGUCUACUUUGAUGGAUAAGAUCAGAGAAGCCUAGAAGACUGACAAGGAGAUUGAUUCUAUUAAGGAGAAAAUAAGCAAAUGGAAAGCUAAAGGAUUUCGUGAGGAUGAGCACGAUACCUUAUGGUUUGAAGACCGUGUUUAUGUGUCUAAUGACCCAGAGAUCAGGAAGUUAAUUCUGCAAGAGGCCCAUGAUUCACCAUAUUCGAUUCACCCAGGAAAUACCAAGAUGUAUUUGGAUUUGAAGGAUAUUUUCUGGUGGACCGGAAUGAAGAAGGAUAUUGCAGAGUAUGUAGCAGUGUGUGAUGUAUGCCAGAGAGUAAAAGCAGAGCAUCAGAAGCCAGCCGGAUUGCUACAACCAUUGCCAAUACCCGAAUGGAAGUGGGAUAAGCUAGGCAUGGAUUUUAUUACAUGAUUGCCCAGAACUCGUUCAGGCUAUGACUCGAUUUGUGUUGUAGUCGAUCGUUUGACAAAGGUAGCUCAUUUCAUUCCAGUGAAGACUACAUAUACCAGUGCUAAGUUAGCAAAGAUAUACAUGACCAGAGUCGUAUGUCUGCAUGGUGUUCCAAGGAGCAUUGUAUCGGAUAGAGGAACCCAGUUUACCUCAAAGUUUUGGAAUCAGUUGCACGAAACUUUGGGUACCAGGCUAGAGUUCAGUACAACUUUCCAUCCACAGACAGAUGGACAGACUGAGAGAGUCAAUCAGAUUUUGGAGGAUAUGCUGAGAGUUUGUGCGCUAGAUUAUGGAUCUAGUUGGGACGAGAAUUUACCAUACGCAGAGUUCUCUUAUGACAAUAGUUAUCAAUCCAGUUUGAAGAUGGCCCAUUUCGAAGCCUUGUACGGAAGGAGGUGCAGGACCCCAUUGUCAUGGGAUGAAGUUGGAGACCGCCAGCUGUUUGGACUGGAUCUGAUUAAGGAGUCUGAAUAGAAAGUAAAAUUGAUUCGCGGUAGGCUCAAGGUAGCCCAGUCCAGGCAGAAGAGCUACGCAGAUUCUAAACACAGGGAGACAGUUUACGGAGUCGGAGAUCGAGUUUAUCUUCGAGUAUCUCCACUUCGAGGAGUUAAGCGCUUUGGAGUUAAGGGAAAGUUAGCGCCAUGUUUUGUAGGACCAUACAAAGUUUUGGAGAGUAUGGGGGAAGUAGCCUACAAGUUGGAAUUGCCUGAAGGAUUGUCAGGAGUUCACGAUGUAUUCCACAUUUCCCAGUUGAAGAAGUGCCACGCGGAGAUGGCUGAUAUACCACUGAGAGACACAGUGCCGCUGGAAGCGAUUUAGUUGGAAAGUGAUUUGACCCAUGAGGAGAAACCAGUUAAGAUUCUUGAGUAUGCCAGCCGAGUCACCCACAGCAAGGUUAUCAAGAUUUGGAAAGUUCAGUGGAGCCACCACACGGAGGAUGAAGCCACCUGGGAACGAGAGGAAGAUCUGUUGAAGGACCACCCUCACCUAUUUUCUAGCCAACCCGAAUCUCGAGCGUGAGAUUCAUCUUAAGGGGGGUAGGUUUGUAACAUCCCAAAUUUUCAAUUUGGAAUGUUAUACACUAGAUCAUCAUUGCAUAUCAUAUUUUAUUGCAUUUGGUUGAUCCUAGAAAUUCUACGUGACUCAAGGACCUUCGGAGAGAGUUGAGGAUUUCGUUAUUUUCAUAUUUGAGUUUUCUCAAAAUUUGAAAAUAGGGUCAUUUGAUUUUAUUUAUUUUAUCUUCAAUUAUUUCUAAUAUCAAAAUAUGAGAGAGGGAAUAAAAUGACUUUCCCAAAAUAAAGAAAUAUUGAGGAUUUAAUAAAAAAUCAAAUAGGGUUUUAUUCUGGAGUUUUCGUGGUUUUAUUUGAAUUUAGGAAAAAUUGCACGUUUUCAAAAAUUGCAUUUAGGACCAAAAAAAUGUUCAUCCAGUUCUAAAUAUUUUAUUUAGACGGUGAAAAUUUGUUUUGGCAAUUUUAGAUUUUUAUUUAUUUUUCUAGAAUUUUUUUAGUUUAGCAAAAUUGUUUAAAAAAACCUGCGCCCGACUAGGCCAAGGGCCCAGCCGAGCCAGGCCGGCCCAGCCGCCGCCAGCUCCUGCUCGAGUAGCCGCCGGACUCGGGAGGAGUCCGAGCUGGAGCCGCCUCGCUGCCGCCCGACCCUCUCCCCAAGUCAGCCCCCUACUUCUCUUAAAUAGCUGCCCCCCUGCUGCCCUCUCCUCACCCCGCCACCCCGCACCGCAGCCCGCCCCCGCCGCCUGUGUUGCUGCCGCCGCCCCACCGUGCGCCGCACGCCGCCUGCUGCUGCUGCCGCUGCUGCGCCGCCCCGCCGGAGUUUCGCCGGAGCCCGAGCCGAGGUAGCCGCCCCGCCGCCCGGUUUUCUGAGAGAAACCGCUUCCGUUUUUUAGAAAACCCUAGUUUUCAUUUUUUUUAAAUAGAUCGGUUUUUUUGGUUUAUUUAUUUAGCGAGCGUUCACUCAUUCGGUCGUUUUAACGAACGCGUUUAUCAUUUAGUUCCAGAUAAUGAACGUUCGUUUGUUAAUCUGUUCAUCAUUUUUCUUUUUCUCGGAUUAAAUCCACGAUUUUUCUGAUCGCGAUUCCUGAUCCAAUUUUCGUUUUAGUUUUACUUUUCGCUCGUUUAUCGGAAUCAGGCGAUUCAAGCGCCUGGAGUUUCGCCUCGAAACCCUCUUUCCAUUUAACCAACUCAAACAAGUUUUUGCCUCUGUAAAACUUGACCUUGAUCCAGAAUAGUAAGCAAAGCUUGUUUCUUUUGCCGUUUGUCUUUCGUUGCUUCGUUCGAUUUGAUUCUUUUUGCAAACCGGAGUUCUUAAGUUGAACUAUCUGGUUAGUUCUCUUAUUUGAGUUUUACCUGUGCAUUAGUUGAGUACUUAUUGUAUGCUUGUUUGUUUGCGAUAGAGUAUUCGGAGUGCGCCGCUUGCUACCCCGAAUCACUAGGUUUUGCGGAUCAUCAGCAAGGCAAGUAACACUUUGAUCAUACUUCCUAUUACCCAGUUUUUAUUUCAUUAGAUCAAUCCUCACACAUUGCAUGAUUAGGAUCUAAUUAAAUUCCUGUUUUAUUAUCAAACCUUUGGGAGUUACUUCUACGUUUGCUUAUUAUGCCAUGCUAUGCUAGUAGACGUGGAUUGGGUGAGUGAAAUCCAUGACAGAUGUGAGUUUGUUAAAUUAAUGGUUUAUCUAAGGUGGCAACUUAAAUACACAUCUGGGUGGAUUGAGGCACCUGGGUAUUCCAGCGAUUGCCUGUUUUUCUUUUGGACCGCCACCCGGGCUCAAGGGGAUCAUGAGAUUAUUCAUACUAGAAACUUCCGUGUGCAGCCACAAGCUACUAUGGGCUCUAGCAUAGUUGACUAAGUCAUGCGAACUCUUACAGUGGUAGACUAGCAGAUGUAGGGGAUGUAGGUUGGUACAGUCUACCCAUUCGUAAGGUGCUAGCGCUUCUGAAAGACUAUGUCUCGGUCAUCCGUUUCUCAAACACCAUGUAGUGUGAGAAUCCCAACGGAGGAGAUCGAGUCUUGUGGGGAAAAGUGCGCAAACCUCUGCAGAGUGUAUAUACUAAUCAUGGUUAGUCGUGUCCCCGGUUAUGGACAUCUUGAGUAUCUAGUACUUGGAUUAUCAUGUGAAUCUCAUCAUGUUACUCUAAAUAAUUUUGUUGGGUUUUAAUGAUGAUGUUUAAUUGGGAUUGAGAGCGUGUCUACACUCUCAAUGUUUAACAACUACCAUGAUAGUUAAAUAAAAUUUAUUUCCUUUGCAGUAGGGAAAAAUUGGCUUUACGCAAAACUGUAACCAUAGAGCUUUCCACUAGCCAAAUAUGCAUAUAGUAUAGUCUUAUUCUUUCAUUGCUCUCUAUGUGUUACCUUGCCAGCAUAUUCCAUGUGCUGACCCGUUUUGGGCUGCAACGUUCAUGUUGCAGACUUUUCAGACGACGAGUAAGGUGUAUUUUAGGUCGUGGAUCUGUACUCAGUGAUGCCAUUGGAGUUGAUGGACUCACUUAUCUUCCAAGCCUUCCGUUGUUAUUGUUAUUAGAUGGCAUUAAGCCAUAUUUAUUGUAAUAAGUUCUCUUUUGAGACACUCGAUGUAAUACGUGUGUGUUGCUACUCUGUUAUAAACCCUUCAAGUACUGUGUGGUGUCAGCAUUACUGAUCCAGGGAUGACACCUGAGCACAGAGAUUGGACAGUUUGAGGUCUGGUCGCUACAGCACGCCCCACCCUAUUGGGCCCCUCGUGGCUCCACCGGCCUACCUCUUUCGCCUAUAUAUACUCUUAUACCCUAAAAACAUCCAGGGAGCCAUGAAACCACUUUUCCACCGCCGCAACCUCCUGUACCCAUGAGAUCCCAUCGGGGGACCUUUUCUGGCGAUCUGCCGGAGGGGGAUUCGAUCACGGAGGGCUUCUACAUCAACACCAUAGCCUCUCCGAUGAUGUGUGAGUAGUUUACCACAGACCUUUGGGUCCAUAGUUAUUAGCCAGAUGGCUUCUUCUCUCUCUCUCUUUGGAUCUCAAUACAAAGUUAUCCUCGAUGUUCUUGGAGAUCUAUUCGAUGUAAUUCUUUUUGUGGUGUGUUUGCCGAGAUCCGAAGAAUUGCGGGUUUAUGAUUAAGAUUAUCUAUGAACAAUAUUUGAUUCUUCUAUGAAUUCUUAUACGCAUGAUUUGAUAUCUUUGCAAAUCUCUUCUAAUUAUCAGUUUGGUUUGGCCUACUAGAUUGAUCUUUCUUGCAAUGGGAGAAGUGCUUAGCUUUAGAUUCAAUCUUGCGGUGUCCUUUCCCAGUGACAGCAGGGGUAGCAAGGCACGUAUUGUAUUGUUGCCAUCGAGGAUAAAAAGAUUUGGUUUAUACCAUAUUGCUUGAGUUUAUCCCUCUACACCAUGUCAUCUUGCCUAAUGUGUUACUCUAUUCCUAUGAACUUAAUACUCUAGAUGCAUGCUGGAUAGCGGUCGAUGUGUGGAGUAAUAUUAGUAGAUGCAGAAUCAUUUCGGUCUACUUGACACGAACAUGAUGCCUAUGUUCAUGAUCAUGCCUAGAUAUCAUCAUAACUAUGCGAUUUUCUAUCAAUUGCUCGGCAGUAAUUUGUUCACCCACCGUAAUAUAUGCUAUCUUGAGAGAAGCCACUAGUGAAACCUAUGGCCCCCGGGUCUACUUUACAUCAUAUUAUUUUCCCGUCAACUAGCUAUUUAUGUCGUCGUUUAUUUUGCAAUCUUUACUUUUCAAUCUAUAUGACAAAAAUACCAAAAAUAUUUAUCUUAUUAUCUCUAUCAGAUCUCACUUUCGUAAGUGACCGUGAAGGGAUUGACAACCCCUUUAUCGCGUUGGUUGCGAGGUUCUUGUUUGUUUGUGUAGGUACUAGGCGACUUGCGUGUAGUCUCCUACUGGAUUGAUACCUUGGUUCUCAAAAACUGAGGGAAAUACUUACGCUACUUUGCUGCAUCACCCUUUCCUCUUCAAGGGAAAACCAACGCAUGCUCAAGAGGUAGCAGGGCAUAGGUGUAAUCGGGAAAGAACAUGCUUUUCCUGUGGAGUAGGUUCCGCAUGUUUAGCCUGUCAUGUAGAAGUAGCUAGUGGAAGAUCUUAUGCCUCAGUCUGCAAGCAGUGCUCCAUAUAUUCUUGAAGAUCAUGUGUGAUGUGCCUUUUCCCAUAAGCGGGUGGUACAUCUUCUUAGACGAGUACUGGGGAGAAGACCAAGCAUAUUUCCACUAGUCCUUAUUAUCAGACACCACCCUGUUGUUCAUCAUUUGCAGGACCAGAUUGUACUGCUCAUAGGCUUGGAAGGAGAGAGGCCUAUGGAAUAGUUGACUGAUAACCUCAUGUGAUUGCAAACUGUUCAGGGUUAUGUUUUUGUCUAGGGCAUAGGAGAAAAGCUUAGGAAAUUUGAUACACAGUGGUUGGCCAUCCCAAUUAUUUGUCCAGAAUGUGAUGGUAUCUCCUUUGAAUGCCUUACAAACUGCAUGUUUUUUGUAUAGUGGGAGGAGCCUCAGUAUUGUUUUCCACCAAAAAGAUCCAACCAUUCUUUCUCCUGGUAAAGAAGUUUGGUAAUAAGUGUCCCAGAUGAUGUUGACACAUGGGAUAUCUUCCUUGUUCAUGAAUUUGUGUAAAUAUUGUUGGGGAACGUAGUAAUUCAAAAAAAAAUCCUACGAUCAUGCAAGAUCUAUCUAGGAGAAGCAUAGCAACGAGACGAGAGAGUGUGUCCACAUACCCUCAUAGACCAAAAGCAGAAGCAUUAUGUAACGCGGUUGAUGUAGUCGAACGUCUUCACAAUCCAACCCAUCCAAGUACCGAACGUACGGCACCUCCGUGUUCAGCACACGUUCAGCACGAUGACGUCCCUCGAGCUCUUGAUCUAGUAGAGGGUCGAGGGAGAGUUCCAUCAGCACGACGGCGUGGUGACUGUGUUGGUGAUGUGAUCUGCGCAUGGCUUCACCUAAGCACCACGACAAUAUGACCGAGGUGGUAAACUCUGGAGGGGACCACCGCACACGACUAAAGAACAAUUGAUGUGCCUUUGUGGUGCCCCUUGCCCCGGUAUAUAAAGGAGGAGGGGAGGAGGCGGCUGGCCUAGGGGGCGCGCCAAAGGGGGGAGUCCAACUAGGACUCCCAAUCCUAGUUGGAUUCCCUUUCCUUUUCCGAAGGGGGGAAAGAGGGAAGGGGGAGGAAGAGGAGAAGGAAAGGGGGGGCCCCCUUCCCUAGUCCAAUUCGGACUCCCUAUAGGGAGGGGGCGCGACUACCCCUUGUGGGCUGCCUCCCCUAUCCNNNNNNNNNNNNNNNNNNNNNNNNNNNNNNNNNNNNNNNNNNNNNNNNNNNNNNNNNNNNNNNNNNNNNNNNNNNNNNNNNNNNNNNNNNNNNNNNNNNNNNNNNNNNNNNNNNNNNNNNNNNNNNNNNNNNNNNNNNNNNNNNNNNNNNNNNNNNNNNNNNNNNNNNNNNNNNNNNNNNNNNNNNNNNNNNNNNNNNNNNNNNNNNNNNNNNNNNNNNNNNNNNNNNNNNNNNNNNNNNNNNNNNNNNNNNNNNNNNNNNNNNNNNNNNNNNNNNNNUACCCGAAUCACUCGGAACCGUCCGAAUACAACCUUCCAAUAUAUGAACAUUUACCUCUCGGCCAUUCCGAGACUCCUCGUCAUGUCCAUGAUCUCAUCGGGGACUCCAGACAAACUUCAGGCACCAAAACACAUAACUCAUAAUACAAACCAUCAUCGAAUGUUAAGCGUGCGGACCCUACGGGUUCGAGAACUAUGUAGACAUGACCGAGACACAUCUCCGGUCAAUAACCAAUAGCGGAACCUGGAUGCUCAUAUUGGCUCCUACAUAUUCUACGAAGAUCUUUAUCGGUCAAACCGCAUAACAACAUACGUUAUUCCCUUUGUCAUCGGUAUGUUACUUGCCCGAGAUUCGAUCGUCGGUAUUAUCAUACCUAGUUCAAUCUCGUUUUUGGCAAGUCUCUUUACUCGUUUCGUAAUGCAUCAUCCCGUAACUAACUCAUUAGUUAUAUUGCUUGCAACGUUUAUAAUGAUGUGCAUUACCGAGAGGGCCGAGAGAUACCUCUCUGAUACAUGGAGUGACAAAUCCUAAUCUUGAUCUAUGCCAACUCAACAAACACCUUCGGAGACACUUGUAGAGCAUCUUUACAGUCACCCAGUUACGUUGUGAUAUUUGAUAGCACAUAAGGUGUUCCUCCGGUAUUCGGGAGUUGCAUAAUCUCAUAGUCAGAGGAAUAUGUAUAAGUCAUGAAGAAAGCAAUAACAAUAAAACUAAACGAUCAUAAUGCUAAGCUAACGGAUGGGUCUUGUCCAUCACACAAUUCUCUAAUGAUGUGACCCCGUUCAUCAAAUGACAACACAUGUCUAUGGUCAGGAAACUUAACCAUCUUUGAUUAACGAGCUAGUCAUGUAGAGGCAUACUAGGGACACUCUGUUUGUCUAUGUAUUCACACAUGUACUAAGUUUCCGAUUAAUACAAUUCUAGCAUGAAUAGUAAAAAUUUAUCAUGAUAUAAGGAAAUAUAAAUAACAACUUUACUAUUGACUCUAGGGCAUAUUUCCUUCAGUCUCCCACUUGCACUAGAGUCAAUAAUUUAGAUUACAUAAUAAUUAUUCUAAGACCCAUGGAGUCUUGGUGUUGAUCAUGUUUUGCUCGUGAGAGAGGCUUAGUCAACGGGUCUGCAACAUUCAGAUCUGUAUGUAUCUUGCAAAUCUCUAUGUCUCCCUCCUUGACUUGAUCGCGGAUGGAAUUGAAGCGUCUCUUGAUGUGUUUGGUUCUCUUGUGAAAUCUGGAUUCCUUCACCAAGGUAAUUGCUCCAAUAUUGUCACAAAAGAUUUUCAUCGGACCCGAUGCACUAGGUAUUACACCUAGAUCGGAUAUGAACUCCUUCAUCUAGACUCCUUAAUUUGCUGCUUCUGAAGUAGCUAUGUACUCCGCUUCACACGUAGAUCCCGCCACGACGCUCUGCUUGGAACUGCACCAACUGAUAGCUCCACCAUUCAAUAUAAAUAUGUAUCCAGUUUGUGACCUAGAGUCAUCCAGAUCAGUGUCAAAGCUUGCAUCGACGUAACCAUUUAUGGCAAGCUCUUUAUCAUCUCCAUAAACGAGAAACAUAUCCUUAGUCCUUUUCAGGUUUUUCAGGAUGUUCUUGACCGUUGUCCAGUGAUCCACUCCUAGAUUACUUUGGUACCUCACUGCUAAACUUAUAGCAAGGGACACAUCAGGUCUGGUACACAGCAUUGCAUACAUGAUAGAACCUAUGGCUGAUGCAUAGAGAAUGACUUUCAUUUUCUCUCUAUCUUCUGUAGUGGUUGGGCAUUGAGUUUGACUCAACUUCACACCUUGUAACACAGGCAAGAACCCUUUCUUUGAAUGAUCCAUUUUGAACUUCUUCAAAACUUUAUCAAGGUAUGUUCUUUUAAGCGUCUUGAUCCCAAUAUAUAAGCAGCUUCAUCGAGGUCUUUCAUUGAAAAAUUCUUAUUCAAGUAUCCUUUUAUGCUAUCCAGAAAUUCUGUAUUAUUUCCAAUCAAAAAUAUGUCAUCCACAAAUAAUAUCAGAAAUGCUACAGAGCUCCCACUCACUUUCUUGUAAAUACAAGCUUCUCCAAAAGUCUGUAUAAAACCAUAUGAUUUGAUCACACUAUCAAAGCGUAUAUUCGAACUCCGAGAGGCUUGCACCAGUCCAUAAAUGGAUCGUUGGAGCUUGCACACUUUGUUAGCACCUUUAGGAUCGACAAAACCUUCUAGUUGCAUCAUAUACAACUCUUCUUUAAGAUAUCCACUAAGGAAUGCAGUUUUGACAUCCAUUUGCCAAAUUUUAUAAUCAUAAAAUGCGGCAAUUGCUAACAUGAUUCAGACAGACUUAAGCAUCGCUACGGGUGAGAAGGUCUCAUCGUAGUCAACUCCUUGAACUUGUCGGAAACCUUUCACAACAAGUUGAGCUUUGUAGAUAAUAACAUUACCGUCACCGUCAAUCUUCUUCUUGAAGAUCCAUUUAUUUUCUAUGGCUUGCCGAUCAUCGGGAAAGUCAACCAAAGUCCACACUUUGUUCUCAUACAUGGAUCCCAUCUCAGAUUUCAUGGCCUCAAGCCAUUUUGUGGAAUCUGGGCUCAUCAUCGCUUCCUCAUAGUUCGUAGGUUCGUCAUGGUCAAGUAACAUGACCUCCAGAAUAGGGUUACCAUACCACUCUGGUGCGGACCGUACUCUGGUUGAUCUACGAGGUUCGGUAGUAACUUGAUCUGAAGUUUCAUGAUCAUCAUCAUUAGCUUCCUCACUAAUUGGUGUAGGAAUCACUGGAACUGAUUUCUGUGACAAACUACUUUCCAAUUCGGGAGAAGGUACAAUUACCUCAUCAAGUUCUACUUUCCUCCCACUCACUUCUUUCGAGAGAAACUCCAUCUCUAGAAAGGAUCAAUUCUUAGCAAUGAAUAUCUUGCCUUCAGAUCUAUGAUACAAGGUGUACCCAACAGUCUCUAUUGGGUAUCCUAUGAAGACACAUUUCUCCGAUUUGGGUUCGAGCUUAUCAGGUUGAAGCUUUUUCACAUAAGCAUCGCAACCCCAAACUUUAAGAAACGAUAGCUUAGGUUUCUUGCUAAACCAUAGUUCAUAUGGUGUCUUCUCAACGGAUUUAGAUGGUGCCCUAUUUAACAUGAAUGCAACCGUCUCUAAAGCACAACCCCAAAACGAUAGUGGUAAAUCAGUAAGAGACAUCAUAGAUCGCACCAUAUCUAAUAAAGUACGAUUCUGACGUUCAGACACACCAUUACGUUGUGGUGUUCCAGGUGGCGUGAGUUGUGAAACUAUUCCACAUUGUUUCAAAUGAAGACCAAACUCAUAACUCAAAUAUUCACCCCCAUGAUCAGAUCGUAGAAACUUUGUUUUCUUGUUACGAUGAUUUUCCACUUCACUCUGAAAUUCUUUGAACUUUUCAAAUGUUUCAGACUUAUGUUUCAUUAAGUAAAUAUACCCAUAUCUACUCAAACAUUUGUGAAGGUUACAAAAUAAUGAUACCAGCCGCGAGCUUCAACACUCAUCAGACUGCAUGCAUCAGUAUGUAUUAUUUCCAAUAAGUCAGUUGCUCGCUCCAUUGUUCCAGAGAACGGAGUCUUAGUCAUCUUGCCCAUGAGGCAUGGUUCGCAAGCAUCAAGUGAUUCCAAAAGCCCAUCAGCAUGGAGUUUCUUCAUGCACUUUACACAAAUAUGACCUAAACGGCAGUGCCACAAAUACGUUGCACUAUCAUUAUUAACUUUGCAUCUUUUGGCUUCAAUAUUAUGAAUCUGUGUAUCACUACAAUCGAGAUUCAACAAUAAUAGACCACUCAUCAAGGGUGCAUGACCAUAAAAGAUAUUACUCAUAUAAAUAGAAUAACCAUUAUUAUCUGAUUUAAAUGAAUAACCAUCUCGCAUCAAACAAGAUCCAGAUGUAAUGUUCAUGCUCAACGUUGGCACCAAAUAACAAUUAUUUAUGUCUAAAACUAAUCCCGACGGUAGAUGUAGAGGUAGCGUGCCGACAUCGAUCACAUUGACUUUGGAACCAUUUCCCACGCGCACCAUCACCUCGUCCUUAGCCAAUCUUCGUUUAAUCUGUAGCCCCUGUUUUGAGUUGCAAAUAUGAGAAAUAGAACCAGUAUCAAAUACCCAGGCACUAGUACGAGCAUUAGUAAGGUACACAUCAAUAACAUGUAUAUCAAAUAUACCUUUCACUUUUCCAUCCUUCUUGUCUGCCAAAUACUUGGGGCAGUUCCGCUUCCAGUGACCAGUCCCUUUGCAGUAGAAGCACUCAGUCUCAGGCUUAGGUACAGACUUGGGUUUCUUCCCUUGAGCAGCAACUUGCUUGUUGUUCUUCUUGAAGUUCCCCUUCUUCUCUUUGCCCUUUUUUCUUGAAACUAGCUGUCUUGUUAACCAUCAACACUUGAUGCUCCUUCUUGAUUUCUACCUCUGCAGCCUUUAGCAUUGCGAAGAGCUCGGUAAUUGUCUUUUUCAUCCCUUGCAUAUUAUAGUUCAUCAUGAAGCCUUUAUAGCUUGGUGGCAGUGAUUGAAGAACUCUAUCAAUGACACUAUCAUUGGGAAGAUGAAGUCCCAGCUGAGUCAAGUGGUUGUGGUACCCAGACAUUCUGAGUAUGUGUUCACUGACAUAACUAUUCUCUUCCAUUUUGCAGCUAUAGAACUUGUUGGAGACUUCAUAUCUCUCAACUCAGGCAUUUGCUUGAAAUAUUAACUUCAACUCCUGGAACAUCUCGUAUGCUCCAUGACGUUCAAAAUGUCUUUGAAGUCCCGAUUCUAAGCCGUAAAGCAUGGCACACUGAACUAUUGAGUAGUCAUCAGCUUUGCUCUGCCAGGCGUUCAUAACGUCCGGAGUUGCUCCUGCAGCGGGUCUUGCACCUAGCGAUGCUUCCAGGACAUAAUUCUUCUGUGCAGCAAUGGGGAUAAUCCUAAAGUUACGGACCCAAUCCGUGUAGUUGCUACCAUCAUCUUUCAACUUAGCUUUCUCUAGGAACGCAUUAAAAUUCAAGGGGACGGUAGCACGGGCCAUUGAUCUACAACAACAUAGAUAUGCAAAAGACUAUCAGGUACUAAGUUCAUGAUAAAUUAAAGUUCAAUUAAUCAUAUUACUAAAGAACUCCCACUUAGAUAGACAUCCCUCUAGUCAUCUAAAUGAUCACGUGAUCCAUAUCAACUAAACCAUGUCCGAUCAUCAUGUGAGAUGGAGUAGUUUUCAAUGGUGAACAUCACUGUGUUGAUCAUAUCUACUAUAUGAUUCAUGUUCGACCUUUCGGUCUCAGUGUUCCGAGGCCAUAUCUGCAUAUGCUAGGCUCGUCAAGUUUAACCCGAGUAUUCUGCAUGUGCAAAACUGGCUUGCACCCGUUGUAUGUGAACGUAGAGCUUAUCACACCCGAUCAUCACAUGGUGUCUCGGCACGACGAAUUGUAGCAACGGUGCAUACUCAAGGAGAACAGUUAUACCUUGAAAUUUAGUGAGGGAUCAUCUUAUAAUGCUACCGCCAUACUAAGCAAAAUAAGAUGCAUAAAGGAUAAACAUCACAUGCAAUCAAAAUAUGUGACAUGAUAUGGUCAUCAUUAUCUUGUGCCUUUGAUCUCCAUCUCCAAAGCACCAUCAUGAUCUCCAUCGUCACCGGCUUGACACCUUGAUCUCCAUCAUAGCAUCGUUGUCGUCUUGCUAACUAUUGCUUUUACGACUAUCGCUAUCACUUAGUGAUAAAGUAAAGCAAUUACAUGGCAAUUGCAUUUCAUACAAUAAAGCGACAACCAUAAGGCCCCUGUCAGUUGCCGGUAACUUUUAUAAAACAUGAUCAUCUCAUACAGCAAUUUAUAUCUCAUCACGUCUUGACCAUAUCACAUCACAACAAGCCCUGCAAAAACAAGUUAGACGUCCUCUACUUUGUUGUUGCAAGUUUUUACGUGGCUGCUACGGGCUUCUAGCAAGAACCGUUCUUACCUACGUAUCAAAACCACAAUGAUUUUUCAUCAAGUGUGCUGUUUUAACCUUCAACAAGGACUGGCCGUAGUCAAACUCUAUUCAACUAAAGUUGGAGAAACAGACACCCGCUAGUCACCUGUGUGCAAAGCAUGUCCGUAGAACCAGUCUCAUGAACACGGUCAUGUAAUGUCGGUCUGUUCCGCUUCAUCCAACAAUACCGCCGAAUCAAAGUAAGAUGUUGGUGGUAAGCAGUAUGACUAUUAUCGCCCACAACUCUUUGUGUUCUACUCAUGCAUAUCAUCUACGCAUAGACCUGGCUCGGAUGCCACUGUUGGGGAAUGUAGUAAUUCAAAAAAAUUCCUACGAUCACGCAAGAUCUAUCUACGAGAAGCAUAGCAACGAGACGGGAGAGUGUGUCCACGUACCCUCGUAGACCGAAAGCGGAAGCGUUAUGUAACGUGGUUGAUGUAGUCGAACGUCUUCAUGAUCCAACCCAUCCAAGCACCGAACAUAUGACACCUCCGUGUUCAGCACACGUUCAACACGAUGACAUCCCUCGAGCUCUUGAUCCAGUAGAGGGUCGAGGGAGAGUUCCGUCAGCAUGAAGGCAUGGUGACUGUGUUGGUGAUGUGAUCCGCGCAGGGCGUCGCCUAAGCACUACGAUAAUAUGACCGAGGAGGGCAUGAUGACCCACAAGUAUAGGGGAUCUAUCGUAGUCCUUUCGAUAAGUAAGAGUGUCGAACCCAACGAGGAGCAGAAGGAAAUGACAAGCAGUUUUCAGUAAGGUAUUCUCUACAAACACUUAAAUUAUCGGUAACAAAUAGUUUUGUGAUAAGGUAAUUUGUAACGGGUAACAAGUAAUAAAAGUAAAUAAGGUGCAGCAAGAUGGCCCAAUCCUUUUUGUAGCAAAGUACAGGCCUGGACAAACUCUUAUAUAAAGGAGAACGCUCCUGAGGACACAUGGGAAUUAUCGUCAAGCUAGUUUUCAUCACGCUCAUAUGAUUCAUGUUCGGUACUUUGAUAAUUUGAUAUGUGGGUGGACCGGUGCUUGGGUAAUGCCCUUACUUGGACAAGCAUCCCACUUAUGGUUAACCCCUCUUGCAAGCAUCCGCAACUACAAAAGAAGUAUUAGGGUAAACCUAACCAUAGCAUGAAACAUAUGGAUCCAAAUCAGCCCCUUACGAAGCAACGCAUAAACUAGGGUUUAAGUUUCUGUCACUCUAGCAACCCAUCAUCUAUUUAUUACUUCCCAAUGCCUUUCCCUAGGCCCAAACAAUUGUGAAGUGUCAUGUAGUCGACGUUCACCUGACACCACUAGAGGCAAGACAACAUACAUCUCAUCAAAAUAUCGAACGAAUACCAAAUUCACAUGAGUACUUAUAGCAAGACUUCUCCCAUGUCCUCAGGAACAAAUGUAACUACUCACAAAUCAUAUUCAUGUUCAUAAUCAGAGGGGUAUUAAUAUGCAUAAAGGAUCUGAACAUAUAAUCUUCCACCGAAUAAACGAACUAGCAUCAACUACAAGGAGUAAUCAACACUACUAGCAACCCAUGGGUACCAAUCUGAGGUUUUGGGACAAAUAUUGGAUACAAGAGAUGAACUAGGGUUUGAGAUGAGAUGGUGCUGGUGAAGAUGUUGAUGGAGAUUGACCCCUCCCGAUGAGAGGAUCGAUGGUGAUGAUGAUGGUGAUGAUUUCCCCUGCUUCCCUGGCAGAACAGCUCCGUUGGAGCCCUAGAUUGGUUCUGCCAAGGUUCCGCCUCGUGGCAGUGGCGCUUCGUCCUAAAAGCUUCCUUAUGAUUUUUUCCAGGGCGAAAGACUCCAUAUAGCCAAAGAUGGGCACCGGAGGCCUGCCAGGGGACCCACGAGACAGGGGCGCGCCCAAGGGGGUAGGGCGCGCCCCCCACCCUCAUGGAUGGUGGGUGGCCCCCUCUGGUGCUUUCUUCACCCAAUAUUUUUUAUAUAUUCCAAAACUGACUUCUGUGGAGUUUCAGGACUUUUGGAGUUGUGCAGAAUAGGUCUCUAAUAUUUGCUCCUUUUCCAGCCCAGAAUUCGAGCUACCGACAUUCUCCCUCUUCAUGUAAACCUUGUAAAAUAAGAGAGAAUAGGCAUAAGUAUUGUGACAUAAUGUGUAAUAACAGCCCAUAAUGCAAUAAAUAUCGAUAUAAAAGCAUGAUGCAAAAUGGACGUAUCAACUCCCCCAAGCUUAGACCUUGCUUGUCCUCAAGCGGAAGCCGAUAUCGAAAAAUAUGUCCACAUGUUUAGAGAUAGAGGUGCCGAUAAAAUAAAAUACGGACAUGAGGGCAUCAUGAUCAUUCUUAUAACAACAUAUAUAUAUAUAUAUUGUCAUAUGAUUUCUUAUUCUAAAGUAACAAUUUAUUCACAAUGUCAAGUAUGAAUUGGAAAUUUCAUUGAAAACUAACAAACUAUAAUCUCAGUCAUUGAAGCAAUUACAAUUUAUCAUAACAUCGGAAAGAGUCAAUAUACGAGCUUUUCAGCAAGUCCACAUACUCAACUAUCAUUUAGUCUUUCACAAUUGCUAACACUCACUGUUGGUUUCAAAACCGGCGGAUCUCGGGUAGGGGGUCCCGAACUGUGCGUCAAGGUCGGAUGGUAACAGGAGACAAGGGACACGAUGUUUUUACCCAGGUUCGGGCCCUCUCGAUGGAGGUAAUACCCUACUCCUGCUUGAUUAAUAUUGAUGAUAUGAGUAGUACAAGAGUUGAUCUACCACGAGAUCAAGGAGGCUAAACCCUAGAAGCUAGCCUAUGGUAUGAUUGUUGUGUAUGGAGUUGAUUCUGGGCUACGGACUACAACCCUUCGGUUUAUAUAGACACCGGAUAGGGUUAGGGUUACAUAGAGUCGGUUACAAUGGUAGGAGAUCUUGAAUAUCCGCAUCGCCAAGCUUGCCUUCCACGCCAAGGAAAGUCCCCUCCGGACAUGGGACGAAGUCUUCAAUCUUGUAUCUUCAUAAUCCUGGAGUCCGGCCGAAGGUAUAGUCCGGCUACCCGAACACCCCCUAAUCCAGGACUCCCUCAGUAUCCCCUGAACCAGGCUUCAAUGAUGACGAGUCCGGCGCACAAAUUGUCUUUGGCAUUGCAAGGCGGGUUCCUCCUCCAAGUCCUUUCAUAGAAGAUUGUAAACACCAAGAGUAGUGUCCGGCUCUGUAAAAUAAGCUUCCAUAUAUUGCCAUAGAGAGAAUAAUAUUAACACAAAUCCAAUCUGCUGACGUAUUCCGGAGUGUGUCAUCACACUACAGCUAAGUCCUUCAUUCGAAUCGUUUCACUUUUCCACCUCAGCAUGUUUUGCGAGGCAGUUUCCUUGGCACAUCUUGUCAAAGCAGAGAUCGUGUGCCCCACUUUUACGGGAUUCUCAUCAAUACGGACGUGGGUAACCCAAUCAUGCCCGUUAGCACAUUUUCUUGAUUAAAGGCGAGUCCCCCACGGUUACGGGGAGGGCUCCUGGUAUUCAACCUCUUAUAAAGAGACCAGGGCCUUACUCCUUUUCUCCAAUCCAAAACAAGUUCGCCCGUCACCCCGAGUUCCAACACCCUAGGCUCCAGAUUCCUGGCGCCUCAGACCUUCGACAAUGUCCGGUUCCGACCUUCAAGGCCGAUGGAUGCCCUCCUCCGUCAUGGAGGAGGACGUGCUAAAGUUGAGAGAGGCUAAGUUCUUGACCGCCGAAAUUCCGCACAGGUUGCCUGCUCAAAGGCAGGCUAUCCCCAGUCCCUAGCCCGGUGAGAGCGUAGUGUUCGUGUCUCACUUCCUUCGGGGGUUAGGCUUCUCGAUGGAUCCCUUUGUGAGGGGACUGCUGUUUUAUUACGGGUUGGAAUUCCAUGACUUAGCUCCGGAGUCCAUCCUCCAUAUCUCCUUGUUUAUCGUUGUAUGCGAAGCGUUCCUCCGUGUUACCCCUCACUUCGGAUUAUGGCUCAAGACUUUCAAACUGGAGCCGAAGAUGAUCAAGGGACGGCACACAGAGUGCGGAGGCGCUGUUAUAAGCAAAAAUGCCGAUGCUCCAUGGCCCGAGGGCUCUUUUCAAGAGGAGCUGGGCUUGUGGCAACGAGAGUGGUUUUAUAUCACCGCUCCCCGGAGCGCCAAGUGGGUGGCACUUCCUGCCUUUCGCUCGGGUCCCCCACCACGGCUAGCAUCAUGGGUUAACAGAGGGUGAGAUUGGGGUUUGCCCAAGGACGUCCCCUUGUUACAGGUCCGAAUUAAGGAUCUCUUGGAAGGAGACCUCAGCUUGGUCAAGGUGACGCAGGUCAUGCUGAUUCGCCGAAUAUUGCCCGGCAAACGUCGCCCCCUUCGCCUGUGGGAGUUUAAUAGAGAGGGACUGCGAGCUCUCCAGAACUUUAUGGGCGCAACGCCCGCGGAGAUGUAUAGACUGUUCUUCGGAUCACAAGAGAUGUGUCCGGAUUUAACCGAGGACGCAGGCCUAAGCUACAAUCGCCCGGAUAUUCAAGUAAGCAACCUUGUGCCCGGACCUUCUAUCCGUAUAAUUGUCAUAAACUUGCCCCUAAAAGAGCCGUCCUUUUAAACAGGAGUGGAUAGUGAAGGCGAAGCUGAUCAGGUGUCCGGCUCCCCUUCCUGAAACCAGGCCGGCUCCCGUGCUGGUCAGGAUGCUAGAGAUAAUGGCUUUGGAGGGGGAGGACAAGGAGGCUAUGGCCUCCUCGAAGGAGGCUGCUCCGAAGGGAGGAACCGACAAUUCCUCUCCUAAUGGGAAGAAGAGAGCCGCCUCUGAUGACCCGGAAACCGUGGCCUCGAAGUGGGGGAGAAAAUCCUCGUCAGAGGGUCCGGCGCCGGGGAGUUCCUCGGCCGGACUACGCCCUCAAGGGGAUCAGCCCUCCAGCGAGCCGUAAGUGGAGAAAUUUUUUCCUUUUGAGGGAUGAGGGAAAUCCUUGAUUUAUAUCUGAGAAGAUUAACCGAAUUUUUGCCUUGUAGCUCGGACCUCAGCCCUUCUCAGCAGAGCUCGUCUUCGGAGGAUCUCCUUCCGGAGAUGAUGGAGAGCAGGACGCCUCCCCCUGUUGUGCCGCCUAGCGAGGCAGGCGACCCUGAGGUGUCGUCGCGGAGAGUUUCUCCGAAUCCGGCAGGGGCGGAAGAUAGCUAUGUGGCCCCCCAAGGUUCUCCGCGUCCGGCCUUUGAAAGAGGUCGUGGGACAAGUCCGGCACCGUCUGGUGCUCGGCCGGAGGAGCUAAAGAUUCUGCUGGGGUGAGCUUCUAUCUCGGAGGAGCACCGUGCAUUGAUGGGCACGGUGAUUGAAAGGAUCUCAUCCACCGAGAGCGGAUUGCAUGAGGCCGUCAGAAGUUUACUGACGGGUUUUGAGGUACAUUAGAUAAUGUACACUUUUGUCAGUUGCGCAUGAAUAAGAUGCGCCCUGUGUAGACAGUAGCCCCUGAGACUAUGCGCGGCGUCAAUAAAUGACGGCACGCAGAGGAUCAUAAUCCCAGGUCUAAGAUGUCGCCUUUGAAUGUAGGCGGCAGGGUGUCCAGAAUCGAGCCGAACUGACGAUUUUGCCGAACUAAAGCGGCAACUGGAGGUGGCAGAUGCCGACAUCACGCUUGUCAAUAAGCGGCUUGAUGAGGCUCAAGGUAUGUAAUUCCUCGGGCGGCAUUAGGUGAGAACAGUUUUAUGCCUGUUUCUUACGAUGUGUGUGCUUGACGCAGAUGGUGCGGCAGCCGUGGAGAGUCUUAGGGCAGAACUUGCCCGAGCUAAAAAACAAGCCAGCAAAAGUGAUGCGGCUACCAGGAAAGCCCUUGAAGAGCUGAGAGCCGAACAGGUUGCUCAUUGCCGAAGCAAGGAAGAGAUGGCCGAGAUGGCCGAAAAGUUAAAAAGCGCUACAGACCAUUGCAGAUUUCUUGAAAAGGGAAACCAGGCGAAACAGACGGACUUAGAGAAGGCCGUUGCCAAUGCCAAGGACGUGCGCUCUGCGAUGAGAGUUGCGAGGGAGGAGCUGCGUCAGGCCGAACAGAUUACGGCUGGAAAGCCCUUUAUGCUGUGAAGGAAAUUUUGUGAUCCGAAGUUUGCUCCGUUGGACCGGAUGUGGAGUGUGGAGGAUACCUAUCUGGACUUGGCAGCGAGUGCUGCUGAUGCGACCGAACACUUUCGAGAUCAGAAAGAUCGCGAAGUGGAAAAGCUUUUCUGGUCGCAGUUGUACAAUCCAGAGCGUCCACUGGCAGUGGAUGAUCGUUUGGCUCAAUGGGCCGAACUGAAUAGGUUGUCUGGACUCGCCAUGAAGUACGUCAUAGGUUACCUGUGGCCGGGGAGAUCAGAGCCGAAGAGUUAUUUCAGUUUAGUGCAGCAAUUCCUUAACGCAGUGCCGCGUAUAAAUGCAAUGAAGAGGUCAGCAUGCAUAGAGGGCGCUAGGAUGGCUCUUGCCCGUGUUAAGACAUACUGGGCAGAGAUGGAGACCACCGUUGUUGCGUCCCGAGAUUCGGACAAAAGCCGAGUGUCCUCCGAGCACUAUUUUCAGGAAGUCCUUGAAGGCGCUCGUGUAAUAGAGACGCAGUGCUUGAAAGAUGCUAUGUUAUGAUAGCAUAUGUAAUUAUAAAGUAAUAUUUUGAAAAAUUGUAGUGGCCUUUUUUAUACUUGUGCCUUCAAGUAUUGGGAACACCUCCUGUGCGGCCGUUUUAAGAUAUAUAUACAAAAUCUGAAAGAUGGCAGUCGUUGGCUUCAGCCCCCACGCACAUAGUGCGGGGGUGCUCGCAGAAGACGCAUUUUCACACUUAACCCAACGUCUUGGUCCUACAAAGGAGGUGAUAGCGCAGCGGGCCAGGCAACCGGACUAUAAUGCUUUAACACUUUCACUUAGCCAUAGGAGUUUGACAGUGAGACUAUUUAGGUAGCUCCUUGGUGGUAACUGCGCUCGUCCGAGUUCGGGGUGCGUAUGUGCCUGACCGGGAAGCAGUCCUUCGUUAAAGCGGAGGAAUAUGAUAGAUUCCGAUAGGUCAUCGUGUGGCUGACCAGUCUCACGCUACAUCAUGACAGUUAGUUUUCGGCUUUCUCUACUGAGGUGCUCGCCCGGCCGAACCGGGGCACAAUCGCAGUAGUUCUCCUAGUGCUACCUUAGCCGAUAGAGCGGAACGUAAGGUAACCGAACUCAGGAGCCGGGCAACCCAACAUUUGACCAAAGACAUGAUUCGGAGCUGAUGCAUAUAAUGCCAAAACUCGCGACGCCGAACACUCCCUAAGGUGUUCGGUCUUUAUGAGUGCGGGCGAAACAACACUCUUUAUUAAAAAAGAAAGCCCCUAGUGUCCAGGUACGUGCAAGAAAUUCUGACGUGGCCACAUGCCAAGACGCCAGCCUCCUCCUUGGUUAUAUCAGAAAAAACCAGGGGAUGUCUAGCAAUAAGAGACAGUAAAAAAGGUUUACGCAGGGUCUUAAUCUAAAAAGAAUCCUUUAGGACGGGUCCCUACUGCACGUCUGUGCCUGUGUCUCCGUUGUGCCGUAUCCUGGACGGGCACCGCACGACGUUCAUCUGUAAAAGAGAGGAACUGAGGUGAAAACGGGUCGUGCCGAAAAAGUUUAAAAUAAACAAAGUAUAAAGUGAAAUAUAUAAGAUUGAGCUUUAUUGUCUCUUAUGCGUGGAGCCCCUAGUGCGGGGGUAUAUGGCUUCUAGGCCUGCAUCAAUAAUGACUUUGCACCGAACUCGUCUAUCCGCGUUCGUGGCCUUGAAUGACCUAUUUCGAAGUUUUUUGGCCGGUGAGGCCAUUUUGCUGUGGGGCUGUCAAAGCGGCCGCACAGUCCUCCGCUUGGGGAGGCGCGCUCUAGUGCUUCGCCUUCAAAGAGAUGAUGCCUCGUGGACCGAGCGUCUUAAGUGUAAGAGAUGCAUAAUGCGGUAUUGUGUUAAAGCGAGUGAAAGCUUCGCGUCCCAGUAGUGCUUGAUAGCGACUUGAGAAUGGGACGAUAUGAAAGGUCAGCUUUUCGCAGCGGGAGUUAUCGGUAGAGCUGAAUAUGACUUCGAGCCGGAGAAAACCCAUACAAUGGGUGUCCGGACCAGGUAUUACCCCUUGAAAGGAGGUUUUGCUGCGGUGGAUUCUUGCUGGGUUUAUCCCCAUGUGCUGGAUUGUAUCCUGAUAUAUCAGGUUUAGUCCACUACUGCCGUCCAUAAGGACAUUUGAAAACUGGAGCCCGCCAAUUAUUGGAUCGAGUAUCAAGGCAGUCCAGCCUACAUUCUUGAUAUUUCUAGAAUAAUCUAUCUGAUCGAAGAUGAUCGGUUUUGACAACCAGUGGCAGGACCCUUUGGGGAUGGGCCGUGUGGUGCGUACCUUUACGGGCGCCGCACGUUUUGUUAUUUGAAGUGAGUUCACUGUUUUUACUUCUUGUGGGAAGUUCUUUUGUUUCCUGGUGCUCUGCUUUUGGGGUUCGUCCUCGUCUUCGCUUGGUGUGUCGAGCCCCUUGUGUUCGGCAUUGAGUCUGCCGAAUUGUUUGAAAACCCAACAGUCUUUGUGGGUAUGGUUAGCAGGCUUCCCGGGAGUACUGUGUAUUUGACAUAUCCUGUCCAAGAUUUUAUUUAGGUUGGAUGGAUCGUCCCUGUUAUCCUGUGGGGGCGAUUUUGCCUGAUUUUGUCGUGAGCCUUUGAAUCCGGCAUUGACUGCCAUGCUCUUCGGACUUUUGUCCUUAGUCCGGCGAUGGUCCUUGUUGCGUCGCGGUUUUCCGUUUCCAUCCCUAGUUUCAGAUGUACUUGGAUCGCUGGGGCUGCACCUUGCCAACCAGCUGUCCUCCCCUGCACAAAAGCGGGUCAUGAGGCUUGUUAGUGCGGCCAUUGUUCUUGGCUUUUCUUGGCCGAGGUGUCUGGCGAGCCAUUCGUCUCGGACGUUAUGCCUGAAAGCUGCUAAGGCUUCGGCGUCCGGACAGUCGACUAUCUGAUUCUUUUUAGUGAGGAAUCUAUUCCAGAACUGUAGAGCUGAUUCUCCGGGUUGUUGAGUUAUGUGACUGAGAUCGUCUGCAUCCGGAGGGCGGACAUAGGUCCCUUGAAAGUUUGCUCGGAAAGCAUCCUCGAGCUCUUCCCAGCUUCCAAUUGUGUUUUCGGGAAGGCUUUUAAGCCAAUGCCGGGCUGGACCUUUAAGCUUAAGGGGUAAAUAUUUUAUGGCGUGGAGAUCAUCUCCUCUAGCCAUGUGUAUGUGGAGGAUAUAAUCCUCGAUCCAAACUCCAGGGUCUGUUGUUCCAUCAUAUGCCUCUAUGUUUACGGGUUUGAAUCCCUCUGGGAAUUCAUAGCCCACGACCUCAUUGGUGAAACAUAGGGGGUGUGUGGCACCCCUGUAUUUGGGUGUGCCGGAUUCUGAUGAUGGCUUCAUAGCAUUGCUUACAAGAGCUUGUUUCUUGGCCCAUAAAUGGACCUGACUGGGCCAUGAUGCGAAUCCUUAAGUAGGUCGCAUGCCAAUUUAGGUGCGGCGCCGCUUGCCGCUUUAUGGGGUCGUCUAUCCGACCAUGUGGCUUUCUCAUUUUUUGAAUGCGAGGGCUCUAGGGCCUCUUCGUCGAAUUCAGGCAGUAGCUUUCUUUUUGGAUAGCUUUUAGUGCGGCGACUGUCGCCGUAUUUAUCUGCGGUAUUGAUUACUUUGCUCCAUCUAAUUCGGAGUGCAUCUUCCGCUGUUUUUAGCUUCCGCUUCUGCUUUUUUAGGCUGCGUGCAGUUGCAACGAGCCUCUCGUGGAGAUUCUUCUGCUCCAUAGGUUUAUUCGGCGUGAGGUCAUCCGGAAUGCCGUUUUCGCUGGAGGAGGGACGUUUGGUUUCUCUAUCCGUGUUGCCCUGUUCGGACGGUUGCUCUAAGGCCUGCUUGUCAUCUCCCGGCUCGUCUUGCUCUAUGGCUGGGUUUAUGUCGAGGCGGGGCUUGGGUCGGCGUUUACGCCGAUGCUUUGAUUGCUUUUCGGGGGGUCAAACUCCCGUCCCAUCCCCUUUUUCCUCGUUGUCGCUUCCUUUAGGGGUAUCCACCAUGUACACAUCAUGAGAUGAGGUGGCUGUCCAAUGCCCUAUGGGCGUUGGUUCUUCGGUAUCUCCUGCAUCGUCAUCCAUGCUGUCGAUGUCUCCGGAGUCAAAGUUGAGCACGUCGUUUAAAUUGUCGGCAGUGGCUACCAAGUGGGUGGUGGGUGGGCUUUGAAUUUCCUCAUCGUCCGCAUCCCACCCUCGCUGACCAUAGUCCGGCCAGGGCUCUCCUGAUAAAGAGAGAGACUUAACAGAAUUCAGGAUGUCACCAAAAGGCGAAUGUUGAAAGAUGUCUGCGACGGUGAACUCCAUUAUCGGCGCCCAAUCGGAUUCGAUUGGCAGGGGCACGGGGGGUUCGGAGUCCGGGGAGGAGUCCGGAUCCUCGGAGUCACGGGUAGUGCAGAGUGCGGGGCUAGCGUUCGGCUUGAUCGCCUCUGAGAUCGCAGCCCCUGAGGCAGCGUCCAACCGCUGAUCCUCGAUCGGCGCAGUAGGCUCCGAAUCAAUGGUCAGGACUGGUGCGUGCGCGGCCUCCAAAGCGCUGUUCGGCGGCAGAGCUAUAUCAUGCCCAUCGAGACAGUGCGGCAUGCUUGGCUAUGGCUCGAGUCCGUCGAAGAUCAAGUCCCCGCGGAUGUCAGCCGUGUAGUUUAGGCUUCCAAACCUGACCUGAUGGCCAGGGGCGUAGCUUUCGAUCUGCUCAAGGUGGCCGAGCGAAUUGGCCCGCAGAGCGAAGCCGCCGAAGACGAAGAACUGUCCGGGGAGAAAAGUCUCACCCUAGACCGCAUCGUUGUUGAUGAUCAAAGGAGCCAUCAGGCCUAAAGGCGACGACACAAAGGAACUCUCAAUGAAAGCACCAAUGUCGGUGUCAAAACCGGCGGAUCUCGGGUAGGGGGUCCCGAACUGUGCGUCAAGGUCAGAUGGUAACAGGAGACAAGGGACACGAUGUUUUUACCCAGGUUCGGGCCCUCUCGAUGGAGGUAAUACCCUACUCCUGCUUGAUUAAUAUUGAUGAUAUGAGUAGUACAAGAGUUGAUCUACCACGAGAUCAAGGAGGCUAAACCCUAGAAGCUAGCCUAUGGUAUGAUUGUUGUGUAUGGAGUUGAUUCUGGUCUAUGGACUACAACCCUCCGGUUUAUAUAGACACCGGAUAGGGUUAGGGUUACAUAGAGUCGGUUACAAUGGUAGGAGAUCUUGAAUAUCCGCAUCGCCAAGCUUGCCUUCCACGCCAAGGAAAGUCCCCUCUGGACACGGGACGAAGUCUUCAAUCUUGUAUCUUCAUAAUCCUGGAGUCCGGCUGAAGGUAUAGUCCGGCUACCCGAACACCCCCUAAUCCAGGACUCCCUCACUCACGCAAUACUUAUGGGUAUGAAGCUUUAAUAGGACACAGAGAAAGAUAGGGGCUUAUAGUUUUGCCUCCCAACCUUUUACCUCAAGGGUAAUGCGAACAAUAAUAGUUUAUGAAAACCCACAUCCAAUUAGCUAUAUAUAUAUCAGGAUCUUUCCAACACAUAGUGCUUGCCAAAGGAUAAAGUAUAAAAAGGAGAGGUGAAGAUCAUCGCGACUCUUGCAUAAGACAAAAGACAAAAAAUAAAAGAUAGGCCCUUCACAGAGGGAGGCAGAGGUUGUCAUGUGUUUUUAUGGUCGGAUGCAUGAAAUCUUAAUGCAAAAGAACGUUACUUUAUAUUUCCACUUGUGAUAUGGACCUUUAUUAUGUAGUCCGUUGAUACGUCUCCAACGUAUCUAUAAUUUUUGAUUGCUCCAUGCUAUGUUAUCUACUGUUUUGGGCAAUAUUGGGCUUUAUUAUCCACUUUUAUAUUAUUUUUGGGACUAACCUGUUAACCGGAGGCCCAGCCCAGAUUUGCUGUUUUUUGCCUAUUUCAGUGUUUCGAAGAAAAGGAAUAUCAAACAGAGUCGAAACGGAAUGAAAUCAACUGGAGAAGUUAUUUUUGGAAGGAAAGCUAUCGGAUGGACUUGGACCCCACGUCAGGAGCCAUGGAAGGUGCUCACGAGGGAGGGGGUGCCCCCCUAGGGCGCGCCCCCUGCCUCAUGGGGCCCCUGAAGCUCCACCGAUGUACUUCCUGCACCCAUAUAAACUCAUGUACCCUAAAACUUCCAGAACAGAGAUUAGAUCGGGAGUUCCGCUGCCAGAAGUCUCCGUAGCCACCGAAAGCCAAUCUAGACCUGUUCCGGCACCAUGCCGGAGGGGGAAUCCCUCUCCGGUGGCCAUCUUCAUCAUCCCGGUGCUCUCCAUGAUGAGGAGGGAGCAGUUCUCCCUCGGGGCUAAGGGUAUGUACCAGUAGCUAUGUGUUUGAUCUCUCUCUCUCUCUCUCUCUCUCUCUCGUGUUCUUGAGGUGAUACGAUCUUGAUGUAUCGCGAGCUUUGCUAUUAUAGUUGGAUCCUAUGAUGUUUUCUCCCCCUCUACUCUCUUGUAAUGGAUUGAGUUUCCCCUUUGAAGUUAUAUUAUCGGAUUGAGUCUUUAAAGAUUUGAGAACACUUGAUGUAUGUCUUGCCGUGGAUAUCUGUGGUGACAAUGGGAUAUCACGUGAUUCACUUGAUGUAUGUUUUUGUGAUCAACUUGCGGGUUCCGCCCAUGAACCUAUGCAUAGGGGUUGGCACAUGUUUUCUUCGUGAUUCUCCGGUAGGAACUUUGGGGCACUCUUUGAGGUCCUAUGUGUUGGUUGAAUAGAUGAAUCUGAGAUUGUGUGAUGCAUAUCAUAUAAUCAUACCCACGGAUACUUGAGGUGACAUUGGAGUAUCUAGGUGACAUUACGGUUUUGGUUGAUUUGUGUCUUAAGGUGUUAUUCUAGUACGAACUCUAGGGCUGUUUGUGACACUUAUAGGAAUAACCCAACGGAUUGAUUGGAAAGAAUAACUUUGAGGUGGUUUCAUACCCUACCAUAAUCUCUUCGUUCGUUCUCCGCUAUUAGUGACUUUGGAGUGACUCUUUGUUGCAUGUUGAGGGAUAGUUAUAUGAUCCAAUUAUGUUAUUAUUGUUGAGAGGACUUGCACUAGUGAAAAUAUGAACCCUAGGCCUUGUUUCUUAUCAUUGCAAUACCGUUUACGCUCACUUUUAUCAUUAGUUACCUUGCUGUUUUUAUAUUUUCAUAUUACAAAAACCUUUAUCUACCAUCCAUAUACCACUUGUAUCACCAUCUCUUCGCCGAACUAGUGCACCUAUACAAUUUACCACUGUAUUGGGUGUGUUGGGGACACAAGAAACUCUUUGUUAUUUGGUUGCAGGGUUGCUUGAGAGAGACCAUCUUCAUCCUACGCCUCCUACGGAUUGAUAAACCUUAGGUCAUCCACUUGAGGGAAAUUUGCUACUGUCCUACAAACCUCUGCACUUGGAGGCCCAAUAACGUCUACAAGAAGAAGGUUGUGUAGUAGACAUCAUCCGUCCCUUUUAUUUCUUCCACAUUACAAGAUCGUAUAAAGCUUAUUAUCUCCACACUAAUAGAUCAUACAUAUUUAGAGAGCAAUUUUUAUUGCUUGCAACAAUGACAACUUACUUGAAGGAUCUUACUCAAUCCAUAUGUAGAUAUGGUGGACUCUCAUGGCAAAACUGGGUUUAAGGAUAUUUGGAAGCACAAGUAGUAUCCCUACUUGGUGCGAAAAAUUUGUAUAGCAUGAGGGGGAAAGGCAAGCUCAACAUGUUGGAUGAUCCAUGACAAUAUAAUUUAUUUCGGAUGUAAGAAAGCAUAACCCAUUACAUUGUCUUCCUUGUCCAACAUAAACUUUUUAGCAUGUCAUAUUUUAAUGAGUGCUCACAACCGUAAAAGAUGUCCAAGAUAGUAUAUUUAUAUGUGAAAACUUCUCUUUCUUUAUUACUUCCAAUUAACUGCAACGAUGACCAAAACUAUGUUUGUCAACUCUCAACAACUUUUAUUCAUCAUACUCUUUAUAUGUGAACUCAUUACUCUCCAUAAGAUCAAUAUGAUCUCUUUAUUUCUUUUUAUUCUUUCUCUUUUUUCUCAAGAUCAUAACAAGAUAACUGAUACGUCCAUUUUGCAUCAUGCUUUUAUAUCGAUAUUUAUUGCAUUAUGGGCCGUUAUUACACAUUAUGUCACAAUACUUAUGCCUAUUCUCUCUUAUUUUACAAGGUUUACAUAAAGAGGGAGAAUGCCGGCAGCUGGGAUUCUGGGCUGGAAAAGGAGCAAAUAUUAGAGACCUAUUCUGCACAACUCCAAAAGUCCUGAAACUUCGUGGAUGAUGUUUUCCAAAUAUAUAAAAAAUACUGAGCGCAAGAACUUCACCAGGGGGGCCACACCCUGCCCACGAGGGUGCGGGGCGCGCCCCCUACCUCGUGGGCCCCCUGGUGGCCCUCCGGUGGCCAUCUUCUGCUAUAUGGAGUCUUUCGAUGGGAAAAAAGUCAUAAGCCAUCUUCUCGGACGAAACUCCGCCGCCACGAGGCGGAACCAAUCUAGGGCUCUGGUGGAGCUGUUCUGCCGGGGAAACUUCCCUCCCGAAGGGGGAAAUCAUCGCCAUCGUCAUCACCAACGCUCCACUCAUUGGGAGAGGGCAAUCUCCAUCAACAUCUUCAUCAGCACCAUCUCAUCUCAAAACCCUAGUUCAUCUCUUGUAUCCAAUUCUUGUCUCUAAGUCCGGGAUUGGUGCUAGUAGGUUGCUAGUAGUGUUAAUUACUCCUUGUAGUUGAUGCUAGUUGGUUUAAUUGGUGGAAGAUCAUAUGUUCAGAUCCUACAUGCAUAUUAAUACCACUCUGAUUAUGAACAUGUUUAUGCAUUGUGAGUAGUUACUUUUGUUCCUAAGGACAUGGGAGAAGUCUUGCUAUUAGUAGUCAUGUGAAUUUGGUAUUCGUUCGAUAUUUUGAUGAGAUGUAUGUUGUCUCUCCUCUAGUGGUGUUAUGUGAACAUCGAAUACAUGACACUUCAACAUUUUUUGGGCCUGGGGGAAGGCAUUGGGAAGUAAUAAGUAGAUGAUGGGUUGCUCGAGUGACAGAAGCUUAAACCCUAGUUUAUGUGUUGCUUCAUAAGGGGCUGAUUUGGAUCCAUAUGUUCCAUGCUAUGGUUAGGUUUACCUUAAUACUUUUGUUGUAUUUGCGGAUGCUUGCAAUAGAGGUUAAUCAUAAGUGGGAUGCUUGUCCAAGUAAGAAUAGUACCCAAGCACCGGUCCACCCACAUACCAAAUUAUCAAAGUACCGAACGCGAAUCAUAUGAACGUGAUGAAAACUAGAUUGACGAUAUUCCCAUGUGUCCUCGGGAGCGCUUUACAUCUUAUAAGAGUUUGUCCAGGCUUGUCCUUUGCUACAAAAAGGAUUGGACCACCUUGCUGCACCUAAUUUACUUUUGUUACUUGUUGCUCGUUACAAAUUAUCUUACCACAAAACUAUCUGUUACCACUUAUUUCAGUACUUGCAGAGAAUACCUUGCUGGAAACCGCUUAUCAUUUCCUUCUGCUCCUCGUUGGGUUCGACACUCUUACUUAUCGAAAGGACUAUGAUAGAUCCCCUAUACUUGUGGGUCAUCAAGACUCUUUUCUGGUGCCGUUGCCGGGGAGUGAAGCGCCUUUGGUAGGUGGAAUUUGGUAAGGACAAAUUUAUAUAGUGUGCUGAAAUUUACUGUCACUUGUUACCAUGGAAGGUAAUCCUCUGAGGGGCUUGUUCGGGGUAUCUUCACCCCGACCAGUAGAGCAAAGAGUUGCUCCUCAACCUACUGAACCUACUAAAAAUGAAAAUGAAAAUGAACAUGCUUGCUUUGAAGUUCCUUCGGGUAUGAUAGAAAAACUGCUAGCUAAUCCUUUUCUAGGAGAUGGAACAAAACAUCCUGAUGAACAUCUGAUAUAUGUGGAUCAAGUUUGUGGAUUAUUUAAGCUUGCAAGUGUACCCGGAGAUGUUGUUAAGAAGAAGGUCUUCACUUUAUCUUUGAGGGGAGAUGCAUCGACAUGGUAUAGGCUAUGUGAUGAUAUGAGGUCUUGGAAUUACAAACGAUUGAAAUUGGAAUUUCAUCAGAAGUUUUAUCCUAUGCAUCUUGUUCAUCGUGAUCGCAAUUAUAUAUAUAAUUUUUGGCCUCGCGAAGGAGAGAGCAUCGCUCAAGCUUGGGGGAGGCUUAAAUCAAUGUUAUAUUCAUGCCCCAAUCAUGAGCUCUCAAGAGAAAUGAUUAUUAAAAAUUUUAUGCUCGGCUUUCUGGUAACAAUCGCACCAUGCUUGGUACUUCAUGUGCUGGCUCUUUUAUGAUAAAGACUAUUGAAUUCAAAUGGGAUUUAUUGGAAAGAAUUAAAUGCAACUCUGAAGAUUGGGACCUCGACAAUGGUAAGGAGUCAGGUAUGACACCUAGUUUUGAUUGUGUUAAAUCCUUUAUGGAUACCGAUAUUUUUUGUAAAUUUAGCACUAAAUAUAGACUUGACUCUGAGAUAGUAGCUUCUUUCUGUGAAUCUUUUGCUACUUAUGUUGAUCUCCCCAAGGAGAAGUGGUUUAAAUAUUAUCCUCCCAUAGAAGUAAAAGUACCUGCACCUAUUAAAGUUGAAGAAAAGACUAUCACUUAUAAUGAUCCUAUUGUUCCUACUUCUUAUGUUGAGAAACCACCUUUCCCUGUUAGGAUACAGGAUCAUGCUAAAUCUUCAACUAUAGUACGUAAAAGCAACAUUAAAACAUAUACCCCUCCUGAGCAAGUUAAAGUUGAACGUAAUAUUGCUAUUGUUAAAGAUCUCUUGUCUGAUAAUAUAGAUGGGCAUGUUAUUUAUUUCUAUAAUGAAACUGCUAGAAUUGCUAAACCCCGUGAUAAAGAUAAACCUAGACCUGUGGUAGGCAUGCCUGUUAUUUCUGUUAAAAUAGGAGAUCAUUGUUAUCAUGGCUUAUGUGAUAUGGGUGCCAGUGCUAGUGCAAUACCUUAUUCCUUAUACAAAGAAGUUAUGCAUGAUAUUGCACCUGCUGAGAUGGAAGAUAUUGAUGUCACAAUUAAACUUGCCAAUAGAGAUACUAUUUCAGCAAUGGGAAUUGUUAGAGAUGUUGAAGUCUUGUGUGGGAAAACUAAAUAUCCUACUGAUUUUCUUGUUCUUACUUCUCCAAAAGAUAGCUUUUGUCCCAUUAUAUUUGGUAGACCCUUCUUAAAUACUGUUAAUGCUACCAUAGAUUACAAAAGAGAUGUUGUUAUUGUCGGCUUAGAUGAUAUGACUCAUGAAUUUAAUUUUUCUAAAUUUAGUAGACAACACCAUGAAGAAGAAUUACGUAGUAAGGAUGAAAUUAUUGGUCUUGCUUCUAUUGCCGUACCUCCUAGAGAUCCUUUAGAACAAUAUUUGCUAGACCAUGAAAACGAUAUGUUUAUGAAUGAAAGAAGGGAAUUAGAUGAAGUUUCUUUAAACAGGAACCUAUGCUGAAAAACAAUUUACCUGUUGAAAUCCUAGGGGAUCCUCCUCCACCCAAGGGUGAUCCCGUGUUUGAGCUUAAACCAUUACCUGAUACUCUUAAAUAUGCUUAUCUUGAUGAGAAAAAGAUAUAUCCUGUUAUUAUUAGUGCUAACCUUUCAGAACAUGAAGAAGAGAGAUUAUUGAAAACUCUGAAGAAGCACUGUGCUGCUAUUGGGUAUACUCUUGAUGAUCUUAAGGGCAUUAGUCCCACUCUAUGUCAACAUAAAAUUAAUUUGGAAGAAGAUGCUAAACCAGUUCGGGAUCAUCAACGCCGGCUGAAUCCUAAAAUGAAAGAAGUGGUAAGAAAGGAGAUACUAAAGCUCCUUGAGGCAGGUAUAAUUUACCCCGUUGCUGAUAGUCAAUGGGUAAGCCCUGUCCAUUGUGUCCCUAAGAAGGGAGGUAUUACUAUUGUUCCUAAUGAUAAAGAUGAAUUGAUUCCUCAAAGAAUUAUUACAAGUUAUAGGAUGGUAAUUAAUUUCCACGAAUUAAAUAAGGCUACUAAAAAAGAUCAUUACCCCUUACCUUUUAUCGAUCAAAUGCUAGAAAGAUUAUCUAAACAUACACAUUUUUGCUUUCUAGAUGGUUAUUAUGGUUUCUCUCAAAUACCUGUGUCAGCUAAAGAUCAAUCAAAGACUACUUUUACAUGCCCUUUUGGUACUUUUGCUUAUAGAUAUAUGCCUUUUGGUCUAUGUAAUGCACCUGCUACCUUUCAAAGAUGCAUGAUGGCUAUAUUCUCUGACUUUUGUGAAAAGAUUUGUGAGGUUUUCAUGGACGACUUUUUCGUCUAUGGAUCUUCUUUUGAUGAUUGCUUGAGCAACCUUGAUCGAGUUUUGCAAAGAUGUGAAGAAACUAAUCUUGUCUUCAAUUGGGAAAAGUGCCACUUUAUGGUUAAUGAAGGUAUUGUCUUGGGGCAUAAAGUUUCUGAAAGAGGGAUUGAAGUUGAUAAAGCCAAGGUUGAUGCUAUUGAAAAGAUGCCAUGUCCCAAGGACAUCAAAGGUAUAAGAAGUUUCCUUGGUCAUGCCGGUUUUUAUAGGAGGUUCAUUAAGGACUUCUCAAAAAUCUCCUGGCCUUUGACUAAUUUACUACAAAAAGAUAUACCAUUCGUCUUUGAUGAUGAUUGUGUAGAAGCAUUUGAAAUACUUAAGAAAGCAUUGAUCUCUGCACCUAUUGUUCAGCCACCUGAUUGGAGUUUACCCUUGGAGAUUAUGUGUGAUGCUAGUGAUUAUGUUGUAGGUGCUGUUCUAGGACAAAGAGUUGAUAAGAAACUAAAUGUUAUUCGACAUGCUAGUAAAACUCUAGACAAUGCUCAAAGAAACUAUGCUACUACUGAAAAAGAAUUCUUAGCAGUUGUAUUUGCCUGUGAUAACUUUAGACCUUAUAUUGUUGAUUCUAAAGUAACUAUCCACACUGAUCAUGCUGCUAUUAAAUAUCUUAUGGAAAAGACAGAUGCUAACCCUAGACUUAUUAGAUGGGUUCUCUUACUACAAGAAUUUGAUUUGCAUAUUGUUGAUAGAAAAGGAGCUGAGAAUCCCGUUGCAGACAACUUGUCUAGGUUAGAAAAUGUGCUUGAUGACCCACUACCUAUUGAUGAUAGUUUUCCUGAUGAGCAACUAAAUGUCAUAAAUGCUUCUCAUACUGCUCCAUGGUAUGCUGAUUAUGCUAAUUACAUUGUUGCUAAGUUUAUACCACCUAGUUUCACAUACCAGCAAAAGAAAAAGUUCUUCUAUGAUUUGAGGCAUUACUUUUGGGAUGACCCACAUCUUUAUAAAGAAGGAGUAGAUGGUGUUAUUAGAUGUUGUGUACCUGAGCAUGAACAGGAACAGAUCCUACGCACGUGUCACUCCGAAGCUUAUGGAGGACACCAUGCUGGAGAUAGAACUGCACAUAAGGUACUCCAAUCUGGUUUUUAUUGGCCUACACUCUUCAUGGAUGCCCGUAAGUUUGUCUUAUCUUGUGAUGAAUGUCAAAGAAUUGGUAAUAUUAAUAGACGUCAAGAAAUGCCCAUGAAUUAUUCACUUGUUAUUAAACCGUUUGAUGUUUGGGGCUUUGACUACAUGGGACCCUUUCCUUCCUCUAAUGGAUAUACACAUAUUUUAGUUGCUGUUGAUUACGUUACUAAGUGGGUAGAAGCUAUUCCAACUAGUAGUGCUGAUCAUAACACCUCUAUUAAGAUGCUUAAAGAAGUUAUUUUUCCAAGAUUUGGAGUCCCUAGAUAUUUAAUGACUGAUGGUGGUUCACAUUUUAUUCAUGGUGCCUUCCGUAAAAUGCUUGCUAAAUAUGAUGUUAAUCAUAGAAUUGCAACUCCUUAUCACCCUUAGUCUAGUGGUCAAGUAGAAUUGAGUAAUAGAGAACUCAAAUUAAUUUUGCAAAAGACUGUUAGUAGGUCUAGAAAGAAUUGGUCCAAGAAACUUGAUGACACAUUAUGGGCCUAUAGAACUACAUAUAAAAAUCCUAUGGGCAUAUCUCCGUAUAAAAUGGUCUAUGGAAAAUCAUGUCACUUACCUCUCGAACUAGAACACAAGGCUUAUUGGGCUAUUAAAGAACUUAAUUAUGAUUUUAAACUUGCCGGUGAGAAGAGGUUAUUUGAUAUUAGCUCACUUGAUGAGUGGAGAACCCAAGCCUACGAAAAUGCCAAGUUGUUUAAAGAAAAAGUUAAAAGAUGGCAUGACAAAAGGAUACAAAAGCGUGAGUUUAAUGUAGGUGAUUAUGUAUUGCUAUACAACUCUAAAUGGGAAGGCCCUGACGUUAUCGAGGAGGUCUACCAUUCCGGUGCCAUAAAAAUCAACAACUUAGAAGGUACCAAUCUAAAGGUGGUGAACGGUCAAAGAAUCAAACACUAUAUCUCAGGUAAUCCCAUAAAUGUUCAAACCAAUGUUAUCGAAACCGUAACUCCGGAGGAAUACAUAAGGGACACUUUCCGGAACGUUUCAGACACCAAAAAGGAAUAGGUAUGUGGUACGGUAAGUAAACCGACUCCAAAACAAUUUUAAGGCAAUAUUUCUCUGUUUUGGAAUAUUUAGAAAAAUAGAAAAAUAAGCAGCAGCCCGGGAAGGACACAAGGGCUCCAUGAGGGUGGAGGGCGUGCCCCACCCUACAGGGCGCGCCCCCCUACCUCAUGGGCACCUUGUGUGCUCUCUGGACUCCAUUUUCGUACAUGACACGUAUUUUGGUCAGUAAAAAUUCAUUAUAUAAUCUCACGGGGGUUUUGAGUCCCGUAUCAUGCAAAAAUCCCUUGUCUUUGUUUUGAGUUGUCCUACUGCAGACAGAGCAACAUGUCGUCCCAGGAUUCGGAAGGAGAAAGCUACGUGGCUGAUUACCUUGCAGAUCCUAAGAUCCAUGGGGAUGUGGAGCCUUGCGGUUGGACUACGGAAGAAGAAGAGGACUAUGAACCCAAGGGAAAGGAGGAGACGAGCUCAGAUGAAGAUGAAGUCCCACUACCUCAACCUGGGGACAUGCAUGUGGAGUUCAAAAAGUCAAGUCUCCCGGAUAGAGUAAAGAAACCUAAGAUCGAGUUUAUCCCUUUCGCCUCUUGCAGGAGAACAAGCAGGAACUAUGCAAAAAGAUACUGAGCCUGGAACAGGAGAUCGAGGACCUAAGGGACCAAAAUUCCGUCCUCAAAUGCAAAUUAAGGAAGAAGCCUACGCCAUCAACAAAAUCCCCACCGUCUCCACCAACAAAGAAGAAUUGAGUAUCUGGUAUGGGCACUCCACUUCGCAACUGCCAAGCUUGGGGGAGUGCCCCGAUAUCGUAUCACCAUCACUUUAUCUUUACCGUUUUUCUUAGUUCGAUCCUUUUGGUAAUAUCUUGAUCUAGUAGAAUAAAAGUUUUUAGUAUGGUCUAGUUGUGAGUUUUGCUUUACUAUCCUUCUAUGUAAUCGAGUCCAUGAGCUAUAUAAUAAAGAUUAGUGUUGAGUCAAGGGCUUGAUUAUUUUGCCAUGAUCCUAGAGGAAUAAAAGAAAAGAGAAAGAAAUAAAAAGAAACAAAGAGAUCAUAUGAGUCUUAUGGAGAGUAAUGAGCUCACAUAGAAAGAGUAUGAUGAAUAAAAGUUGUUGAGAGUUGACAAACACAGUUUUGGUCAUUGUUGCAAUUAAUAGGAAGUAAUAAAGAAAGAGAGGUCUUCAGAUAUAAAUAUACUAUCUUGGACAUCUUUUAUGAUUGUGAGCACUCAUUAAAAUACGACAUGCUAAAAGAGUUGACAUUGGACAAGGAAGACAACUUAAUGGGUUAUGUUUUCUUACAUCUGAGAUAAAUUAUAUUGUCUUGGAUCUUCCAACAUGAUGAGCUUGCCUUUCCCCCUCAUGCUAGCCAAAUUCAUUGCACCAAGUAGAGAUACUACUUGUGCUUCCAAAUACCCUUAAACCAGUCUUGCCAUAAGAGUCCACCAUAUCUACCUAUGGAUUGAGUAAGAUCCAUCAAGUAAGUUGUCAUCGGUGCAAGCAAUAAAAAUUGCUCUCUAAAUAUGUAUGAUUGAUUGGUGUGGGGGAAAUAAGCUUUAUACGAGCGUGUGAUAUGGAAGUAAUAAAAGCGACAGACUGCAUAAUAAAUGUCCAUAUCACAAGUGGCAAUAUAAAGUGACGUUCUUUCGCAUUAAGAUUUUGUGCAUCCAAACCAUAAAAGCGCAUGACAACCUCUGCUUCCCUCUGCGAUGGGCCUAUCUUUUACUUUUAUCUCCUACAUUGCAUAAGAGUCAUGGUGAUCUUCACCCUUCCUUUUUACAUUUUAUCAUUUGGCAAGAACAGUAUGUUGGAAAGAUCCUGGUAUAUAUGGGUAAUUGGAUGUGAGUUUUCAUGAACUAUUACUGUUGACAUUACCCUUGAGGUAAAAUGUUGGGAGGCAAAACUAUAAGCCCCUAUCUUUCUCGAUGUCCGAUUAAAACUCCAUACCCAUAAGUAUUGCGUGAGUGUCAGCAAUUGUGAAAGAUUAUAUGAUAGUUGAGUAUGUGGACUUGCUGAAAAGCUCUUAUACAUUGACUCUUUCCUAUGUUAUGAUAAAUUGCAAUUGCUUCAAUGACUGAGGUUGUAGUUUGUUAGUUUUCAAUGAAGUUCAUGAUUCAUACUUAAUAUUGUGAUUGAAUUAUUACUCUAACAUUAGAGAUCAUAUGACAAGAAUUAUGUAAGUAGCUAUUCUAAGAAUGAUCAUGAUGCCCUCAUGUCCGUAUUUUAUUUUUAUCGACACCUCUAUCCCUAAACAUGUGGACAUAUUUUUCGAUUUCGGCUUUUCACUUGAGGACAAGCGAGGUCUAAGCUUGGGGGAGUUGAUACGUCCAUUUUGCAUCAUGCUUUUAUAUCGAUAUUUAUUGCAUUAUGGGCUGUUAUUACACAUUAUGUCACAAUACUUAUGCCUAUUCUCUUUUAUUUUACAAGGUUUACAUAAAGAGGGAGAAUGCCGGCAGCUGGGAUUCUGGGCUGGAAAAGGAGCAAAUAUUAGAGACCUAUUAUGCACAACUCCAAAAGUCCUGAAACUUCACAGAAGAUGUUUUCCAAAUAUAUAAAAAAUACUGAGCGCAAGAACUUCACCAGGGGGCCACACCCUGCCCACGAGGGUGGGGGGCGCGCCCUACCCCCCUGGGCGCGCCCCCUACCUCAUGGGCCCCCUGGUGGCCCUCCGGUGGCCAUCUUCUGCUAUAUGGAGUCUUUUGAUGAAAAAAAAUCAUAAGCCAUCUUCUUAGACGAAACUCUGCCGGCACGAGGCGGAACCUUGGUGGAACCAAUCUAGGGCUCUGGUGGAGCUGUUCUGCCGGGGAAACUUCCCUCCCGGAGGGGGAAAUCAUCGCCAUCGUCAUCACCAACGCUCCUCUCAUCGGGAGAGGGGAAUCUCCAUCAACAUCUUCAUCAGCACCAUCUCAUCUCAAAACCCUAGUUCAUCUCUUGUAUCCAAUUCUUGUCUCUAAGUACGGGAUUGGUGCUAGUAGGUUGCUAGUAGUGUUAAUUACUCCUUGUAGUUGAUGCUAGUUGGUUUAAUUGGUGGAAGAUCAUAUGUUCAGAUCCUAUAUGCAUAUUAAUACCCCUCUGAUUAUGAACAUGUUUAUGCUUUGUGAGUAGUUACUUUUGUUCCUAAGGACAUGGGAGAAGUCUUGCUAUUAGUAGUCAUGUGAAUUUGGUAUUCGUUUGAUAUUUUGAUGAGAUGUAUGUUGUCUCUCCUCUAGUGGUGUUAUGUGAACGUCGACUACAUGACACUUCACCAUUAUUUGGGCCUAGAGGAAGGCAUUGGGAAGUAAUAAGUAGAUGAUGGGUUGCUAGAGUGACAGAAGCUUAAACCCUAGUUUAUGCAUUGCUUCGUAUGGGGCUGAUUUGGAUCCAUAUGUUUCAUGCAAUGGUUAGGUUUACCUUAAUACUUUUGUUGUAUUUGCGGAUGCUUGAAAUAGAGGUUAAUCAUAAGUGGGAUGCUUGUCCAAGUAAGGACAGUACCCAAGCACCGGUCCACCCACAUACCAAAUUAUCAAAGUACCGAACGCGAAUUAUAUGAACAUGAUGAAAACUAGCUUGACGAUAUUCCCAUGUGUCCUCGGGAGUGCUUUACAUCUUAUAAGAGUUUUUCCAGGCUUGUCCUUUGCUACAAAAAGGAUUGGGCCACCUUGCUGCACCUUAUUUACUUUUGUUACUUGUUGCUCGUUACAAAUUAUCUUAUCACAAAACUAUCUGUUACCACUUAUUUCAGUACUUGCAGAGAAUGCCUUGCUGGAAACUGCUUAUCAUUUCCUUCUGCUCCUCAUUGGGGUCGACACUCUUACUUAUCGAAAGGACUACGAUAGAUCCCCUAUACUUGUGGGUCAUCAAUAACCAAGCCCUUGACUCAAAACUAAUCUUUAUUAUAUAUAGCUCACGGACUCAAUUACAUAGAAGGAUCAUAAAGCAAAACUCAAAACUAAAUCAUACUUAAACUUUAUUCUACUAGAUCAAGAUAUUACCAAAAGGAUCGAAGUAAGAAAAACGAUAAAGAUAAAAGUGUGAUGGUGAUACGAUACCAGGGCACUCCCCCAAGCUUGGCAGUUGCCAAGGGGAGUGCCCAUACCCAUGUAUUUAUGUUUCUCUCUUCGGAGGUGGUGAUGUGAUAUUCUUGGCAAUGAUGCCCCUUAGGAUGCGAUUCUCUUCCUCGAGCUUAUUAACUUGUUGCUUCAGGUCCAUUAUUUCCUUACGGAGCUUGCCCAUGAUGGCUAAAGCUCCUUUCACCCAUGGAUGUUGCAUAGUUGCGGGAGAAAAGGUAACACUCUUUUUCAUAUUUUCAUAAGAAAGAAAUCUAACAUUGGAAGGGAUAACCGAGUUUGGAAUAGCUGAGCUCUGUAGCUCCCCCAUCGUGAAUCCGGCUCAGAAACGGGAAGUAACUUCUUGAUCCUCUUCCAUGGCAUCUAUCCUUUUCAAGUCAGACUCCAUCUCUUCCUCCGUUGAUGGCCCAAAGUGGUCAGCAUCACUGUUUGCUCCUGGUCCCGGUGUCGGAUGAGACACCCGGCUCUCUCCGACCGACUCUUGAGAAGACAUCUUGCUCUAAUCUGCAGUAGAGACAAUUCAAAACAAAAACAGGAGAUAUUUGCGUGGUAUGGUGGUCAAAACCUUCGGGAGAUUAUAUAAUGAAUUUUUACCUACCAAAAGAAGUAUCGUGCAAGAAAACGAAGUCCGGAGGACACACGAGGUGCCCACGAGGCAGGGUGGUGCGCCUAGGGGGGUAGGGCGCGCCCUCCACCCUCGUGGACGCCUCGUGUCCUUUCUGGACUGCUUCUUAUUUUCUUAAAUAUUCCAAAAUGGAGAAAAAUUGCUAUUAGAACUGUUUUGGAGUCGGUUUACUUACCGUACCACAUACCUAUUCCUUUUCGGAGGCUGAAACGUUCUGGAAGGUGUCCCUUAUAUACUCCUCCGGGGUUACGGUUUCAAUAACAUUAGUUUCAACAUUUAUAGGAUUACCUGAGAUAUAAUGUUUGAUUCUUUGACCGUUCACCACCCUCAGAUUUGUGCCUUCGAAGUUGUUGAUUUUUAUGGUACCGGAACGAUAGACCUCCUCAAUAACGUAAGGACCUUCCCAUUUAGAGAGGAGUUUUCCUGCAAAAAAAUCUUAAAUGAGAGUUGUAUAACAAUACAUAAUCACCUACAUUAAACUCAUGUUUUUGUGUCCAUUUGUCAUGCCAUCUUUUAAAUUUUUAUUUAAACAGUCUGGCAUUCUCAUAGGCCUGGGUUCUCCACUCAUCAAGUGAGCUAAUGUCAAAUAGUCUCUUCCCACCAGCAAGUUUGAAGUCAUAGGUGAGCUCUUUAAUGGCCCAAUAUGCCUUAUAUUCUAGUUCGAGAGGUAAGUGACAUGCUUUUCCAUAAACCAUUUUAUAUGGAGACAUACCCAUAGGAUCUUUAUAUGCAGUUAUAUAGGCCCAUAAUGCAUCAUCAAUUUUCUCUGACCAAUUCUUUCUAGAUCUAUUAACAGUCUUUUGCAAAAUUAAUUUAAGCUCUCUAUUACUUAGUUCUACUUGACCACUAGACUGUGGAUGAUAUGGAGAUGCAAUUCUAUGAUUAACAUUAUACUUAGCAAGCAUCUUACGAAAAGCACCAUGAAUAAAAUGUGAACCACCAUCAGUCAUUAAGUAUUUAGGGACUCCAAACCUCGGAAAAAUAACUUCUUUAAGCAUCUUAAUAGAGGUUUUAUGAUCAACACUACUAGUUGGAAUAGCUUCUACCCACUUAGUAACGUAAUCAACAGCAACUAAAAUAUGUGUAUACCCAUUAGAGGAAGGAAAUGGUCCCAUAUAAUCAAAGCCCCAAACAUCAAAUGGUUCAAUAACAAGUGAAUAAUUCAUAGGCAUUUCUUGACGUCUACUAAUGUUACCAAUUCUUUGACAUUCAUCAAAGACAAGACAAACUUACGGGCAUCCUUGAGGAGAGUAGGCCAAUAAAAACCGGAUUGCAAUACCUUAUGUGCAGUUCUAUCUAGCAUGGUGUCCUCCGUAAGCCUCGGACUGACACUUGCUAAGAUCUGUUCCUGUUCAUGCUCAGGUACACAACAUCUAAUAACACCAUCUACUCCUUCUUUAUAAAGGUGUGGGUCAUCCCAAAAGUAAUGUCUUAAAUCAUAGAUUUUUUUCUUUUGCUGGUACAUGAAACUAGGUGGUAUGAAUUUAGCAACAAUGUAAUUAGCAUAAUCAGCAUACCACAGAGCAGUACGAGAAGGAUUUAUGACAGCUAAUUGUUCAUCAGGAAAGCUAUCAUCUAUAGGUAGUGGGUCAUCAAGAACAUUCUCUAACCUAGACAAGUUGUCUGCAAUGGGGUUCUCAACUCCUUUUCUAUCAAUAAUAUGCAAAUCAAAUUCUUGUAGUAGGAGAACCCAUCUAAUAAGUCUAGGUUUAGCAUCUUUAUUUUCCAUAAGGUAUUUAAUAACAGCAUGAUCAGUGUGAACAGUUACUUUAGAAUCAACAAUGUAAGCUCUGAACUUAUCACAAGCAAAUACAAUUGCUAAAAAUUCUUUUUCAGUAGUAGCAUAAUUUCUCUAGGCACUAUAUAGAGUUUUACUAGCAUAUUGGAUGACAUUUAAUUUCUUAUCAACUCUUUGCCAUAAAACAACACCUACAACAUAAUCACUAGCAUCACACAUAAUUUCAAAGGGUAAAUUCCAGUCAGGAGGCUGAACAAUAGGUGCAAAAAUCAAGGCUUUCUUAAGUAUUUCAAAUGCUUCUACACAAUCAUCAUCAAAGAUAAAAGGAAAAUCUUUUUGUAAGAGAUUAGUCAGAGUCCUGGAAAUUUUUGAGAAGUCUUUAAUGAACCUCCUAUAAAAACCGGCAUGACCAAGGAAGCUUCUUAUACCUUUAAUGUCCUUAGGACACGACAUCUUUUCAAUAGCAUCAACUUUAGCCUUAUCAACUUCAAUACCUCUUUCAGAAAUUUUAUGCCCCAAGACAAUGCCUUCAUUAACCAUAAAGUGGCACUUCUCCCAAUUCAAGACAAGAUUAGUUUGUUCACAUCUUUGCAAAACUCGAUCAAGGUUGUUUAAGCAAUCAUCAAAAGAAGUUCCAUAUACAGAAAAAUCAUCCAUGAAUACCUCAACAAUCUUUUCACAAAAGUCAGAGAAUAUCGCAGUCAUACAUCUUUGAAAGGUAGCAGGUGCAUUACAUAAACCAAAAGGCAUACGUCUAUAAGCAAAGGUACCGAAAGGGCAAGUAAAAGUGGUCUUUUCCUGAUCCUCUUUCGACACGGGUAUUUGAGAGAAACCAGAAUAACCAUCUAGAAAGCAAAAAUGUGUAUGUUUAGAUAAUCUUUCUAGGAUUUGAUCAAUAAAAGGUAAUGAUCUUUUUAGUAGCUUUAUUUAGUUUGUGGAAAUCAAUUACCAUUCUAUGGCCUGUAGCAAUUCUUUGUGGGAUCAAUUCAUCUUUAUCAUUAGGAACAAUAGUAAUACCUCCCUUCUUAGGGACACAAUGGACAUGACUUACCCACUGACUAUCAGGAAUGGGAUAAAUUAUACAUGCCUCCAGAAGCUUUAGUAUUUCUUUUCUUACCACUUCUUUCAUCUUAGAAUUUAACCGUCGUUGGUGAUGAACAACCGGUUUAACGUCUUUCUCUAAUUUUAUUUUGUGCUGGCAUAGAGUGGGACUAAUGCCCUUAAGAUCAUCAAGAGUAUAUCCAAUAUCAGCACGGUGCUUCUUCAGAGUUUUCAAUAAUUCCUCUUCUUCUUGCUCUAAAAGGUUUGCACUAAUAAUAACAGGAUAUGUCUUAUUUUCAUCAAGAUAAGCAUAUUUAAGAGUAUCAGGCAAUGGUUUAAGCUCAAACACGGGAUCACCCUUGGGUGGAGGAGGAUCCCUAGAAUUUUGACAGGCAAGUUGUGUUUCAAAAUAGGUCCAUGUUUAAAGAAUACUUCAUCUAUUUCCCUUCUUUCAUUCAUAAACAUAUCAUUUUCAUGGUCUAGCAAAUAUUGUUCUAAAGGAUCAAUUGGAGGCACGGCAAUAGAAGCAAGACCAACAAUUUCAUCUUUACUAGGCAAUUCUUUAUCAUAGGGUUGUCUAUGAAAUUUAGCAAAAUUAAAAUCAUGAGACAUAUCCCCUAACCCAACAGAAACAAUAUCCUUUUUGCAGUCUAUCUUAGCAUUAACAGUAUUCAAAAAGAGUCUACCAAAUAUAAUGUGACAAAAUUCAUCUUGUGGAGAACCAAGACCAAGAAAAUCAGCAGGAUAUUUAACUUUCCCACACAAGACUUCAACAUCUCUAAUAGAAAUAGUAUCUCUAUUGGCAAGCUUAAUUGUAACAUCAAUACCUUCUAACUCAGCAGGUGCAAUAUCAUGCAUAAUUUCUUCAUAUAAAGAAUGAGGUAUUGCACUCGCACUAGCACCCAUAUCACAUAAGACAUGAUAGCAAUGAUCUCCUAUUUUAACAGAAAUAACAGGCAUGCCUACAACAAGUCUAUGUUUAUUUUUAGUAUCGGGUCUAGCAAUUCUCGCAGCUUCAUCACAAAAGUAAAUAACAUGCCCAUAAAUAUUAUCAGACAAGAGAUCUUUAACCAUAGCAAUACUAGGUUCAACUUUAAUUUUCUCAGAGGGUUUGGGUGUUCUAAUGUUACUUUUGUUGACCACAGUUGAAGCUUUAGCAUGAUCCUUUAUUCUAACAGGGAAAAGUGGUUCCUCAAUAUAAGCGGUAGGAACAAUAGGAUCAACAUUAUAAGUGAUAGUCUUUUCUUCAACUUUAGUAGGCUCAACUACUUUUACUUCAAUGGGAGGAUGGUAUUUAAGCCACUUAUCCUUAGGGAGAUCAACAUGAGUAACAAAUGUUUGACAAAAAGAAGCUACUAUCUCAGAGUCAAGUCCAUAUUUAGUGCCAAAUUCACGAAAAGCAUCGGUAUCCAUGAAAGAUUUAACACAAUCAAACUUAGGUGUUAUACCUGACUCCUUACCUUCGUCGAGUUCCCAAUCUUCAGAGUUGCAUUUAAUUCUUUCCAAUAAAUCCCAUCUGAAUUCAAUAGUCUUCAUCAUAAAAGAUCCAGUACAAGAAGUAUCGAGCAUGGAGUGAUUAUUGAGAGAAAGCUGAGCAUAAAUUUUUUGAAUAAUAAUUUCUCUUGAGAGCUCAUGAUUGGGCCAAGAAUAUAACAUUGACUCAAUCCUCCCCCAAGCUUGAGCAAUGCUUUCUCCUUCGUGAGGCCAAAAAUAUAAAGGGAAGACCUUCUUCUUGAUAACAUCCUCGGGCAUACCUGCAAGCUUAAAUAAUCCACAAACUUCAUCCACAUAGAUUAGGUGCAAAUCGGGAUGCAAUGUUCCAUAUCCUGUAAAAGGAUUAGCUAGCAGUUUCUCUAACAUACCUGAAGGAAUUUCAAAGUAAACAUUUUUAGUAGGUUCAAUAGGUUGAGGAGCAACUCUUUGCUCUACUGGUCGGGGUGAAGAUACCCCGAACAAGCCCAGGAUUACUUUCCAUAGUAACAAGUGACAGUAAAUUUCAGCACACUAUAUAAAUUUUUCCUUACCAAAUUCCACCUACCAAAGGCGCUUUGAUAACCCACAAGUAUAUGGGAUCAAUUGUAGCCUCUUUCGAUAAGUAAGAGUGUCGAACCCAAUGAGGAGCUAAAGAUAGAACAAAUAUUCCCUCAAGUUCUAUCGACUACCGAUACAACUCUACGCACGCUUGACGUUCGCUUUACCUAGAACAAGUAUGAAACUAGAAGUACUUUGUAGGUGUUUAUGGAUAGGUUUCAAGAUAAUAAAUAGCACGUAAAUAAAAAGUAGGGGCUGUUUAGAUAAAGACACAACUAAGUUAGUUUUAGUAGAGAGCUUGUUGUCACACAAGAAAGUUAUUUGUCCCUAGGCAAUCGAUAACUAGACCGAUAAUCAUUAUUGCAAUUUUAUUUGAGGGAGAGGCAUAAGCUAACAUACUUUCUCUUCUUGGAUCAUAUGCACUUAUGAUUGGAACUCUAGCAAGCAUCCGCAACUACUAAAGAUCAUUAAGGUAAAACCCAACCAUAGCAUUAAAGUAUCAUGUCCUCUUUAUUCCCAUACGUAAACAACCUACUUACUCGGGUAUGUGCUUCUGUCACUCACGCCACCCACCUUAAGCAAAUCAUGAACAUAUUGCAAACCCUACAGCAGGGAUCCCUCACGCUUGCGCGACACGGAGAGCACCAUAGGACAGCACCAAUAAUAAAACAUGCAACUCAAACCAAUCACAACAUCAAUUAACCCAUAGGACAAAACGGAUCUACUCAAACAUCAUAGGAUAGCCAUACAUCAUUGGGAAACAAUAUAUAGCAUUGAGCACCAUGUUUAAGUAGAGAUUACAGCGAGUAAAAGAGGGGUUACACCGCUACAUAGAGGGGGGAAGAGUUGGUGAUGAUGGAGGUGAAGUUGUUGGUGUAGAUUGCGGUGAUGAUGAUGGCCCCGGCGGCGUUCCGGCGCCACCGGGAGAGAGGGGGAGAGAUCCCCCCCUCCUUCUUCUUCCUUGACCUUCUCCCUAAUGGGAGAAGGGUUUCCCCUCUGGUACAUGGCCUCCAUGGCGGCGGAGGGGCGAGAGCCCCUCCGAGAUUGGAUCUGUCUCUCUGUCUCUCUCUAUUUCUGCGUUCUCAGAUUCUGCCCUUUCACCAUUUCUUAUAUUCCCGGAGAUCCGUAACUCCGAUUGGGCUGAAAUUUUAACAUGAUCUCUAUCCGGAUAUUAGCUUUCUGGCGGAGAAAGAAGGGCAUCAACCGCAUUACGUGGUGGCCACGAGGGUCAGGGGCGCGCCCCCCUGCCUCGUGCCUCCCUCGGGCACCUUCUCGCGAGGAUUUUUCUCCCCAAAAAUCAUAUAUAUUCCAAAAAUAAUCUCCGUCAGUUUUUAUCCCGUUUGGACUCUGUUUGAUAUGGAUAUUCUGCGAAACAAAAAACAUGCAACAUACAGGAAGUAGCACUAGGCACUGGAUCAAUAUGUUAGUCCAAAAAUAGUAUAAAAAGUUGCCAAAAGUAUAUGAAAGUUGUAGAAUAUUGGCAUGGAACAAUAAAAAAUUAUAGAUACGACGGAGACAUAUCAGCAUCCCCAAGCUUAAUUCUUGCUCGUCCUCGAGUAGGUAAAUGACAAAAAAGAUAAUUUUUGAUGUGGAAUGCUACCUAGCAUAAUCUUGAUCAUGUAUCUAAUCAUGGCAUGAAUAUUAAGAUACGAGUGAUUCAAAGCAAUAAUAUAUCAUUUGACAUUAAACAAUAAUACUUCAAGCCUACUAAUAAAGCAAUCAUGUCUUUUCAAAAUAACAUGGCCAAAGAAAGUUAUCCCUACAAAAUCAUAUAGUCUGGCUAUGCUCCAUCUUCACCACACAAAAUAUUCACAUCAUGCACAACCCUGAUGACAAGCCGAGCAAUUGGUUCAUACUUUUUAACGCGCUUCAGCUUUUUCAACCCUCAUGCAAUACAUGAGCGUGAGCCAUGGACAUGGCACUAUAGGUGGAAUAGAAUAUGAUGGUGGAGGUUGUGUGGAGAAGACAAAAAGGGAGAAAAUCUCACAUCGACGCGGCUAAUCAACGGGCUAUGGAGAUGCCCAUCAAUUGAUGUCAAUGUGAGGAGUAGGGAUUGCCAUGCAACGGAUGCACUAGAGCUAUAAGUGUAUGAAAGCUCAAACUGAAACUAAGUGGGUGUGCAUCCAACUUGCUUGCUCAUGAAGACCUCGGGCAUUUGAGGAAGCCCAUCAUCGGAAUAUACAAGCCAAGUUCUAUAAUGAAAAUUCCCACUAGUAUAUUAAAGUGAUAACUCAAGAGAUUCUCUAUAUGAAGAACAUGGUGCUAAUUUGAAGCACAAGUGUGGUAAAAGGAUAGUAACAUUGCCCCUUUUCUUUCUUUCCUUUUUUUCUUUUUUUUUCUUUUUUUGUAGGCUUCUUUGGCCUCUAUCUUUUUUGGGGGCUUCUUUGGCCACUUUUAUUUUGAUCAUGGGACAAUGUUCUAAUAAUGAUGAUCAUCACACUUUUAUCUACUUACAACUCAAUAUUACAACUCAAUACUAGAACAAAGAUAUGAUUCUAUAUGAAUGCCUCCGGCAGUGUACCGGAUGUGCAAUGAUCUAGUGUAGCAAUGACAUCAAAAAACAGACAAGCCAUGAAAACAUCAUGCUAGCUAUCUUACGAUCAUGCAAAGCAAUAUAACAAUGAAUGCUCAAGUCAUGUAUAUGAUGAUGAUGGAAGUUGCAUGGCAAUAUAUCUUGGAAUGGCUAUGGAAAUGCCAUAAUAGGUAGGUAUGGUGGCCGUUUUGAGGAAGAUAUAAGGAGGCUUAUGUGUGACAGAGCGUAUCAUAUCAUGGAGUUUGGAUGAACCGGCGAUGUUUGCACCAACUCUCGAGGUGAGAAAGGGCAAUGCACGGUACCGAAGAGGCUAGCAAUGAUGGAAGGGUGAGAGUGCGUAUAAUCCAUGGACUCAACAUUAGUCAUAAAGAACUCACAUACUUAUUGCAAAAGUUUUUUAGCCCUCGAAGCAAAGUACUACUAUGCAUGCCCCUAGGGGGAUAGAUUGGUAGGAAAAGACCAUCGCUCGUCCCCGACCGCCACUCAUAAGGAAGACAAUCAAUAAAUACCUCAUGCUCCGACUUCGUUACAUAACGGUUCACCAUACGUGCAUGCUACGGGAAUCACAAACCUCAACACAAGUAUUUCUACUAAUCCACAACUACCCACUAGAAUGACUCUAAUAUCACCAUCUUUAUAUCACAAAACUAUUGCAAGGAAUCAAACAUAUCAUAUUCAGUGAUCUACAAGUUUUAUGUAGGAUUUUAUGACUAACCAUGUGAAUGACCAGUUCCUAUCAUCUCUCUAAAUAGAUAUAAGUGAAGCAAGAGAGUUUAAUUCUUUCGACAAAAGAUAUGCCCAUGCUCUAACAAAUAUAAGUGAAGCAAAAGAGCAUUCUACAAAUGGCAGUUUUCUAUGUAAAGAGAAACAGGCAAUCCAAACUUCAAAUGAUAUAAGUGAAGCACAUGAAGCAUUCUAUAAGGCCGUACUCAAAAGAUAUAAGUGAAGUAAAAAGAGCAUUCUAUAAAUCGACCAAGGACUAUCUCAUACCAGCAUGGUGCAUAAAAGAAAAAUGAAAACUAAAUGCAAAAGACACUCCAAGAUUGCACAUAUCGCAUGAACGAAACGAAUCCGAAAACACACCGAUACUUGUUGAAGAAAGAGGGGAUGCCUUCCGGGGCAUACCCAAGCUUAGACGCUUGAGUCUCCUUGAAUAUUUACUUGGGGUGCCUCGGGCAUCCCCAAGCUUGAGCUCUUGCCUCUCUUCCUUCUUCUCACAUCGAGACCUUCUCGAUCAUCGAACACUUCAUCCACACAAAACUUCAACAGAAAACUCGGUAAGAUCCGUUAAUAUAAUAAAGCAAAUAACGACUCUAAGUACUGUUGCAAACCAAUUCAUAUUUUGUUUUGGCAUCAUAGCUACUGCAAUAUAACUUUUUCAUGGCUUAAUCCACUGAUAUAAAUCGAUAGUUUCAUCAAAACAAGCAAACUAUGCAUCAAAAACAGAAUCUGUCUAAAACAGAAUAGUCUGUAAUAAUCUGAACAUUCACCAUACUUCUGAUACUUGAAAAAUCUGCCAAAAUUAGGAAAAAUAAAAAAAAUUGUAUAUAAAGACAGUGCAAAAAGAAUCAGAACCAUUUGACGUUCCAGUAAAAAAUGUAAAAUCGCGCACUACAGCCAAAGUUUCUGUCCUGCACCGCACAAACCAACAAGCAAUGUAAACAUCCUAAAGGCAAACCUUGGCACAUUAUUUUUAUAAUACAAAGGAAUUGUACAAGGGUAUAAUUAUUAUUUUUGAAAAGUUUCUCUAAUCAAGGGUCACAAAGUUUCCAUGGGCAUGAACAAAGUUCAAGGCUAGCUCCCACUUUAACAAUGCUCGUCUUUCUCACUUUCGCUUUUCUUUUUGAAAAAGUUUUCGGUUCCCCUCUUUUUUUUACUUUAUAAAAGCACUCAACAGAAAUAAAUGACUCUCUAAAACUUCUGGAUUGUCUCCCUGGCAGCGCUUUAUUUAAAGCCAUUAAGCUAGGCAUAUAGUGCUCAAGUAAUGGAUCCACCCGGAUCCCAAGGUAUAUCAAAGCCAAUUUUAAUUAACAAUGAUUUGUGAUUUAGUAGUGAGCACAAAGCAACAUAAAUCAAGCAAUGACGAAGUAUAACUCUCUUCCUAUGCAUCGGCAUGUCAUAAAAGAACAAUUCAUGCACACAUAGUGUAGGCCAAUGCAUAGUGUCGGUGUCAAAACCGGCGGAUCUCGGGUAGGGGGUCCCAAACUGUGCGUCUAGGCCGGAUGGUAACAGGAGGCAAGGGACACGAAGUUUUACCCAGGUUCGGGCCCUCUCGAUGGAGGUAAAACCCUAUGUCCUGCUUGAUUAAUAUUGAUGAUGUGGGUAGUACAAGAGUAGUUCUACCACGAGAUCGGAGAGGCUAAACCCUAGAAGCUAGCCUAUGGUAUGAUUGUAAUUGUGUAUGUUGUCCUACGGACUAAAACCCUCUGGUUUAUAUAGACACUGGAGAGGGUUAGGGUUACACAAAGUCGGUUACAAUGGUAGGAGAUCUGUAUAUCCGUAUCGCCAAGCUUGCCUUCCACGCCAAGGAAAGUCCCUUCCGGACACGGGACGAAGUCUUCAAUUUUGUAUCUUCAUAGUCCGGGAGUCCGGCUGAAGGUAUAGUCCGGCCAACCGGACACACUCUAAUCCAGGACUCCCUCAGUAGCCCCUGAACCAGGCUUCAAUGAUGAUGAGUCCGGCAUGCAGAUUGUCUUCGGCAUUGCAAGGCGGGUUCCUCCUCCAAGUACUUCAUAGAAGAUUUUGAACACCAAGAUAGUGUCCGGUUCUGCAAAAUAAGUUUCCACAUAUUGCCAUAGAGAGAAUAAUAUUUACACAAAUCUAAUCUGCUGACGUAUUCCGUAGUGUGACACACCACGGCCAAGCCUUUAUCCGAGUCGUUUCAUUAUCCCACCUCAGCGCGUCAUGCGAGGCGGUUUCCUUGGCAUGUCUUGUUAAAGCAGAGAUGGUGUCCCCUUAUUCCGGGAUUCUCAUCAAUACGAGCAUGUGUAACCCAACCGCUUCUAGGAAUCCUAGAUUAUAGGCAAGUCCAAACGGACACGAAGAGGACGCUUGAUAUUCACCCUCUUUAUAAAGGGACAAGGCUUUUAUUUUUCCCUCCCGUGCGCAAUCGAAUCCUUCCCCUACCUCAAGCUCAAGCGCCCAAAGUUCAGGUCAGGUGCUCUGAACCUUCAGUCAUGUCCGGAUCUAGCCUUCAAGGCCGAUGGGUGCCUUCCUCCGUCACGAAAGAAGACAUCAAAAAGUUGAGGGAGGCCAGAUAUCUGACCGCCGAAAUUUUGCAUCGGCUGCCUCCCCGAGGGCAGGCCGUCCCCACCCCCGAACCCAACGAGAACGUCGUGUUCAUCUCCCACUUCCUCCGAGGUCUAGGCCUUGCUCUGGAUCCUUUCAUCAGGGGUUUGAUGUUUUACUACGGGCUAGACUUCCAUGAUCUAGCUCCGGACUCCUUUCUUCAUAUCACGACAUUUAUCGUCGUGUGCGAGGCCUUCCUCCGGGUUACCCCUCACUUUGGCCUAUGGCUCAAGACCUUUGAAGUGAAGCCGAAGAUGAUCGAGGGGCAACAUGCAGCGUGUGGAGGUGCCUCAAUACGCAAGAUGAAGGGAGCUUCGUGGCCCAAAGGUUCCAUCCAGAGGUGUCUGAAUUGUGGCAACAGGAGUGGUUCUACAUCACGGCUCCUAGAAGUGCCAAGUGGGCGGUCCCCCCUAUUUUCCGCUCGGGCCCUCCACCAUAGCUGAUGUCAUGGAUCAGCAGAGGUCUGAGCUGGGGUCCAGCCAAGGACGUGCCUAUACUACAAAGCCGCAUUCGAGAUCUCUUCAAUGGAGAUUUCAGUUUGGUUGUGGUAAUACAAGUUAUGCUGGUUCGUCAAGUCCAGCCUUGCAAACGCUGGCCUCUUCGCCUGUGGGAGUUCAAUCCCGAGGGACCGCGUGUCAUUCAAAAUUUUCUUGGCCUGACGCACAAGGAGAUGUACAAGUCAUUCUUCGGACCUCAGGUGGAGUGUCCGGAAAUCACCAAGGACGUGGGCCUGAGUAGUAACCGCGCCACCGAACAGGUAAGGCAUCUUCCGGCCGAACAUACUAUCUCUCCUUUGUUACGAAGUUAUUUCUGAGAGUUCGCUUUUUGACCAGGACUGGCUAACAAAGGCGAAGUUGAUUCGGUGUUCGGCCCCCCUCCCUGAGGGUUUGGAAAAUCCGGUAUUGGAAAAGAUGCUCCAGACCGCACCUUGCCCGGAGCCCUUGAAGGAAGAUACUAUGGAGGAUAAUGUGGGCAGACACGGGCCCCCAACGCUGCCCAUUCUAGCCGAGGGAGCGAGCGUCUCCAUGAAGGAAGACGACCAGAAGAGGAAAAGGAUUGCGCCCGGGAUUCGGAAGCCGAAGCUUCCAAACGGGAGAAGAAGUCUCCCACAGAGGGUCCUACCUUGGGGGGCGCUAUUGCCGCACAAAGUCCGCGGGGGGGUCAAUUCUCCCGCGAGUCAUAAGUGACCCGAAAUACUUUAAUAGUACAGAUAUGCCAUCUUUCUCUUCUGAGAAAAUAACCACCGCAUAUAUUUUUGCAGUUUGAGCCUUAGCCCCUCUCAAAUGAGCUCGUCUUCGGGGGAUCUUCUUCCAGAGAAUAUGGAAAGCGAAACUCCUCCUCCGGACUCCUCCGCUCCGGAAGCGGGCGACCCUGAAGUGUCGUCGCAGAGGGCCUCUCCGAGUCCGCUGAGGCCAGAAGAUAAUCCCAUUGACCCCCGAAGCUCCCAGUGUCCGGCUCCCGAAGAGAGCAGACAAAAGAGUCCGGCACCGUCUAGUGUGCGAUCGGAUGUUCUGAGGGAGUUGGUGGGGCGAGCGGCCAUCUCAGAUGAACACCGUGUGCUAAUGAAUACGGUGAUGGAGAUAAUAUCGUCCGCCGAAAGCGGAUUGCAUGAAGCUGUUAUGAGUCUACUGACAGGCUUUGAGGUACGUAAAAGAAUGUAUGAUAGUCCUGCACAUGCUAGGUGUGCCCUGUGUAGAUAGUAGCCCCUGAGACUCUGGUUGUCGUCGGAAACGACGACGAACAGAGGAUCAUAUUCCCAGGUAAUAACCAUACUGCCUCUAUGUGCAGGUGAUGGAAGCUCCGGUGGCUAGCCGGACUAGCGAGUUUGCCCAUUUAGAAUGGCAGUUGGAUGCGGCAGACGCCGACAUCAAGCUUGUUAACAAAAGGCUUGACGAGGCACAGGGUAAGUGUCAUUAUCUGGUAAACACCACAUAGGAAGAGCAGCAUGAUGCUAGUAUCUUUAAUAUGUUGUGACUGCAGAUGGAGCUGCCACUGUUGAAGCCUUGCGGGCAGAACUUGCCCGAGCCAAGGAACAAGCGAGGUUGGGUAAUGCGGCUGCUUUGAAGGCGGCCGAAGAGUUGCAAGCCGAGAAGGCCGCGCAUGGCGAGAGCCGAGACAAGAUGGCCAAGAUGGCCAUAGAGUUAAAAGCCGCCGCCGACCGUUGCCGGGUUCUUGAAAAGGAAAACCAAGCGAAGGCAUCGGACCUUGAGAAGGCUGCUGCGACGAAAAAGGACCUCCGCUCUGCUAUGAGGGCAAAGAAGGAGGAGCUACAAGAAGCCAGGGAUAUUGUAGCUGGGAAAUCCUUUAUGUUGCGGAGGAAGUUCGGAGAUCCACGGUAUGUCCCUCUGGAUCGGCUGUGGAGUUUGGAGGAUGUAUAUAUGGAUUUGGCGGCGAGCGCUGCCGAUGCGGCCAAGUAUUUCAAGGGUCAGACGGACCGUGAAGUAGACCAGUUGUUUUGGAGACAAUUCCAUUCUCCCAAGCGUCCGCUUUCAUUGACUGACCAAUUAGCCGAAUGGGCCGAACUAAAUAGGUUGUCCGGACUCUCCAUGAGGUCUGUUGUGGAUCAGCUGUGGCCGGAAAGGUCAAAACCGAACAGCUGUUUUAGCUUGGUGCAGCAGUCGUGGUGCCGCGCAUUAAUGUGAUGAAGAGGUCGGCGUGCAUAGAGGGCGCACGGAUGGCCUUUGCCCGUGUUAAAGCAUACUGGGCGGAGAUGGAUGCUACCACUGUUGCAGCGCGAGAUUCGGCCAUAGGUCGAAGGGCUACUAAGCACUACUUUGAAGAAGUUCUUGAGGGUGCUCGUUUGAUAGAGACCCAGUGCUUAAAAAAUAUUAUGUUUGAGUGAUAUGUAAUCUCAUUGUAAGCGAAAUGCUUUUAUAAAUUUUUAUAAGGCCAUUUUUAUACUUUUGCCUGAAAGUAAUAUGAUGCCUCCUGGGCGGCCGUUUAUGUAUACAUGUGUAUAACCUGAAAGAUUGCAGCCGUCAGCUUCAACCCUCACGCAUAUAAUGCGGAGGUGCUCGCAAAAACACGUGUUCACACUUAACCCAACUUCUUGGUCCUAUUAAGGAGGUGAUAGCGGAGCGAGCGAGGCAACCGGACUAUAAUGCUUUAGCACUUUCACUUAGCCAUAGGAGUUUGACAGUGGGGCUACUAAAUAGCCCUUGGUGGCUCCGCACUUUCCCGAUCCCGGGGUGCGUACAUGCCUGGCCGAAAAACGGCCCUUCGUUAAGGCGGAGGAAUUCUAACAUUCCAAUAGGUCAUCGAGUGGUUGACCAGUCUCACGCUAUAUCAUGACAGUCAGUUUUCGGCUUUCUCUACUGAGGUGCUCGUCCGGAUGAACCAGGGGACAAUCGCAGUAGUUCUCCCGGUGCUACCUUAGCCGGUAAAGUGGAACGUAAGGCACCAAAACACAGGAGCCGGGCAAACCCAACAUUUGACCAAAGACAAUGAUUUGGAGCUGAUGCAUAUAAGGCCAAACUCACGACGCCGAACACUCCCUAAGGUAUUUGGUCUUUGUGGUAUAAACCGGGCCUAAAUAAUGGCCUUUGUAAGAAGCCCCUUGUGUCCAGGUACGUGCAUUGUUCUGGCGUGGCCACAUGCCAAGACGUCAGCAUCCUUCUCAACGGUGGAUAUGUAUCAACAAGAGACAGUAAAAAAGGUUUACGCAGGGUCUUAAUCUAAAAAGAAUCCUUGGAGCGGGUCCCUGCUGCACGUCUGCGCCUGUGUCUCCGUUGUGCCGUAUCCUGGACGGAUGUGGCACGAUGAUCGUUUGUAAAAGAGAGGAAUUUAGGUGAAAAAGUUGUCGUGCAAAAAGAUAGUUUGUUAAAGAAACCAUGUAUAAUUCAAGAUGAGAAGAAAUUGCCACUCGUCUGCGCGUGUUGAGCCCCUUGUAUUGACAAAUAGGGGUGUGACCAUUUAUUCGGUAUAAGUAGCGGCACCGGACUUGAUUAGUUGUAUCUGAGGUCUUGACGAUCUAUUGGAUGCUUUCGCUUGUCCGGGCGCCUUUAGUGUGCGGCUGCCAAGGCGGCCUCACUCUCUUCGACGCGCAGAGAUCGCUUGAUAUUUCCGUGCACUGUAAUGAUGCCACGUGGACUGGGCAUCUUAAGUGUGAGGGAGGCAUAGUGUGGUAUUUCAUUAAAGCGAGCGAAAGCUUCGCGUCCGAGCAGUGCUUGCUAGCCACUUUGAAACGGAGCGAUGUGGAAAGUUAAAUGCUCACGACGGAAGUUAUCGGGGGAGCCAAAUAUAACUUGUAGUAGGAGGGAGCCCAUACAACGAGCCCCUGGCCGCAUCAAGUGCUUCCUCCUCUAAUCGGGGUAGCAACCUGCGCUUUGGGUAGCUCUUGGAGGGGCGUUCGAGUUUAUGCUCUUCGGCCGCAAGUCUUCGGAGGGAGGCAUAUAAUUAUCGUCCUUGACCUCUCUGUCUGCCGCUCUCUCACGAAGGCUGGUUUCUCCAUCCUCCUGUGCUAAAUCUUGCUGGAGGGGGUUUUCUUCGGCACUUUCCGGAGUAUUAUUAUCUCCUGUGCUGGAAUCACCGUAUUUGUUUUGGCGGGAUUUUGAGCGCCGGCGCUGACGCCGGCGCUUAGGCUGUUUCUUGGAGGGGUCAUCCUCCGCUGUUCCAUCGCCAUCUCCUUCUUUUGGGGUGUACACCAUGUAUAUGUCAUAUGACGAGGUGGCUUUCCAGGGCCUGAUAGGCGCUGGUUCUUCAUCGUCUCCUUCAUCGGCGUCCAUACCGUUGAUGUCUUCGGAGUCGAAGUCGAGCAUGUCGGUUAAGUCGUCGACAGUGGCUACAAAGUGGGUGGUGGGUGGGCUUUGAAUUUCUUCAUCGUCCGAAUCCCAACCUUGCUGACCGUAGUUCGGCCAGGGCUCUCCUGAUAAAGAGAGAGACUUCAGUGUCUUCAGAAUAUCGCCGAAAGGAGAGUGCUGAAAGAUGUCCGCGGUAGUAAACUCCAUAAUCGGCGCCCAAUCGGAUUCGAUCGGCAGGGGCGCGGAGGGUUCGGAGUCCGGAGAGGAGUCCGGCUCCUUGGAGUCACGAGUCUCGCAGAGUGCGGGCCUGGUGUUCAGCUCGAUCGCCGUUGGGAUCGCAGCCCCCGAGGCAGCGUCCAACCACCCAUCCUCGAUCGGCGCAGUUGGCUCCGAAUUAAGGGUCGAAGCCGAUGUGGGUGCGGCCUCCAGGGCACUGUUCGGUGGCAGAGCUAGAUCAUGCUCGUCGUGACAGUGCGGCGCGCUCGGCAGUGGCUCGAAUCCGUCGAAGAUCAAGUCCCCGCGGAUCUCAGCCGUGUAGUUUAAACUUCAGAAUCUGACCUGACGGCCAGGGGCAUAGCUUUCGAUCUGCUCCAGAUGGCCAAGUGAAUUGGCCCAUAGUGCGAAGCCGCCGAAGAUGAAGAUCUGUCCGGGGAGGAAGGUCUCACCCUGGACUACCUCGCCAUUGAUGAUCGUAGGAGCCAUCAAGCCUGACGAUGACGACACAGAGGAACUCUCAAUGAAAGCACCAACGUCGGUGUCAAAACCGGCGGAUCUCGGGUAGGGGGUCCCGAACUGUGCGUCUAGGCCGGAUGGUAACUGGAGGCAAGGGACACGAAGUUUUACCCAGGUUCGGGCCCUCUCGAUGGAGGUAAAACCCUACGUCCUGCUUGAUUAAUAUUGAUGAUGUGGGUAGUACAAGAGUAGAUCUACCACGAGAUCGGAGAGGCUAAACCCUAGAAGCUAGCCUAUGGUAUGAUUGUAAUUGUGUAUGUUGUCCUACGGACUAAAACCCUCCGGUUUAUAUAGACACCGGAUAGGGUUAGGGUUACACAAAGUCGGUUACAAUGGUAGGAGAUCUGCAUAUCCGUAUCGCCAAGCUUGCCUUCCACGCCAAGGAAAGCUCCUUCCGGACACGGGACGAAGUCUUCAAUUUUGUAUCUUCAUAGUCCGGGAGUCCGGCUGAAGGUAUAGUCCGGCCAACCGGACACCCCCUAAUCCAGGACUCCCUCACAUAGUAUAAACAAUUUCUUGCAAUUUUAUCGUGUUGGAAACAUGGAGAGGCGGAGAUGUAGUUCCUCUCUCAUAAUAAUUGCAAGUAGGAGAAGCAAGCACAUGCAUAUUAUAUCUAUCAAAAUCAUCAUAUGUAGUAGUAAAACGCAACCCAUCAAUAUAAUCCUUAAUAAGGGCAAACUUCUCCGAUAUAGUGUAGUCGGGAGAAUUCAAAUAGAUAAUAGGACUAUCAUGCGUGGGUGCAAUAACAACAAUUUCAUGUUUAACAUAAGGAACUAUAGCAAGUUGAUCUCCAUAAGCAUAAUUCAUAUUGGCAUCUUGGCCACAAGCAUAGGAAGCAUCAUCAAAAAGGGAUAUUUCAAAAGAACCAACGGGGUCAUAAUAAUCAUCAUAGCAUUCAUCCUUCAGUAAGCAUGAAGGGAAAUUAAACAAUGUAUGAGUUGAAGAGUUACUAUCAUUAGAAGGUGGGCACGGGUGAUCAAUCCGCUCUUCCUCCUUUUGUUCUUCGCUCUCCUCCUCAUCUUUUUCAUCCAAUGAGCUCACAAUGUCAUUAAUUUAUUCUUCCAUAGACUCAUGCAAAAUAUUAGUCUCUUCUUGGACAGCGGAGACUCUCUCAAUAAAAUAAUCAAUCUUGGAAUUGAAUUCAUAAUUCUCAUAGCAAUAUUUAAGUAUAGCAAAAUUUUCAGGUCUAUAAACCGAAUCAUCAAAAUCUUCAAAAUCUUUAAACAAAGAUUCAAUUUCAUAAGCACCCAUAAAAGAAACGAAUUCUUCUAUUUGUUCCACAUCAUAGUAAUCAUAUAUACCAUUAGCAUAAGAAGCCAAGGUUUUAUCAUCAUUAAAUUUGCAUGAAAAGGGAAGGUGUGGAGCCUUCAUCCUAGAGCAACAAGUAUAAUCAUAUCUCAAGCAUAGUUCCCGAGCAUACCAAUGCAACAUAUGAAUUUGAUCCCAUAAUAGUUUCCCUUUUUGAGUCAAGCGAUAAUCCCUAAAGUAUUCACGUUGAUCCAACGUGUCUCUCAUUAUAUAAUUGAAUGGGGUUUUCUCAGGAUUACUAAAGUAGUGCAUACUAUCUUUCACAUAAUGAACAUUGAGGGUUUUAGGAGGUUCCCCAUCUCCAUGAGUAGCAAGUAAACCUAAUUUUUUUUGGUAUUUCGUGUUCCAUAUCCAUAACUAAAGAUAGAGAACAACUUAGAAUAGCAAAUAAAAAUUACUUAGUGAUAAAGCAAACAAGCACACACAAGAAUAUUCAUCCCACGCUAUUGCUCCCCGGCAACGGCGCCAGAAAAAGGUCUUAAUAACCCACAAGUAUAUGGGAUCAAUUGUAGCCUCUUUCUAUAAGUAAGAGUGUCAAACCCAACGAGGAGCUAAAGGUAGAACAAAUAUUCCCUCAAGUUCUAUCGACCACCGAUACAACUCUACGCACGCUUGACGUUCGCUUUACCUAGAACAAGUAUGAAACUAGAAGUACUUUGUAGGUGUUUUUGGAUAGGUUUCAAGAUAAUAAAGAGCGCGUAAAUAAAAAGUAGGGGCUGUUUAGAUAAAGACACAACUAAGUUAGUUUUAGUAGAGAGCUUGUUGUCACACAAGAAAGUUAUUUGUCCCUAGGCAAUCGAUAACUAGACCGGUGAUCAUUAUUGCAAUUUUAUUUGAGGGAGAGGCAUAAGCUAACAUACUUUCUCUUCUUGGAUCAUAUGCACUUAUGAUUGGAACUCUAGCAAGAAUCCGCAACUACUAAAGAUCAUUAAGGUAAAACCCAACCAUAACAUUAAAAUAUCAAGUCCUCUUUAUUCCCAUACGUAAACAACCUCCUUACUCGGGUAUGUGCUUCUGUCACUCACGCCACCCACCAUAAGAAAAUCAUGAACAUAUUGCAAACCCUACAGCGGGGAUCCCUCACGCUUGCGCGACACGGACAGCACCAUAGGACAGCACCAAUAAUAAAAUAUGCAAAUCAAACCAAUCACGACAUCAAUUAACCCAUAUGGCAAAAUGGAUCUACUCAAACAUCAUAGGAUAGCCAUACAUCAUUGGGAAACAAUAUAUAGCAUUGAGCACCAUGUUUAAGUAGAGAUUAUAGCGGGUAAAAGAGGGGUUACACCGCUGCAUAGAGGGGGGAAGAGUUGGUGAUGAUGGCGGUGAAGUUGUUGGUGUAGAUUGCGAUGAUAAUGAUGGCCCCGGCGGCGCUCCGGCGCCACCGGGAGAGAGGGGGAGAGAGCCCCCCUCCUUCUUCUUCGUCCUUGACCGUCUCCCUAGAUGGGAGAAGGGUUUCCCCUCUAGUACAUGGCCUCCAUGGUGGUGUAGGGGCGAGAGCCCCUCCGAUAUUGGAUCUGUCUCUCUGUCUCUCUCUGUUUCUGCGUUCUCAGAUUCUGCCCUUUCACCGUUUCUUAUAUUCCCGGAGAUCCGUAACUCCGAUUGGGCUAAAAUUUUAACACGAUAUCUAUCCGGAUAUUAGCUUUCUUGCGUAGAAAGAAGGGCAUCAACCGCCUUACGAGGUGGCCACGAGGGUCUGGGGCACGCCUAGGGGGGUGGGGUGCGCCCCCUGUUUCGUGCCUCCCUCGGGCACCGUCUCACGUGGAUUUUUCUCCCCAAAAAUCAUAUAUAUUCCAAAAAAAUCUCCAUCAGUUUUUAUCCUGUUUGGAUUCCGUUUGAUAUGGAUAUUCUGCCAAACAAAAAACAGGCACCAAACAGGAACUGGCACUGGGCAUUGGAUCAAUAUGUUAGUCCAAAAAUAGUAUAAAAAGUUGCCAAAAGUAUAUGAAAGUUGUAGAAUAUUGGCAUGGAACAAUAAAAAAUUAUAGAUACGACGGAGACGUAUCACGCUUCACUCCCCGGCAAUGGCGCCAGAAAAGAGUCUUGAUGACCCACAAGUAUAGGGGAUCUAUCGUAGUCCUUUCGGUAAGUAAGAGUGUCGAACCCAACGAGGAGCAGAAGGAAAUGAGAAGCGGUUUUUAGUAAGGUAUUCUCUGCAAACACCGAAAUUAUCGGUAACUAAUAGUUUUGUGAUAAGGUAAUUUGUAAUUGGUAACAAGUAAUACAAGUAAAUAAGGUGCAGCAAGAUGGCCCAAUCCUUUUUGUAGCAAAGGACAAGCCUGGACACACUCUUAUAUAAAGGAAAACGCUCCCGAUGACACAUGGGAAUUAUCGUCAAGCUAGUUUUCAUCACGCUCAUAUGAUUCGCGUUCGGUACUUUGAUAAUUUGAUAUGUGGGUGGAACGGUGCUUGGGUAUUGGCCUUACUUCGACAAGCAUCCCACUUAUUAUUAAACUCCUCUUGCAAGCAUCCGCAACUACAAAAGAAGUAUUAAGGUAAACCUAACCAUAGCAUGAAACAUAUAGAUCCAAAUCAGCCCCUUACGAAGCAACGCAUAAACUAGGGUUUAAGCUUCUGUCACUCUAGCAACCCAUCAUCUACUUAUUACUUCCCAAUGCCUUCCCCUAGGCCCAAACAAUGGUGAAGUGUCAUGUAGUCGAUGUUCACAUGACACCACUAGAGGCAAGACAACAUACAUCUCAUCAAAAUAUCGAAUGAAUACCAAAUUCACACGAUUACUUAUAGCAAGACUUCUCCCAUGUCCUCAGGAACAAACGUAACUACUCACAAAUCAUAUUCAUGUUCAUAAUCAGAGGGGUAUUAAUAUGCAUAAAGGAUCUGAACAUAUAAUCUUCCACCGAAUAAACGAACUAGCAUCAACUACAAGGAGUAAUCAACACUACUAGCAACCCACAGGUACCAAUAUGAGGUUUUGGGACAAAGAUUGGAUACAAGGGAUGAACUAGGGUUUGAGAUGAGAUGGUGCUGGUGAAGAUGUUGAUGGAGAUUGAACCCCUCCCGAUGAGAGGAUCGAUGGUGAUGGCGAUGGUGAUGAUUUCCCCCUCCCGGAGGGACGCUUCCCCGGCAGAACAGCUCCGCCGGAGUCCUAGAUUGGUUCCGCCUCGUGGCGGCGGCGCUUCGUCCCGAAAGCUUCCUUAUGAUUUUUUUUUCCAGGGCGAAAGACUUCAUAUAGCUAAAGAUGGGCACCGGAGGCCUGCCAGGGGGCCCAUGAGACAGGGGCGCGCGCCUAGGGGGUAGGGCGUGCCCCAACCCUCGUGGAUGGUGGGUGGCCCCCCUCUGGUGCUUUCUUCGCCCAAUAUUUUUUGUAUAUUCCAAAACCGACUUACGUGGAGUUUCAAGACUUUUGGAGUUGUGCAGAAUAGGUUUCUAAUAUUUGACCCUUUUCCAGCCCAGAAUUCCAGCUGCCGGCAUUCUCCCUCUUCGUGUAAACCUUGUAAAAUAAGAGAGAAUAGGCAUAAGUAUUGUGACAUAAUGUGUAAUAACGGCCUAUAAUGCAAUAAAUAUCGAUAUAAAAGCAUGAUGCAAAAUGGAUGUAUCAUUGCAUAAUCUCAUAGUCAGAGGAAUAUGUAUAAGUCAUGAAGAAAGCAAUAGCAAUAAAAUUAAAUGAUCAUAAUGCUAAGCUAACGGAUGGGUCUUGUCCAUCACAUCAUUCUCUAAUGAUGUGAUCCCGUUCAUCAAAUGACAACACAUGUAUAUGGUCAGGAAACUUAACCAUCUUUGAUUAACGAGCUAGUCAAGUAGAGGCAUACUAGGGACACUCUGUUUGUCUAUAUAUUCACAGAUGUACUAAGUUUCCAAUUAAUACAAUUCUAGCAUGAAUAAUAAACAUUUAUCAUGAUAUAAGGAAAUAUAAAUAAAAACUUUAUUAUUGCCUCUAAGGCAUAUUUCCUUCAAAUAUUUCAUCAGAAGGGCUUGAUUGUGGAUGUCUAAGUUUAGCACACCCAGACCACCAUGGGUUUUAGCUUUGCACACUUUCUCCCAAGCAACCAAAGCUGAGCCAGUCUCUUGAGAUCCAUAUUUCCUCCAGAAGCACUGUUUCAGGUAGAUGUUGAUUUGAUUGAUCACAACUUUUGGUAACAUUGGGGAAUACAUGAAGAUGGUGGGCAUGCUGGUAAAUACUGAUUUUAGCAAUGUGUGUUUUGUCACCAGUGGAGAGCAUAGUGGAACAACUGAGUUGUCUAUUUUCAAUCCUUCUCAAUAUGGGACAAAGUCUUCAAUCUUUGGCUUAGUGAUGCAGAGUGGCAGGCCCAAAUAAUAAUGUGAUAGGGAUCCAAUCUUACAUCCCAAUAAUUGAGAGAGCAUGUUCAUCUUGUCAGUGGGAGUAUUGAUUGGGAUCAUGAUGGAUUUAGAGUAGUUCACUUUCAGUCCAGUAUAUGUUGCAAAAUGAAGGAGAAGGUUUCUGAUAUGAUUCAAUUGAGUUGCAUCAGCCUGUGCCACUAAGAUGGUAUCAUCAGCAUAUUGUAUGAUAGGAUAAUCUGGACAAGAUUGAUGGAGGAGAGGUGACUUCAGCAUGGAGUGUUGCAUGGCUUCAUUGAAAAUAGUCUGAAGGAGAUCAGCAACCAGAACAAAUAUCAAGGGUGACAAAGGGUCACCCUAUCUCACCCCAUUCUUGCAUAAAAAUUGCUUUCCACGCACUCCAUUGAGUAGGACAAAAGAGAAACAUGUGCCAUAUAUCAUUUUAAUCCAGUUGAUCCAUCUGUUGCUGAGGGAGUCCUGGAUUAGGGGGUAUCCGGACAGCCGGAUUAUAUCCUUUGGCCAGACUGUUGGACUAUGAAGAUACAAGAUUGAAGACUUCAUCUCGUGUCCGGAUGGGACUCUACUUGGCGUGGAAGGCAAGCUAGGCAAUACGGAUGUGUAUAUCUCCUCCUUUGUAACCGACCUUGUGUAACCCUAGCCCCCUCUGGUGUCUAUAUAAACUGGAGGGUUUUAGUCCGUAGGAUAACAUACAAUCAUACCAUAGGCUAGCUUCUAGGGUUUAGCCUCUCUGAUCUCGUGGUAGAUCAACUCUUGUAAUACUCAUAUCAUCAAGAAUAAAUCAAGCAGGACGUAGGGUUUUACCUCCAUCAAGAGGGCCCGAACCUGGGUAAAACAUCGUGUCCCCUGCCUCCUGUUACCAUCCGCCUUAGACGCACAGUUCGGGACCCCCUACCCGAGAUCCGCCGGUUUUGACACCGAUAGUUGCCAAAUCCUUUAGCUUGCAAUAUACCAAUUAUGGUAUCAUGAUUUAACAUGUCAAAGGCCUUUUCAAAGUCAAGAUUUAGCAGGAUUAUUUCUUCCUUGGACUGAUAGCACUGAUAAAUGUACUCAUAGGACCAGGCAAGACAAUCUUGUAUGCACCCGGUGUUGAGAAAACCAUAUUGGUUUUUAUGAACCAUCUUCAAAAUAACCUUCUGCAAUCUAUUGGCUAGCAGCUUGGUGAUUAUUUUGAGAGUGCAGUUAAGGAGUGAAAUAGGUCUGAAUUUUGCAGGUGAGGAUGUAGACUCGGUCUUAGGGAUCAAUGUGAUGAAGGAGCAGUUAAUACUCUGCAGGUUAACUGUCCCGCCCUUUGUGGAAAUAUUCAAUAAGUCUAUAGAAAUCCUCCUUAAUUAUCUCCCAACGGGCUUUGAGAAAGGCAACAUUAAAACCAUCAGGACCUGGAGCUUUAUCUGCAGGCAUGCAUUUUAUAACUUCAUCAAUUUCCUCUCUGCUAACUGGAGCUUCCAACUCUUACAGGUUAUCCUGGGGUAAAACAGAUGUUGAAGAUGCAAGGGAUUCACAGUAGUUCCACUGGUACCCAUCCUUUCUUUAAAUGCUCUAUAUAAAUCUUUGAUACAAAUGGUCUUACAUCUAGGAUCUUCUCAGUUCUCUGUUGCAAAGCUUUACAAAACCUUGAGGGUUAACCCACCUGCACCACCUCUCUUCAAGAUCUUAUGGAAGAGCUCAAUAAUCCGUCAAUAUAAGAUUUUAUUCUAGUUUCUCCUUCAUGAUAGACCGAAUUCAAGAGAGCUUCUACAAAGAAAAUCCUUCGGGCUGCUUUUCACUUGUUUUGGAAUUGCCCUUUUGCUCUUUGAUACAUCUCUAACGUAUCUAUAAUUUAUGAAGUAUUCAUGCUGUUAUAUUAUUAUUUUUGGAUGUUUUACAAUCAUUUUAUAGCAACUUUAUAUCAUUUUUUGGGACUAGCCUAUUGACAUAGUGCCAAGUGCCAGUUGCUGUUUUUUCAUGUUUUUUACAUCACAGAAAAAUCAAUAUCAAACGGUGUCCAAACACCGUGAAACUUUUUGUGGAUUUUUUAUGGACCAGAAAACCACCAAUGGGCUAGAGCUGCGCCUGGUGUGUUGUGCUCACCUCGAUGGCCUCCCGUACCCCCUCUUUGCACUAUAAGUUCCCAAAUAUUCCGAAACCCUCCGGGGUUAACCUAGAUCAGAAGUUCCAACGCCGCAAGGCUCUGUAGCUACCGAAAACCAAUCUAGACCCCAUUCCGGCACCCUGUCGGAGGGGGGAAUCAUCUCCGGUGGCCAUCUUCAUCAUCCAGGCGGUCACUACGAUGAGGAGGAAGUAGUCCACCCUCGGGGCUGAGGGUUUGUACUAGUAGCUGUGUGUUUAAUCUCUCUCUCUCGCGCGCGCGUUCUUGAGGUGUCACGAUCUUGAUGUAUUGCGGGCUUUGUUAAUAUCGUCGGAUCAUAUGGUGUUUCCCCCUCUCUAUCUUGUUGUGAUGAAUUGAGUUUUUCCCUUUGAGAUUUCGUUGUUAUCGGAUUGAAUACUUCCAUGGAUUUGAGAACACUUGAUAUAUGUCUUGCAAUUGAAUACUCAAGGUGACAAUGGGGUAUCGUAUUGAUUCACUUGAUAUAUAUUUGGCACUCAACUCACGGAUUCCAGAGGUGACAUUGGGGUAAUCUAUGCAUAGGGGUUGAUGCACGUUCUUGUCUUUGUUUCUCCGGUAGAAAUCUUGGGGCACUCUUUGAAGUUCUUUGUGUUGGAUUGAAUAUUAUGAAUCUGAAUUUGCUUUGGUGUUAUUUUAGUACGAACUCUUGGUUAGAUCGAUCCAAAAGAAUAGCUUUUUGUUAUUUUAGUAUGAACUCUAGGAUAGAUUUACCGGAAAGAAUAGCUUUGAGGUGGUUUCGUACCCUACAAACAAUUCCGUCUUAUGUUCUCCGCUAGAUAGGAACUUUAGAAUGAUUCUUCAUUGCACGUUGACGGACGGUUAUAUGAUCCAAUUAUAUUAGCAUUGUUGAGAGAUUGCACUAGCGAAAGUACGGACCCUAGGCCUCAUUUUCAAGCAUUGCAAUAUCGUUUUUGUGCCCUUUUACUAUUUUCUACCUUACUGUUUUUAUUUAUUCAGAUUAUAAAAAUAUAUUUCUACUAUCAAUAUUACACUUUUAUCACCAUCUCUUCGUCGAACUAAUGCACCUAUACAAUUUGCCAUUGUAUUGGGUGUGUUGGGGACACAAGAGAUUUCUUGUAUUUGGUUCCGGGGUCGUUUGAGAGAGACCAUCUUUAUCCUACACCUCUCACGGGUUGAUAAAUUUUAAGUCAUCCACUUAAGGAAAAAUUGCUGCUAUCCUACAAAACUCUACGCUUGGAGGCCCAACACGUGUCUACAAGAAUAAAGUUGCGUAGUAGACAUCAUUCUUCAGUAUUGGGAGACCUUGAUUCCACAAAUAUUGAGGAGCACCUCGGUUUACACAGAUAUCUAACUAGCGAUGGUUGCCCUCCCUCCUGAUUUGGCCCUGGACAUCAUAAUUCUGGCUUCAUGGAAUAUUUGGAUUCAAAGAAACAAUGUAAUCUUCAACAAUACCACACAUAAUGUAGCUUCCUGGAAAAUAUUGCUUAGAAGAGAUCUCCAAAUUCUGGUGCACGGACUUAAAGACAGCAAAGUAGCAAGACUGCAAGCCUGGAUUGAAGUUAACCUUUAAUUUCUCAUGUUGCUUAAAGGUGGGAUUGGCUGGGUUGUAUUUUCCUUUUUCUAUUUGUACAUAUUUUUUUAUUAAUGAAAAUUUAACCGUAGAACUAUUGUAGUUCUACGGUCAGUGACUAAAAAACGAUUCAGGCUAGCGGAAUGUUUGUUUACAUGGUCCUCAUUUUUUCUAAGAAGGAAUAACAUGUUGAUUUCAGGAUGACACCAAAUACACCUAGUCUUUGCAACAACACAAUUCAAGAUCUACCUACUAUGAGGACGCACACACCAUUGUUCUUAAAAAAAGAUAUAACCUCACCGAAGCAAUCAACGAACAACAAAAUAUCAACAUCAAUCAUCACCAUUGGCAACCCCCGAGAAAUAUUCUCCAGCAAUGAUUUCUCCAGGAAGGGAAGGACCAGUGCACAAUUACCGUCGUGGUACAAUCAAUGAAGCUACAUGCUAAGUUUAUUAGCGUUAUAGCACAUGCUUCAGCUUUUUGGUGAACUACCCAUGCAAAGCACCAUCUCAUUCACCAAAAGCUCCAGCUGAAAGAGAGGGCAAAUCAUUAUACUCUAACACUCUUCUUCUAUCUAUCCUCCAUUGAAAUUACGGUGCGGGUAUUAGAAGCAAUAUUUUGCAAUUUGAAAGCAAAAUAAUAAUAAUGUAGACCUUAUAGCAAAAUAAGCAGUAACUGCAAAGUGUUGAUACCGAGGACUAAAUCCGAGAAAGAUGUUUGAAAAUUUCAAGUCCUAGUUCCACUUUUGUCAUGUAGUAACUACAACACCUUCUAUGCUUUACUUCCUACCUACCACCUCACCGAAAGAGUCAGAUUAUGCCAUUUUAUUAAGAAUCCCAAAACUAUGAAUAUAAUAGGGAGGGCUACACAAUUCCUCUCAAAUUGUUUGAGUCAAUGCAAAUUUCUUAUAUUAAUGCAAGCACAAUGGAGAAACUCCAAUAGGGUACACCAUUGGGGAUUAAAUAACAACCAUCACAAAAAAUUAUAUGGGAAUCCUCUGAAUGAAAGAGGCCUAUUAAUUCAGAAAUUCGUUACAAUAUAAACAUUCUUAUAUUUCUUUACGGAGGGAGUAUAAGGCUCCCCUUUUUCUCUUAUAAAAAGAUAAAUGGAGGAAAAUGAGGGAAGCUGGUUGGCGAAACACGUCACAAAAUUAUAUCAAAUUAAUCUGUAACCAGAACCUCAAUGCAAAAUACCCCAAGCACACAACCAAGACCACGCAUGCACCCCAUCGCAUGGCCUCCACACGCCUUGUCGACAUCCAUGGUGGCAUCUACCGCCGGCCGGGUGGCACGGAUCCCCCUUCCACUCCCUCAGCGUGUGAACGUGGUCGCUCCAACCCAACCAUUCCUCAUGUUCAGGAUAAGCUGCCCAACUCGUCCGGCCUUCUUAUUGCCGCUGCUUCUCAGCUCACAAGCUCCAACACUAUCCUCUCGUGUCUCGUCGAGCUAUCUGUCUACGGAGUAGUACCUCCCAAGCUAGCUCGCCGCUCCGCCGCGAUGGCCACCGUACUGAGCAGCCUCCGCUUGCCCUUCUCCAUCUGCCCCGCCGCCCCUGCGGCGCCCAUGGCGGCAUCCCGCGUCGCGCUCCCGCUGUCGUCGACGGCCGCCAGGGGCAUGAGGCUCCGCGCGCAGGCGACGUACAAGGUGAAGCUGAUCACGCCGGAGGGCGAGGUGGACCUCGAGGUCCCCGACGACGUCUACAUCCUCGACCACGCCGAGGAGGAAGGGAUCGACCUGCCCUACUCCUGCCGCGCCGGCUCCUGCUCCUCCUGCGCCGGGAAGGUGGUCUCCGGCCAGCUGGACCAGUCCGACCAGAGCUUCCUCGACGACGACCAGAUCGAGGCGGGGUGGGUGCUCACCUGCGCCGCGUACCCCACCUCGGACCUCGUCAUCGAGACCCACAAGGAGGAGGAGCUCACCGCUUGAAUUCACUGAUUUUGUUUAGUUCGACCCGUUUCCACCGUGCGCGUGUACCAUGCACGACGUACCAACUGUACCAGGAUAUUGAGGAAUUACAAAGUAUAAUUAGUACUUGCUGCUGUGGUCGGAUUUUGAUUGCUUUUGCUUAUUAAUGCCUAGUGUUCAUUUUCUCAAGUCAAUCAAGUAAUGAAAAGAGAUGAGAUUGUGCUCCAUGUCUCCGUUACGCGUGUCUCGCG